CGAAUUAAAGGAAUUGUUGCUUUGGGACUUAAAAAGUCUGACUAGUUUCAGCUGCUCUGGGAAUAAUUGCGACUUCAAAUUCCCAUCUCUAGAAAGAUUAGUGGUGGAAAAUUGCCCCAAUAUGAAGAUUUUCUCAGAAGGGGAAUUAAGCACACCCAAGUUACAGAAAGUGCAGCUGAGCGUGUUUGAUAAUAAACUUUGGGCUUGGGAUCGGGACCUUAAUACAACCAUUCAAUACCUUAAUACAACCAUUAAAAGAAAAAAGGUAAGUAUUCAUUCACUAUGAGAUGUUGAUUUUUUUUUUAAAUUACUGAUUUAAUAACAGAUAUAUAUAAAAAAGUAAAAAGAAAAAAAUACAUAUUAAUUUUUUUAUAAAUUCAUUUUAAAUCUGAAUAGGAAGAGGAGGAAGAAGAGAAAGAGAAGUCUGCCAAGGCGAAUGAAAAGGAGAAAGAUGCGAAAGACAGUGGUAAGAUAAAAUCUAUACAAUUUAGGAGGUUUUGAUUUGAUUCUAUUUUGCUGACUAAAAAUGUUUUAUUUAUGUUGAAUUUUUUGUUAUACGUAUUUUACUCUUUGUCUACAGAGUCUCGAAACUUAUGAAGACGAUUCAUGCUACUUGUGCAGCAUUUUGGAUAAGGCUCGAGCUCGAGUUCUUUGUAUAUAUUGAGAGUCAGAUGGUGUUGGUGAGAGGAUUUUUUGUUUCAGUUUUCAUUCAUUUUUAUGCUUUUAGCUUUGUUUGAGUGCUCAGAAAUCCAAUUUGAAUUUAGUUUUAUUUCUUAUGGAUGGUGUCCAAGAUCUGCCAUAUUCAAUUUGUAGGCAUCUGAAAAUCUCUUUAAGCCCUAAAUUAAUUAAAGAGAUGUGUGCAUCAUAUUUGUGUUCGUACACCUAUUGGUAUUUUUUGGAGACAAUUAUGUAAGAAAUUAUGUAAUUUCAUGAAAAUAUGAAGAUUUUAUAUAGAAAAUUAUGGAAAAAUAAAAGUUUACGGGUCGAUUGCUGUUGACAAGUUCCUCCAUUUACAUUAUUAUUAAUUAUUUUUGUUGGUGAAAGCUAAGAUUAGAAGAAUGCGACAAUAAGAAGAUUAAAUACUUUGACAAGUUCCUCCAUGUUCAUUGUAGUAGAUAUUCAACAAAGAUGAUAAUACAGCAACAGAAAUUGGAGUUUUAAGCCAUCAGACACAAACAAUUGUGAAACAAGUGGGUAGAGGGAAUAAUAAAAAUCGAAAGACAUGGAUGGGAAGAAUAUGAGAUCAUUGAUAGAACCUAAAUACAAAUUCAAUCAAUUCAUUAAGCCAUCAAAAGUUAGUUACAAACCACUCUAUCUUAACAUAUGUAAUUUACCAUCAUCUAAAACCACUAUAUCCUAACAUAUGUAAUGUACCAUUAUCAAUUUUCGCUAUGUUAUGUCUGUAUAGCCUAAUAUGUUUGGCUUGGUUUUGUCUAAUAUGUUUAGCUUGGUUUUGUAUCCUUUCCAAACAUAUGAAUAUUUACUCAAGCGCAUGUUUGGGCCAUCUGAACAUUGAGUGGUUUGAUAUCUCUGCAGCGCAUGUAGGUCAGAAACUGACCAGGCAGCUCCUCCAAAAGUGCUUGUACAACAGAAAUUUGCCCACCUGUUCAGAAAACAAUGGGUUCGUUUGUUCAGGCAUGAAAAAAUUCAGAAACUUUUGUGAAUUAACUCCUAAAUUCAAUAGUUUGAACUAAUUUUGUCAAUGAAUCAUAUGCACUCACUAUGAACUUCUUGCAUUGGAACAAAUUGUACUAUAUCUCUGGUAGCUACCCGAUCGGUAGAGCUCUCUAAUCUACGGCCAUUAUCAGCAUCAAGAAUCUGCCAACAAAGUUAUCAGCGUCAAGAAUCUGCAACAAAAGUGGGAUAAUACCACACUGCAUAUAUACUCUAAAUUGAAUCUAUCAAACUAUAGAAAAAAGAAGUUCAAUGCUAGUAAGAAGAUAUUCCAGUUGGAAAACAUUGCGUACCUCCAUUUGUGUAAAAUCUGCACCUCCCACACCCACAAUUAGAAUUGACAGGGGAAGAUCAGAAGCCCUUACCAAAGCAUCUUUCGUUUCUUGGAGAUCUGUCAGAACUCCAUCCUAGAUAGACCAUGCAAAUUUACAAAUCACCCAAAAAGAAUGAUAGAAAGAGAAAACUGUGAAUAUAUAGAAUCAUUGUAAUCACCGUUAUAAUGAGUAAGACGAAAUACUUGCUUCUGUCGUAUGAGAGGGAUUGUCCAGCAAUUCGUGCAGCUGUGUUGAUCACUUGACCAAACAGAGUCGGUCCUGCCAAAGAAACAUUGUUUAGAGCGCUUGCAUAAGCAGCCAUAAUGCCUUCAACUCCAUCUACCUAUUAAAUAAAGAAACCAGCAGUUAAUAAAAAAAAUGGAAGAGGAUAAAAUAUACAUCUUUUAGGAUAAAAUUCCAAGGAAAUUUUCAGAAAAUGUAGAAACAUAUUAUAAUGUUUGUUAUUAAAAAUGAAAAGUUAUGGGAGACAAGCCAACCAAAUAAGGAUUACAGCAAAGUAGCGAACUCCAGUUACCCCUACCUCAAAGCCACCUGCUCUUCCAUUCAAGUUAAAACAAUGUGAUACAGUGCCAUCAAAUGUCUUCCCUCCAAAUCCCCAUGCAAAAGCGUCUAUCAGAAUCAUAAAAUUGUAUGACCUCCCCAAUUUCCGUUAUUGCCUGUAAAUGGUUUAAGUGGCCAAUAACUAAUCAGUGAUAUUCUCUCUCAACUUCUACGAACUAUUGAAAUAUCUAUUUCCCUAUGACGGCCAUAGAAAGACUUGAAAGUCACAUGCAUUUUCUAAGUCGAAAACACUGGACAAAAUGACCAUUUUAUGACCUUCAGAGUUCAGAGAUCACUUGUCAAAAUGUGAGUCAUAACAAAACCUUACCUGCUGGUAAGAAUUCAAUCUGCCUGAAGGAUCAAUAUAGUGCAAAGAAUUUGGAUUUCGAGGAUUUCCAUUUGAAGCUGGAUGAUUUUGCAUUUAACGAGAGGCAAGAUGAAGUUGGACCAAAUAAGAGGAAAUAAACAAAACAAACCGAUUAUAUUGCCAAUUUAUCUUCAACAAGCAAUCUCUUUCUAAUUACCUGUAAAGUCGACUGCAACCAUAAAAUUCAACUCAAAGCCACUAGAUAUGUAAUCCAGAAAACUAUAUUGCUCUUUCUCAACAAACUUUUCAACAAACAACUGACUUUUCAGAACCUAGGAAAAAGUCAGAUAAAAAAUAAAGUGAUAUUAAAUUAUCAAAAACCGUAAGCAUGAACAAACACCUUUGGUGGAGUUAAAACAAAAAAGAAUAAACACCUUGUCAUGGCCACGUUGAGUUGAUGGUAACAUAAAAGUUGCACCAGUUCUUUCUUGAUGAAGUUUCUCAAGGUCUCCAACUGAUUUCUGAAUUUUACUAAUAACAGAAAUAGAAAACCUUGACAUCAGAAAGGCAAAAGGAUAAAAGAGGGAAGCUGAUGACAUUAAGAAAUUUAACAGUUACCCCAUCAGUACGUGAUUUCCACUGGUAUUGAAAUCAAAACAUUCAAUGAUUAAUGGGUUUUCCUGUACCAAAGAGAAUCAUAAACUAAAAAACAUUUCCCCAUGACCAAACUUCACUACCUAAUAUACAUUUAAGUAACAAGCACAAGAAGAUGAUAAGGUUACCUUGCUCACAAAUUGCUGCAUGCUCAAAGUUAUUGGUCUCCAAAUGGGAUUCAAGUUAUUGUUUAUCACCUCCGUCUUGUAGAUAGGAACAGAAUUUCCACUCUCAACAAUUCUAGAUAUUCUUAAGAAUGGAUCCUAUAGAAUAUAAGAAGAAGAAGAAUGAGCAUCUAAAUUAAUAGAUUAAUUAGUGAACCUCCAAACUUAGCUACUUUGUCAGAACUUACACUUUUGGAAAACAGGUCUACAUUUUGCAAAUGUGAGCAACGGAAUGCUAUUUCAACAGCACUCUUGGAAGCAACCGUUUCCUCAGCAUGGACAGAGAGUGUCCCAAAGUUUCUUGAAACUCGAAGUCCAUAAUUGUUAUGGAGUUUUAAGGUUAAAGUUCGAUUUUGUUUGGUCACUAUCUGCCAUUUAAAAGGAAAAUAUGACACUUGUUAGUGCAAAAGAAGAAUGCUAAAGAAGAAGACGAAUGCUAGUAAAAAGCAUCUGAGAAUAUUUUGCCCUUUUUUUGAUAGGAAACAGAUUUUUACAGAAAAUUAGAUGGGCAUAUUUUGCCCAUUGAAUAAAGAGAAUACAUAAAUUCAUCAAACAAAAUAUAACCCAGAAACUUACCUCAGAGAGAACACAGCUAGCUUCUCCCAGGAAGUCUUGAUCCUCCAACUUUAGCAUCUGCAGGGCAAUGUAAAUAAGAAGUUUGAGCUUUAAACUUCACACUUCAACAAAUAUUUUGUCAUGAGAUAAUAAUGACUUGAAAGUAAUUAGGGAUCACUGCAGCAAAGAAUCAAAAGAACACUAGAUUUCCUACUUAAUGUCUUAGAAUCCAUCUGGAUUUGUUCAUUUUCUCUUUCCACUGGUAUAAAUUUACAUAUUUAUCAUUUUUCCCAGUAAUGUUAAUACCAUUUACAAUUGACAUAAAUAAUCAUCACAUUUUUAGAUUAUCUAACUGUUUUCAGCAAAUGCUUCCAAAUGAUUACAGUUUCUAGGAUUAUAACCAUCAAAAAAUUUUCAUUUUGACUCAAAUUCCACAGACGAAUACAUCAUAGGCUCUAAAGAUUUACUUAUCCAUUUCAAUACUGACAAUAUGGUCAUUUUUUACAGAAACUUCUUUAGGUCAUGGCAGCAACUAUUUAACUGUAUUGUUUUUAACAACAUAGAUCAAAAUUCCAUUUUGGAAAAAAGAAAAUUUAUCCGUAAGGACCAUCAGAAAAAUUGUUCUUUCCCAGUUAUGGUAGCAGGACAAAUAUGUCAAACCUUGCAAGAUGCAAUAGCAGAAAGUUCCAUAAUAACUACCCUGGCCUUAAGAUUUGUUUAUGGUAUAUGACAGCCAACUUUUUAAGUUUCUUUCCAUGCUAAAUGUUAGUUUAUAAUCAAUCAAGUAUUCCCAAAUUUCCCGAAAUUGAUAGAAACUAUUGCUGAUGCAAUUUAGUUUAGACGUAUGCUUAGACAACAAAUGGAUCAGUCAAAUGCCUUGGCUAACUCUAAACUUUGGAACUGAAGUAUGUGCGUAUCAUUUACAUCUGAAUUGAGAGAAAAAAAAAUAAUUAAGAAAUUUUAUACCUUCACUGGAAUAUUGUGGUACUUGGUAUCCACAUCAUACACACGAAAGCUGGAAAAAGAAGAAAAGCAUUAAGAAAUUCGAAAACAUUAAAUAUUAUCAAAUCAAGCAAGGCUUAAGCGCAUGACCUAUCAAGAAAAAAAAAACUUUAAAAAGAACACACUAAAAACUUACACCAAGGGCUGGACGAUCUCAAACUGAAAAGCAAUUGAAAUCUUUCCAAUCCAAGCAGGAUUCAAAUUGUUCAUAAUCACCUCUGUACGUCCAAUCUCGUCCAGCCUCCCAUCUCUUUUCUUUGCAUACACAACUGCCGUGGGAUCACUCUAUGACACAAAAAGACAUGUAAAUACAUUUGCUUGUGAAUAUAAAAAUAAUAAAAAAAAAAACAGAAGGCAUAUGGGUAUGUAUCCACUUAUGUCAUAUAAAUAUAGACAUAUAUUAGUUAAAUAACUUUAGUUGUCAUAUAAAUAUAGACAUUUAUUAGUUAAAUAACUUUAGUUAGUAAUCCAUCGUUAAAAUACAGCAGCAUUUUAUGUAUGCUAGUAUCAGCCAGUAAAAAGAUAUACGGCUGAUAAAUGUUCAUUAUCAAAGAAUUUUAUCUUGCACAUAUAACAUAUUUGACUAGUGCUCAAAAUUGCAAAAACAAUAAAACCACCAACCAUGACUUGUUAUACAUUAUCUGGAACUCUCAAGUUACUGCUCCUUACUGGAUUACAUUGGAGAUAGACAGUGUAUAUAACAAACUAUUCUUCUUUGUCUAAGUUUAGAAUUUUGGUGCCAGCACUAAGCGUUAUUAAGAUCAUAUAUCCCUAGACCCUUUAUGAACAGAGAAAGGAAAUUGACAGGGCCAUUAUGAACAAAUAAGCAGAUCAUAUAAGGAGGAUACAAGAUAACAUGAGAAUCAAUCACCAAGACUAUCAACAGCAUGAACAUGGCAUUAUCAGACAUAAGACAACAAUAAUAUGAAGGCGUACCUUUGAUGCGAUGUCAAGAUCACGUAACUUUGAAGCAGAUAAAGAUAACUGCAAUAUAUAUUCAAAAACAUAAGAACGAAUACAGAUACAUGAAAAAGCAGAAAAGGAGUAAUCCAUGCAUAUGCUGCACGAAAUGAAAAUUGUCAGUACGAUGUGGGUCAACUGACAGGCAAUAUAUAUCUGUCAUAAACAGAACAUGCAGAAAACCAUCAUUUCGGAUUCUGACAAUCACUUCUAAUAUUAAAUCUUAUAAGCAGGCAAUAAUAUAUGUAAUUAAGUUUUAUAUAACAACAGGAUGUGACACGUCAAUUACAAGCAUUGAACCACAUUUAAUUUGUUAUCAUAUGACUUGUUUCCUUUUCUCCAGGAAAGUUUCCAAGGAGAUCCUCAGGUAAGGUCCACAUCAAUACAGGAAUAUUACAAUUACUUGGUGGUCCAUGUUAUGGAAAGACAUUCUUAUCCUCGUAACAACAUAAUCCUUAAUCCACAAUUUUUUAUAAAGUUAAUGGUUUGUCUUAUGCAAACCAGCAUUCACAAAAUCAUGUUCCAUUCAGGAGAGCAUUAUCAUGGGGAAUCUUCACAGUGGUACAAGUCAAAUUUGAUCACGAGGGGUAUGAGUCAAAUUUGAUAAAUGAGGCAUAACAGAAUAGUCAACUUUGAGGAUACACAGGAAAACCACUGUGCAUUCAACAGGAUCAAACAUCAACUUUCUCAACGUUCACAAGGCCUUUGUGCAUUCAACACCAUUCUUUUUUUAUUUACGUUAUCCAAUCUUAAUCUAAAAUUCACUUCACAGAAUGUUGUCAUUGGGUAUAAGCAGUUAAACUUACUGUUCUCCCUAUGCAAAACAAAAGCAGUUGCUUGGUGUGAAACCGUCAAACCAACACCAGCAAAAGAUCAGCCACAAGAAAAAAAAAAAUGCUUCUCAAAGAAGCACUUGACAGGCGAAUAUUCUUUUGAGAAGGUGCUUAACUCCUUUGUCCUUUGAAGAAGCACCAAGUAAAAUAUUCGCCCUCCAAAAUUCCGAAUACUUCUCUUACAUUAUUAAAAAAAGGCAUGUUUGGAAUUGCAGUUGAUUCUUGAAUAAGAAUUUACUCCCGAUUAUGUUCGAAUUAUCAAAUAAUUUUUAUCAAAUAUAAACAAUUUAAGUUGUUCUUUUAGGGAUGUUACACUGACAAGUCAUCAAAGAAGUAAUAAUAACAAACAUAAUUUGGGUAUAGAUUUUCAAACGAGUGACCAUUUGAGAAUCCAUCACAAUUACAGAAACCAACGAAGUCAGAUUUAAAAAAGUAAAAUAAAAAAUUAUAAAUAAAUUAAAAAACAUAAACUAAUCAUAAAUUUACAAAUUUUUAAUUAAUUAAUUAAUUAAUUAACUGAAAAUAGUUUAUUAAUAGUGGCAGCGAAAGACUCAUAUAAAUUCAGGUAUACAGAUAUACCUCGAUUUGGGUGAAAAGGGCUUGAAGACCGCGAGAUUUGAAGAAGAAAUCAACGGCGUCGUUUUGUCCAGAAACAUUGUUCUGAUCAGCCGCGGUGGUGGGCCGAAGCUGGGCCCCACCUACGGCUUGUUUCCCUCCCCUCACAUCACUCCCAGACAAACAUAAUCCCAUCUGUUUUUUUUUUUCUCUCUCUCUGUCUUUAUUCUCAAGAGUACGGAGUCUCACUGUUCGGUCGAUGUUCUUUAAUCGCUCAAAUCCGUAGCCUCUGACAGAGAACUGGGGCGGGGCUUUACUUUUGCCCUCUAUUUAUAGGCUUCUGCGCUUGAGUCGUAUUUGAAUUUGACUCUGUUUCUGCUGCGAAAAUGUCAAGAAAAAAAAAAAAGUUUUUUUUUUUUUGUAUUUGAAUUUGAAUACUUCUAGGGGGAUUGAUGAUGGAUUGUUUUACUGUAUUUGGAAGUUGGAACGUUUAGGCCCACCUAAUUAUCAUUAAUAAUAGAUAGUUAUAUCAAAAUUUACCAACUUCAUUUUAGCUAUGAUAUUAGCUUGCGCACUAUGAAAUGAUUAGGUUUUGUAAAUUUUUUUUUUUUUUUUUACAGUAUCUUAGAGAAUAAGUUUCCAUUGUAUGUAACCGGCUAGAGCCCCUCCCUCACAAAUGUGAGGGAAGGGGUUCGAGCCUCCGCAGUCGCAUUGUAGGGGUUUAAUUUAAAUAUCCUUCCUUGUAGCCCUUGAGCUCGAGUGAAGGCAGUCUUUCUCCCAGGAUGGGAGUUUGACAUCCCUCGAAUAUUUGAGAGGGUUAAAAAAUCUUAGCGGUGCCAUAUCAGCAUUAAUGUCAACAGAGCUCAGUAUAAAUAUAUGAUUGUACAUAUCAAUUAUACUCUCAUGUAAUAUGAGUUAAGCCCUUGAGCUCGAGUGAAGGCAGUCUUUCUCCCAGGAUGGGAGUUUGACAUCCCUCGAAUAUUUGAGAGGGUUAAAAAAUCUGAGCGGUGCCAUAUCAGCAUUAAUGUUUAAGACAAAUUCUAGAAUCUAAAGUAAAGAAUCGGUAAAUUUAUAAAGAAAUAUGAAGAAACAGCAAGGUAUUGAAGAAUUCAAUUUCUCAUUAUAUUUGGACAUUUGGACGUCAUUAAUGUUAAUUGAUUUUUUUCCGCGUAAAAAAGUUUCGGAUUUAUUUUGUUCCUCCAAACGCCAUUCAUUGGAAAUAAGUUUAUUUUUCUGACAACUUCAACUCAUAAAUUUUAAUUAUUUUGUUAUAAUAAUAGUACGAACAAUUCUAUGUAUUACGAACAAAAAAAAAAAAGAAUCUUAAUUUUAUAUCAUAUAUAAUUAUAUAUAUAUAGACUCAAUAAGAGUAUUAUUUAUCAUGUAAUUUAUUAAACUAAUCUCACCUAAAAAGUUGUUGAGAAAAGACAGUAAGUUAAUAAAUAUUUCGUCUUCCCCAAGGUUUUUGAUUAGAAGAAUGACUUGAUAUGGCUGAUAUUGAUAAAUUAAAAAGGGAAAAAUAAUAAACAAUGGAGGAAUUUUCAAAUUAGGUCAACAAUCGUAGUCUAUUUUAUUUCGUAAUAAUGGCAAUGACGAAGCCCUUAUAACAUAAGCUUGCAAACGUAAUCAAGAUAUCCGUGGAAAACAAGCAACAAUUCCAAUGGGGUGGAAUAAAAUGUCUAAUAUUUAAAUUUUUUAUUUCAAUUUCUGUUUAUAUAAUUUAUUUAAUUUAUAAUAAAGAUGAAUAAUUAAAUAAAUUUUAAAAUAUCUUAAAAUAAGAAUAAUACUAUAAAAUUAUGAUAAAUGAAAGUUAUUGAUUAUUAUGAAAACAAUAAGAAGAGAAAUGGUAUGUAUUAAUUUCUACAUGAAGGAAACUGCCAACCUCCCUUUAAUAUGUUGUGACAAUCAUUAGAAUUUCAAUAAAAUGAUAAACUCCUCUACAUAAUCGAUAGUCAUUGAUCACGUACGUGUACAUUUAAGUUGGAAAAAAGAAGAAGAAGAUAAUUCAAGUAUAAUAAAAUCAGAAUGCGUAUGUCAUAACUAAUUUCACUAAAUGGUUAUAAUACGUUUUAUGCACUUGAGAUUUUCUCAAAAUGAGAAAAGAAAAAGGCUCAUUAGUCACUCCUAUAUAUAUGUGUGUGUGUGCGCGCGCGCUUAAACUUAACUCAGGAUAAUCUAUAUUAUAUAGAACGUAAAAUUGAGUUACGUAUAAAAACGUAACUCAAGUGUCACAUUAUACGGCGCGCUUAAACUUUGAUAAUCUAUAUUAUAUGCCCAUAAAAUCAAGAAUUUUACAAUACAUUAAAACCAAUACAAUCAUCUAAUGUAUAUAUAAUAUAUAUAGUUAAAUUUGAUAUAAUCAUCAAUUGCAUGAUAAUUUUACAAAAUAUAAAUAUUAUCUAUUUGUUGAAUGACUAACUUUGUAGUAUGAUGUUUAUAGAAUUUUUCCGUAAAAUCAUUAUUGUAAUGAGGAUUGUUGAGGGACGUGUUAUUAAUGAAAAGGACUGCACAUGUUAUCCAAUAAUUGAGACACUUGUCUUGUUAGAGGACAUUUUCAAAGAUUAAAGGUAUAGAAGCCAUUUGCAAAAUUUCCAAGCGUGGAGAACAUGCAUGCAUGCACGUGGAAUUCCAUGCAUAAAAUGAUAAAAUACUCGUCAAGUCUCACCUUAAAUUGUAGUUUCUAUCGUUUGCAAAGAAGUUUCAUUAUUUAGGUUGUGUUUGGGAUUGAAGUUGGGCAGCUGUAGCUUAAAAACUACAGUACUAAAGUGUUUGGUAAACACUAGCUGCUGUAACUUUUAAGCUAUAUUGAUAUGAUUUUUCACUUGUAUAAUACAAAAUCUAUUAUAUCUUUAAUAAUUUUAUCAAAAUUAUUAUUUAAAAUUUAUAUUUACUAUAUAUUAUUAACUUUUAUUUCAUAAUUACAGCUUGUUUUUCACAACAGCUGUAGCUUAAAAGCUACAGCACCUCAAUCCCAAACGCACCCUUAAUUUCCAAAUCUUGGGUCGUGCCGCCUCGUACAUGAAUAAGAUUACUUGCCACGAUUACCAAUUUUUUAUCACUUUAUUAAUUCCUUUUCUUCCUAUACAUGAAUCUUGUUAAAUUUUACUUGCUAUUUUACUUUUUUUUUUUAAUUUUAAAUUCUUUUCUAUAUCAUACUUUGAAUCUUGUUUAAGGAAUCUUUGUAUUCUUUUGUCCGCAUGUCAUGUGCAACACAAAUAAUAUUUUACGUUACACUUGAUAUUCAUUCAUAUAAAUUAAUCAAGGAUAAGAUAUAUAUUGCCAAAUUGAUUAAAAUAAUUAUUAAUUUAAAAUUAAUAAUUUUUUUAUCCAUAACACUGAUAAUAAAGUCCGAUUAUAUAUAGGCAUGCACACUUUUUCCAUGGGGGAUUGAUAAUAAAAUUUUAUAGUGGGUAAUUAGGUGCAACCGUGUUGGUAGAUCUACCUACCUAAUAUUAAUUAAUGAUUGAAAAGAAGAACAUUUAGUUCAUAAUUAAACCAAGAUUGAAUCUUUUUUUUUCUGUUUUUCUUUUUUAAAUGACAAAUGAGAGAUGAAUUCAAAUUAAUCAGGAAUUUUUAUCCGUUAUUUAUUAGAGUUGUGCUAGUAUUUUUUUUUUUUUAAAAAACUACUAAUUACAACAACCUUAAGUAAAACCAACAUAUAUUAUAUAGGUCAUCAUGUGAGCACAGAAUCCGACAUUCCUUUGAGACUUAUAUCUCUCUCAAAUUAAAAUACCGCAAACAAGAAUAUUAAACAAAGUAAUAAUCAAAAGGGAUAUUAUCAUUUUACUACUAAAGUUUUUCUGACAUAUCAAGUCAGUAUUAUGCUUUGGUAAAAACUACAUUUUACUACCAAACAUUUAAUUUAUUAUCACUUUACUACUUUUCCGUUAAAAAUAAGUUAAUAUUUAACGGAAUAUGAGUUAAAAGACUAUUUUAGCCAUGAAAAGAAAAGAAAUAACAAAAAAGAAAACUACAAAUUACUGUAGCACGCAUCCAUUGUAAUGUGUAACACCGUAUCACGUUUUUUGUCCUUAUUGUAAAGUGUCGUUAGAUGUAAAACGAUUGAAUCCAACGAUCAAAAUCGCUUAAUAGAUUAUUGAGGCAUGAACUGUCAACCGUUGAAGCCAGUUAUCAUCAGAACCUUUCUCCAACUCUUGAUCCUCAUUCUCCUCUCCCUGACCAUUAACUUUUUCUCCAGACCUCUCCUCUGACCUGGUCUCACCCUCAUUGCUAUCAGAUUUCUUCUUACCAUCAUCCGAAUCAGAUUUGUUGCAAGCAAUUAAUUUAUUCCCACAACUGGCUUUUGAGUGCGAAGUAGAAGAAAGCUAAGUACAAUCACACUCACAAGGCAAGCAUUUCUUCAAACCGAAUUAUUUCCCACAUCACACAUCCAAUGACAGAGUCCCCUGGUUUCUCUAUACGGCUUUCCCCUUAAUCAUUUUAACAAACAGCUUCAAUACACAAAGAUUAGAGCAAAAAAAGGAAAAAUAAUGGCUAUGUCAACGCUAGGUGAUGACGAAUUAAUGAAAACUAGUUGCCGAGGCAACUCUUGAGAGUCAAGAGUCGCCACGCAAACACAAUCGUGGUCCCUUUUUGCUGUAUAUGUAGAAAAAAAAAAAGAAGAAGCAAGCAGCACGUGGUGGGAGAAAAGAAAAGGUGGGAGAAAUCUUUUAUAAAAAAAAAAGAGAGAAAAGAAAAGUUAGAGAUUUGGCUUUGCAAAGAUGUAGGGUCCUGUGUGUGUUUGUGUUUUGUUUGUUGCUUCUUGUGCUUGGUUGACCGUGAGAGAGAGAGGGGCCGUGAGAGAGAGAGAGCGAUCGGAGAUGGAGGGUUACAAUUUGGGAAUAAAUUUUCAAACGAGCGACUAUUUAAGAAUACAUCACAAUUACAAACAUGAACGAAGUCACAUUUAAAAAAGUAAAAUAAAAAAUUAUAAAUAAAUUAAAAAACAUAAACUAAUCAUAAAUUUUUAAUUAAUUAAUUAACUGAAAAUAGUUUAUUAAUAGUGGCAGUGAAAGACUCAUAUAAUUCAGGUACACACAUAUACCUCGAUUUGGGUGAAAAGGGCAUGAAGGCCGCGAGAUUUGAAGAAGAAAUCAACGGCGUCAUUUUGACCAGAGACAUUGUGGUGAUAAGCCGCGCUGGUGGGCCGGAGGUGGGCCCCACCUACGGCUUGUUUCCCUCCCCUCACAUCACUCCCAGACAAACAUAAUCCCAUCUGUUUUUCUUUUUCUCUCUCUCUCUCUUUAUUCUCGAAAAUUAAAAAAUUAAUCGAAAAAAUUUACCUAAAAGUUUUUGCAAGUUUGUGUCAAGAGUACGGAGUCUCACUGUUCGGUUGAUGUUCUUUAAUCUCUCAAAUCCGUAGCCUCUGACAGGGAACUGGAGCGGGGCUUUAUUUAUAGGCUUUUUGCGCUUGAGUCGUCGUAUUUGAAUUUGACUCUGUUUCUCCGGCGAAAAUGUAAAGAAAUUUCUACUUUUUAAUUCAAUUGUUUUUUCAUGAGGAAAAAAAAAAGUUUUUUUUCUUAUCUAAAAGAUUUUGUCUUUUCCUUUUCCUCUCCAAAAUAUAGAAUAAUGUAGAUGAUGGAUUUUUUUACUGUAUUUGGAACGUUUAGGUCCACCUAAUUAUCAUUAAUAAUAGAUAAUUAUAUCAAAAUUUACCAACUGAUUAGGUUUUGUUAAUUUUUUUUUUACAGUAUCUUAGAGAAUAAGUUUCCAUUGUAUGAAGACAAAUUCUAGAAUUUAAAGUAAAGAAUUGGUAGAUUUGUAAAGAGAUAAAACAAAUUCUCCGGCGAAAAUGUAAAGAAAUUUCUACUUUUUAAUUCAAUUCCUUUUUAAUGAGGAAAAGAUUUUGUCUUUUCCUUUUUCUCUCCAAAAUAUAGAAUAAUGUAGAUGAUGGAUUGUUUUACUGUAUUUGGAACGUUUAGGCCCACCUAAUCAUUAAUAAUAGAUAAUAAUUAUAUCAGAAUUUACCAACUUCAUUUUAGCUAUGAUAUUAGUUUGCGCACUACCAAAUGAUUAGAUUUUAUUAAUUUUUUUUAACCAUAUCUUAGGGAAUAAGUUUAUAAAGAAAUAUGAAGAAACAGCAAGGUAUUGAAGAAUUCAAUUUCUCAUUAUAUUUGGACAUUUGGACGUCAUUAAUGUUAAUUGAUUUUUUUCCGCGUAAAAAAGUUUCGGAUUUAUUUUGUUCCUCCAAAUGCCAUUCAUUGGAUAUAAGUUUAUUUUUCUGACAACUUCAACUCAUAAAUUUUAAUUAUUUUGUUAUAAUAAUAGUACGAACAAUUCUAUGUAUUAUGACAAAAAAAAAUAAUUUAAAUUUAUAUCAUAUAUAAUUAUAUAUAGAGCUAAUGCUAAGUUACAUGCAUGUAACUUACAACCUUUUCACAUAAAUAGUGAGUGAGCUCACAUCACUCACUAUUAAUGUGAGAGGGUUAUAAGUUACAUGCAUGUAACAUAGGGGAUCCUUAUAUAUCGGCUCAAGAGUAUUAUUUAUCAUGUAAUUUAUUAAACUAAUCUCACCUAAAAAGUUGUUGAGAAAAGACAGUAAGUUAAUAUUUCUUCUUCCCCAAGGUUUUUGAUUAAAAGAAUGACUUGAUAUGGCUGAUAUUGAUAAAUUAAAAAGGGAAAAAUAAUAAACAAUGGAGGAAUUUUCAAAUUAGGUCAACAAGUAAUCUUAGUCUAUUUAAUUUCGUAAUAAUGGCAAUGACGAAGCCCUUAUAACAUAAGCUUGCAAACGUAAUCAAGAUAUCCGUGGAAAACAAGCAACAAUUGCAAUGGGGUGGAAUAAAAUGGCAUUCACAGUCAACUACUAAGAUACUGAAGGUUCAAUCGUUUAAGGGUAUUGAUAGUUUCUCCCCCGUCGAAAUUUUAUGUAAAAUAUGUACACCUCUAUUGUUUUCAUAAUAGCUAAUAAUCUUUUGGUAUGAAAAGUUUAAAGGAGAGUAAAGGUAAAUGGGUCAUUUGCUUAAUAUUUUAUUUUGAAAAUAUAAAAUAUAUAUUUACCAUAAAAAAAUAUGUUUAAAGAUAAAAAAAAAUAAGAAAACUAUAUUCAUACUAAUUUUUUAUCAACACUGAAAAUUAUAUUUCUUAUUUCUAAUCUUUAAAUUUUUUUAUUUCAAUUUCUGUUUAUAUAAUUUAUUUAAUUUAUAAUAAAGAUGAAUAAUUAAAUAAAUUUUAAAUAUCUUAAAAUAAGAAUAAUACUAUAAAAUUAUGAUGAAUGAAAGUUAUUGAUUAUUAAUUUCUACAUGAAGGAAACUGCCAACCUCCCUUUAAUAUGUUGUGACAAUCAUUAGAAUUUCAAUAAAAUGAUAAACUCCUCUACAUAAUCCAUAGUCAUUGAUCACGUACGUGUACAUUUAAGUUGGAAUAAAAAGAAGAAGAUAAUUAUAGUAUAAUAAAAUCAAAAUGCGUAAGUCAUAACUAAUUUCACUAAAUGGUUAUAAUACGUUUUAUGUACUCAAAAUGAGAAAAGAAAAAGGUUCAUUAGUCACUCCUAUAUUUAUGUGUGCGCGCGUGCGCUUAAACUUUGAUAAUUUAUAUUAUAUGCCCAUAAAAUCAAGAAUUUUAUAAUAUAUCAGAGACAAUACAAUCAUCUAAUGUAUAUAUAAUAUAUAUAGUUAAAUUUGAUAUAAUCAUCAAUUGCAUAAUAAUUUUACAAAAUAUAAAUAUUAUCUAUUUGUUGAAUGACUAUCUUUGUAGUUUGAUGUUUAUAGAAUUUUUCCGUAAAAUCUUUAUUGUAAUGAGGAUUGUUGGGGGACGUGUUAUUAAUGAAAAGGACUGCACAUGUUAUCCAAUAAUUGAGACACUUGUUAGAGGGAGAAGCCAUUUGCAAAAUUUCCAAGCGUGGGGAACAUGCAUGCAUGCACGUGGAAUUCCAUGCAUAAAAUGAUAAAAUACUCGUCAAGACUCUCCAUAAAUUGUAGUUUCUAUAGUUUGCAAAGAAGUUUCACUAUUUAAUUUCCAAGUCUUGGGUCGUGCCGCCGCGUACAUGAAUAAGAUUACUUGCCACGAUUACCAAUUUUUUAUCACUUUAUUAAUUCCUUUUCUUCCUGUACAUGAAUCUUGUUAAAUUCAACUUGCUAUUUUACUUUUUUUUUUUUUUAAAUUUUAAAUUCUUUUCUAUAUCAUACUUUGAAUCUUGUUUAAGGAAUCUUUGCAAGGAUAAGAUAUAUAUUGCCAAAUUGAUUAAAAUAAUUAUUAAUUUAAAAUUAAUAAUUCCUUUAUCCAUAACAGUACUGAUAAUAAAAUCCGAUUAUAUAUAGGCAUGCACACUUUUCCAUGGAGGAUUGAGAGUAAAAUUUUAUAGUGGGUAAUUAGGUGCAACCGUGUUGGUAGAUCUACCUACCUAAUAUUAAUUAAUGAUUGAAAAGAAGAACAUUUAGUUCAUAGUUAAACCAAGAUUGUUACAGAAAAGGGAAAAGACUAAGACAGUGCUCAUGAAGUGGAUAGAAAUAACAGAGAAAGAAAUAGCUAUAUACAAUAAAAUAUUUCUCCUAUAUAGCCAUAUAUACUUUAUAUACAAAUAAAAUAUUUCUCCUAUGUAGUCAUACUUUAUAUAGAAAUAAUUUUUAUUUAAUUAUAAAAAAGAUUUAAUCUCAAUUUAAGUUAGUUAUUAAUUUCAUACUCAAUUAAUGACACAUCAUUUGGAAUAACUUUUUGGGAUAAAAAAUUUGGGAUGUGUAGCACUACUGUCUAUGCUCUAUAUUAUAAUAAGUUAUAAUUUUUUAAGUCUUGUCUAAAAAGAAUUUGUCCCCGCAUAGUAAUUGUAUUUGUAUAUUGCAAAAAAGUAUAGACUCUUUUUUUUUAAUUAAGCCUACCUUUGCUAUCAAUUUCUGACAUAAUCCAGUAAUUAAUUAUUAAUAUAGUAAAUAUUUUACCUCUAAUUUAAUUACACGAAGGAUAACUAAGUGAAAACGAUAAUUUCUGUAACUAUAUCUUUACUAAGUUAAUUAUAAUAUUCUCGUAUUAAUAAAAUUAACUUACCCCAAUAUUAUGAUUAUAGAGAAAUUGGACUAUAUUUGCGAAUUUUGAAAAUGAUGGUCAUGACUUAUGUGCUCAAUCUGUGAUUUUACGUUGAGGUUGAUAGAGCUGAACCAUCAAAAACGUUUAAAGCAUAUUGUCGUUAGUCUUUGUUUCCGAAUAGACAAAAGUGUCAAAUACUAUGUUUAUCAAUAAGAACAUUAUUGAAUCUUUUUUUUUUUCUUUUUUAAAUGACAAAUGAGAGAUGAAUUCAAAUUAAUUAGGAAUUUUUAUCCGUUAUUUAUUAGAGUUGUGCUAGUUAUUUUUUUAAAAAAACUACUAAUUACAACAACCUUAAGUAAAACCAACAUAUAUUAUAUAGCUCAUCAUGUGAGCACAGAAUCCGACAUUCCUUUGAGACUUAUAUCUCUCUCAAAUUAAAAUGCCGCAAUCAAGAAUAUUAAACAAAGUAAUAAUCAAAAUAACAUUUUCCUUGCAACGACUCAUUAUGAUUCCUAGUGAAAUGGUUCGUUCGACCAAAAAAUGCUGGAAAAAAUGUAAUUCAAGUUGGCUUCCUCUUUCAUUCAGUUCAGAACUUUAGAUUAUUUGGUGUAAAUGAAGGGAAAAUGCCUACGAAUAUGUUUUCAGCUUGCCCGUCGUCUUUGGCCAGCUUCGAGUUGUUUUCGUAAUUACGUCGUCACAAAGACUGAUGCGGAGUAUGUAGAAAAUAGAAAAAGUCAUUCAAAGCCGUACAAAAGUGGAUAACCAAUCCAAUCCACUUUUGGCUCGUCAUUGAGUUCGAGGAUUUGACAAAUCACUUUUUGGUCUCCGGCGUGUGGUAUACACACUCCCUUUUAAUUACUAUUAACACCAUGUAUACAUAAAAGAUUUCAACCCUCCACAUGUAAGACCAUCGCUAAACCAAUAAGUUGUUCUCAGCACAAAAUGAAUAUUACUUAGUUAUGUCAUAAUUUUAUUAAUAAAGAAAGAAAUUAAUCUACAUCUUUUUUAAAAAUAAUUUUAAAAUUUGUUAAAUAGGCAAAUAUGGUUUUAAUCCCCAUAGUUUGAGUCAAUUAUUCAGUUUGGUCAAAUAUUAUAUUUUAAAAGAUUAUCUAAAUUAAGCAUCUCUUUACUUACUUUCUUAAUUAGUUGUUGGACAUAAAUUUUCAAAGCUAAAUUCUAUAUGAUAAAUUUUAAAACUCAAACUAAUUUAAUAUAUAGCAGAUAAAAGAUAAAAAAAUAAUUAAGUAAAUUUUAACCAAAAAAUAUAUAUAUCACGUAGAUUUUUUUGAGUAAAUUUCUAAAAAUAUAUUGACUCCUCCAUGGGUACGUAAACUACAGGGACAUUAUUGACUAUUCGUUGUGCGUGCACGUACAAUGACAUGUCAUGAGUUAUCCAUGGAGACUUUUCCAAGACAACAUUUUGUGAUGUACUAUAUGCAUACUUAAUUACAAGUGCAUUUGUUGGGUACAUGCAUGCAUGGACGUGGAAUUCCAUGCAUAAAAUGAUAAAAAUACUUUUUCAAUUUUUCUCAGUUUAAUUUGCAAAGAUGUUUCACCAUUAAUUUGAAGUCUUUAGGUCCGGAAAUCUCUAUUGAUCGUAUAUUUGUUCGUCUCUUGGCACACGCGCACACGCACACGCACAUCAAUAGAGUAAAACUAGUGCAAGAUAAAUCCACAUUAAUUUUAUUUUAUUUCUAAACAUUCUAUUAAAUUUCUCUAUUUUAGAGUCAAGUCAAAGUUGUACAAAAUGAAAAAGAGGGGGUUAAAAUGGAUGGAAAUGAGAAUAAAGAAAAUAGCUAGCUUUUUGAAGGAUCUUUUGAAGACGAUAGGCUUGUGCUCUUAUCACGAAGCUUUUACGUCUAAAACUGGUAGAAUUGACCCAGCAAAAAGGUUUAAUGAAUCCCCGUGAGAGUCUUUAAUGUGUUUCUGAGAAGAUAAUCAAUUAAUUAACAGCACCAAUUAAGUAGUUGAAUGAUCUACUAAGCAAGUUCAUAAAAUCUUAAUGUAUUCUAAUUGUUCGGAGAAAGUAUUUAAGAUCGAAUGAAAGAUGAAUUUCAAGAACUCUUCCAAUUGCAACCAGUCAUCAUGGAUAUUCCAAUCAGUGAAGGAUUCUUUCGACACAAGGAAAAAUAAAAGAUAAAAAAGGGUCAAUAAAGACGAUGGAGAAUAUUCGUAUAAAGUCUUUAACGUAUGUAAAUGUAAUGUAACUUUAAUUUGACAGCUGCCGCUGUGACGAAUCCCUUGCAACGUAAGCACAAUGACACAAAAGAGAGAGUGGAACACAAGCUAUCCAAAUUAAGUCAGUCAAGGUAGGUCAAACUAUCUUGCCAUUGUCGUUUUCGGGGAAAAAAUGUUAGAAUAAAAUGUUAAAAGAAAAUUUAGAAUGUCUGCUAACUACUAAUAUGAGAAGAGUAAUAAAGACUUUAGAAAAAAAAAAAAAACAGUUAGUGGCAGACAAUUAAUAGUUGUAAAAGGCUUAAAGUUGUUUCAUAUAACAUUUUAGAAUAAACUUCAAUUUGCACCUCACUUAAAAUGAUAGUCUUCGAUUUACUUCCAGGAGGAUAAGGCUCAAACUCACGUCUUUGGCCCUAAGAAGGCAAUGCUCGAGAUAAGUCUUUGGCUCUAUUAUCGACCAUACAAAGAACAUGCAUCUCUUUUUUAUUUUUCCCCCCCAAAAAAAAAGAAAUCCAUCACCGCAUCCUCAAUUUACUCUCACCUUAUUGAAUGAAAAUGAAGGCUAAAUUGAUAUUUUCACUCUUUUAGGUGAUAAAAUCAAGAUUGUUGUUCUAUCGGGAGAAUGAAUUAAAAUUUACCAACUUUUAAAAUUAGAUUUCUCCGGUAUGUCUCGAAAUGAUUGAGGCUAUAAUAAGUAUAGGUUUUAAUAAAAAGAAAUAUCGGUGGAUUGGUUGUCAAAUAUUCCCUUCACAAAGACAAAAUAUAGAUUUUAUUCUAAUUCUUCAUAGGCUUUAUUUGAUUAUUUCCAAUAACAAUCCAUUAUAACAGUGAAUAGCUUUCUGUCAAGAUUAAAAAAAAAAAUGGCAGCCGAAGUUAGUUAAGAUAUUGGAUUAGAAACACAGUUUGAGAAGCCAAACAAAAACGAUUCCUUGCAAGAAAUGUAUUAAAAACCUUGAAUCACUCAAUAUGUGUAACAAAUUUUCAAGUUACCUUCAAAAUUCCCAAAGCAAACUUGGCCAAAAUUUAAUUUUCCUCCCACAGAAACAAUUUUUUUUGCUUUGAGCAGGUAACUUUCACAGUAGGCUUUUCAACUCAAAAAAAGUCAUAUGCUAGUUAAAGACAAAUCCAGGUCUUCUAAAAGUAGCUUAGGAACCCUCGCUGCGAUAGGAAAUUCUUGUGCAUGAACAUGCAACUCAAGCAAGCACACAUUAUGACAUAAUGGAACCAAAUUAAGUGUCGAACAAAAUACAGAAUGAAAAGAGUUAUAUCAUUGGUAGAAAGUUGUAUUGCUAACUGCUUGACACCAUCAUUCAACUAAUUUUAUGGCCUGACCAUCAGUGACAAAAUGCAACAAAUAUUUUCUAUGAAGUCAUAAAGUUUCCCAAGAGAGCUAAUUGGUUUGACAGGUUUAAAAUAUACUUUCAACGCAAAAAAGCUGUCUACAAUUAAACUUUUAUUAAGACUCAUAUACAGAAAGAAAUUUGCUAACGAAGAAACAAACAGUACAAAGGAUGAAUAGUAAAAAUGUCAUCGGUAACACAUAGAUGGACCGGAAAAGGAGUACCUUGAUGAUACUGGUGCAGCUACCAAAUCUGGCUUGCGCCCUUCGUAUGGGUGUUGCCUGUUGUAGUUUGAUAAAGCACUUGUGGCAUACAAUGAGUAUAGCCUAUCAGCUUGAUCAGUUUCUCCCCUUCUUAAGGGAUCAGUUCCGACCAAAUAAUGUUCUCUCUGUCUAGCAGCGGAGUAGGAACCUGAGGUGAUGUCUUCUCUCCUCAAGAAGGGGAUCUGGCUUGGUCUUCUCGCUGCACAUAAACAUCAAACCAUCAAGCUUAUCUUUUCUCAUUUCCUUCUCUUGGCUCUUUCCUGCGUCUCCUUGUUUCUCUUUGUCCUUGUGAUGCUUCGAACUCGUCUGACACAGGAAUCUUCUCUACACAUCUUUGCUUCCAGUGAUUUUUAUCUGCCCCACCAAUCUCCUCUUCACAUCUUUGUUUCCGGUGAUUCUUAUCGGACCGACCAAUCUCCUCUUGCUUCUUUUUUAUUCUGCUGGCUUGUCUUGGGUCCUUUUCUUUAGAAAGGUUCUCAUUUAGGUUUUCUUCCCUUGCAUUUAGCUUCUUAGAACUCUCUCCUUCAAUGUUGUUAUUAUCUCAUUUAGGUUUCCCUCUCUUGAAUUUAGCUUCUUAGAACUCUCUCCUUCAAUGCUGUUAUUAUCAUUCUUCUCAUCUAAUAAAUUUUUGUUCUUCUUCCUUCUGAAUCUACUCCAAGCUCGUGCAGCAACUUUGGCGUUUUCGGUCUUCAAGUCAUUAACUGGUGACUUUGUUAAGCAAAUAAAAGCACCAGGUCGGCCAUGCUACUAUUUCCACCCCGGCACGAAUCACCUCAGCCAAAUGGUACGAGCAGAACAGGGGGCAACAUGAGCUGAUCAGAGACGAAUACUGACCAGAGGUAUAUACCGAGCCGAUACACGUCCCCCAAAAAGCGGAAACACGAUCUCACAGAAUCACGGUAGUUGCGCUUUCCCCAGAACCGUUGCGGGAGACGCGAGAUCCCACGUUUGCCCAUAAUGCAGCAGUUAGAGUCCCAUGAGGGGCUGCCACUACCCGAAAAAGGUGGGAUGAAGGGCAAACGAGAACGUGGGGACAGCGGCUAUAAAAGAAGAAGAAAUCGAUGAAGAAAGGGAUAGAAAAAUUGAGAGAAGGGAAAACUCUGCCAAAUUGCAACCAGGCCAUUUUCUUACAGAUUUCGAACAAACCUCUUGAAUCCAAAUUGUAUUGUUUUCCCGUAAACACCUUGUACUAACUUAGGCAUCGGAGGGUUUACGCCGGCAAAACCACCGGCGUCUCUGAUCCGUUUUUGGUGAACGCAGGUCUAGUAAGAGAAUGGAGGGUGAUUCCAACCUUAGUGGUUCGAGCAACAGUCGAUAACAUAAACGUUGGUGAAAGGAUUUGGUCGGUCAAAAGGGCGAGCAGAUUUCGGCAUCAACAUUUUGGCGCCGUCUGUGGGGAGCUGGAUAAAAAGCUACCACCGAAUUAGUAGUUACCGGAGAAACAACGAACGAUUAGACAUGGAUUUGCCAAGGAAGGACGCUUUGAGGGAGGAUAACGAAGCUGGGGAGACAAUCACUCUUCGGGAAAUUGCAAAUGAGGCCUGGGAGAGGAUGAUGCAAGAUCGAUUUGAGCGGAUGGAGAAACAAAUGGAAACUCUCGCAACCAUACUGCACGAGCUGAGAGAUGAGCGGAGAAGGGAUUGUGAAACCUCCGGGGGGAGAGAUGAUGUUGGAGCAGAACCCAGCCUCCAGAGUCGUAGAGUCGAGGAAAUUCCUCCGCCUGCAGACCAACCUAACGGGGUGCAUCCCCACAGAAGCGUUGGUCCGGUUUCAGGAGAACGAGUAGAUGAAGGAAGGGACCAGCCUCUCCCCGGACGGGUACUGGAAGUCAAUAGCCGAGGGGCCAUUGUUGAUGAAAGAGAGCUCAGACAUUGGUUGCACAAUGCCGAGCUAGAACGAGACCGGAUGGCUGUACGUGAUCCUGACCGUGCCGUAGAAUUAGAAGGGGAGGUGCGCAGAUUGGCGCAGGUGAUGGAGGAGAUACAAGGCAAGAGAAAGCCCCCGAGCUGGAGGAUAAUGCUGGAUGAAGAAUCCCUGUUAUCAACCGAGAUCAUGGGUACGGUAAUCCCAAGAGAUUUCCGCUUCCCCGACCUCAAAUACUCCGGUCGAAGUGACCCUCUGGUGCAUAUUGAGCGUUUCAACGAUAUGACGGGGGUGCAGGGGUUGACACCAGCUCAGAAGUGUAGGGUGUUCCCGUUGACUCUCGAGGGGCGAGCCCGAGAAUGGUACCGCAAGCUGCCCCGAUGAGGUAUAAAAGGGUACGAGCAGAUGUGCCAAGAGUUAGCCGAAUAGUUCCGAGGGGCGGUAACCUCAGAGGAUGACAUGAUGGAACUGAUGGGGAUGAAACAGGAGGAGCAUGAGUCCCUUCGGGAUUUUGUAAAGCGAUAUCACCGGGCCGUGCUAGAUUUGGGAGCCAUUAAUCACCCAUAGGCGCUGAUGGGAUUAAAAGAAGGUGUAAGAAUUGGCCGAUUGUGGUAUAACUUGAGAAGCCCCCUGGUGCAGAAUUAUUCGGCGGGGUAUGAACAGGAGAGGCGAGACAUAGAAUUCGAAGAGGAGAAAUCGGCAAGGAUAAAGAGUGAACAACUAGAAGAGUUGAGGCGAAAAGAACGGAGAGUCCCGAUCGGGAGCAGAUCGGGAAAGCGAGCUGGGGAAUCAUCAGUUAUGGGCGGAAUAUCAGCUCGGUCCCGCCCUUACCCCAUAGCUCAGAGGCCACAACAGUUCCAACACAGCCGAGCCCAACCUCCGCGCACCCCGUUCCCGGAGCGGCAACGAGAAUUCAGGCAGAUGACUGCCCACCCUUAUCACAACACUCCCAGAGGGUUACAUGCAACUGGUUCCAGGGCUGGACGACCAGAUCAACUAGCGACUGUACCAGCCCGAGAUGACAUUCAUGAUAGCCGAGUAGUUCAGCUAGUAGACCAGCGCUUGGCAUAUAGACAGUACACUCCAUUAAAGAUCUCCAUGGAGGAAUUGUAUGAGAGGAUCGAGGGAUGAAGCCUGCUGUACCCUCCAGUCCCUAUAACAAAACCGGCUCACCGACGGGAUAAGAGCAGAUUCUACAAAUUUCACAACACUCACGGUCACACUGUCAGCCAAUGUCGUGACCUGAAGACUCAGGUGGAGGAUUUAGUGAGGAACCGAUACUUGGAUGAGUAUGUAGAUGGAAUGUCCCCCGUCAUUGAAUCACAGUACACGCGGGAUGAAGAAAAUGAGAGGGGCCUGGAACGUGAACAGCCAACUAUCCACGUGAUAGCAGGAGGGCCAACCUUGGCUGGGGAUUCGAACAGGGCACGGAAGAACCAUGGGAGAUACGCCCUGACUAGCAAAGAAGUGCUUUUCAAUCUGCCAGCAACCAAGAAGGCAAAAGUGCGGCAAGUUCCUAUUAUGUGGACAGAUGACGAUGAAGAGGGUAUCUUAUAUCCUCAUGAAGAUGCAUUGGUGAUUAAGGCAAUGGUGGCCGGUACAGAAUUGCGACGAAUACUAGUAGACACAGGCAGCUCGGUUGACAUCCUGUUUAAGUCGGCUCUAGAUGAUAUGGGGAUUGCAGACUUGAAAUUGGAGCGGACAAAUACAUCCUUAAAGGGAUUUGGAGGGGGACGGCUAACUCCCAUGGGGAUCAUCGAACUCCCAGUUACUAUGGAGACAAAGCCAUUUGAAAGAACGAUGAUGCUGGACUUUGUCGUGGUAGAGGAAAGAAGCCCUUACCAGAUGAUACUGGGGAGACCAUUCAUGAGGAUAAGCCAAUGCGUUGUAUCCACGCAUUACUUGGCACUGAAGUACAGAGUAAAUGGGGUGGUUGGUGUAGUAAAAGGUGACCAGAGAAUGGCAAGGAGCUGUUAUGCUACAGCAGCCAAGGAGACACUACAGGUUACUUCUCUAGAUAAUCGAGGAGAUUCUAAAAAGGGUCGCCAAGAGCCUGUCGAGAAACUAGAAGAGAUUUUGAUAAGCAAAAACAAUCCGAGCAGAGUGGUUAGGAUCGGAUCAGGUUUGGUCGGGGCAGUGAAAGGCGAGUUGGUGAAGUGCUUACAGUCUCACGCAGACAUAUUCGCCUGGUCUCACGAGGACAUACCAGGAAUUGAUCGUGAGGUAGCUUGCCAUAAAUUGGCAAUCAAGAAGGGGGCGAGGCCGGUGAGGCAGAAAAGAAGAUGCUUUAACCAAGAAAGGUACGAAGCCAUAAAUGCCGAGGUGGAGAAGCUGUUAAAAGCAGGAUUUAUAAGGGAGGCCAAAUACCCGGAGUGGAUUUCCAACGUAGUACUGGUAAAGAAGGCCAACGGGAAAUAGAGAAUGUGUGUGGAUUUCACAAACCUUAAUAAGGCAUGCCCGAAGGACAAUUUUCCCUUACCAAAGAUAGAUCAAUUGGUAGACUCCAUAGCGGGUCACAGUCUGCUCAGCUUCAUGGAUGCCUUUUCAGGAUACAACCAGAUACCCAUGGACGAGCAGGAUAAGGAGAACACCACCUUUAUAACUAACAUGGGUUUGUUUUGCUACAUGGUGAUGCCUUUCGGCCUGAAAAAUACAGGAGCUACCUAUCAAAGGUUGGUGAACCAGAUCUUCAAGCCCUUGAUCGAUCAUACAAUGGAGGUAUAUGUGGACGAUAUGAUCACAAAGUCUAAAGAACCGAGGGAUCACGUGAAGCACCUUGAAGAAACCUUUGAGUUACUGAGGAAGUAUGAAAUGAAGCUAAACCCGGAGAAAUGUGCAUUUGGGGUCAGCUCGGGCAAAUUUUUGGGAUUCCUGGUGAGUCACCAAGGGAUUGAGGCCAACCCAGAAAAAAUACGGGCGGUUACGGAGAUGAGGUCUCCACGGACAGUUAAGGAGGUGCAGAGCCUUACAGGGAAGUUGGCAACACUGAACCGAUUCAUCUCGAGGGCCACAGAUAAAUGCCACCCUUUCUUCCAAACCAUAAAGAAAUGGAGAAAGAUGGAGUGGACAUCAGAGUGCGAAGAAGCAUUUGGGCAGCUGAAGGAAUAUCUGACCCGCGCCCCGUUGCUAUCAACUCCAAGAGCGGGUGACCAGCUGUUUCUGUACUUAGCAAUCUCUAAAUGGGCUACCAGCUCGGUUUUGGUCAGGGAAGAAGAAGGAAAGCAACACCCGGUAUACUACACAAGCAAGGCCCUGGUAGACGCAGAAACCAGAUAUCCAUUGCUGGAGAGAUGGGCGUUGGCUCUAAUAAUGGCAGCACGAAAACUCCGACCAUAUUUUCAGGCCCACCAGAUUGUUGUGAUGACUGACCAGUCCCUUCGUCAAACGCUUCAAAAAACAGAUGCAUCCGGUCGGUUAGUAAAAUGGUCCGUGGAGCUAAGCGAAUUUGACCUAUCCUACAGGCCCCGAGGAGCAAUCAAAGCUCAAGCUUUGGCAGAAUUUAUGGUAGACCGAGCUGAGCCAGGGGAAGAAAUUCGGGAGGAGCAACCGAUAGAGCAGGAGAAACCAGAGGGGGUGUGGCUAGUAAUGGUUGACGGAUCAUGUAGUGAGCAAGGGUCAGGAGCAGGAGUUGUAAUACGAAGCCCAGAAGGAACCGAAAUAAUGUAUGCAGUGAAGUUCGAAUUUCAGUUCACGAACAACCAAGCUGAAUAUGAAGCCUUUAUCACCGGGCUCGGACUGGCACACGCUUUAAGAGCAGAGAUGGUAGAAAUUCGAGCGGACUCCCAAUUAGUAUGUAAUCAGCUCAAUGACCAGUUCCAAGCAAGGGGAGAGAAGAUGGGUCUUUAUCUGAAGAAAGCAAAGCAGAUGGUUGGGCUUUUCCAAGAGGUGGAGGUAAACCAGAUAUAUCGGAAUGAGAAUUACCGAGCAGAUAUGUUGGCUAGGAUGGCUGCAAUUGCAGAUCCGAAAUUACCUAAGUCGGUUCCACUAGAGGUAAAGACCUCACCAAGUAUAGGAGAGGAGGUAGAGGUGAUGAGAGUAAGCAUUGGAGAGUCAUGGAUGGACCCGAUUCGCGCAUAUGUCCGGGAUGGAAUCUUACCAGAGGACAAAAGGCAAGCAAGGAUAUUAAAAUGCCGAGCAGCGAGGUACACGCUACUAGAUGGAGUGCUGUAUCGCCGAGGAUUCACCUUGCCCCUUUUGAGAUGUGUGGAUGAUGAGGAGGCAGAUUAUGUACUGAGGGAGAUUCAUGAAGGAAUAUGCGGCAAUCACUCGGGAGCAAGAACUUUAGCCUUCAAGGCACUCCGACAAGGAUACUUCUGGCCAACCAUGCACCAGGAUGCGAAAAGGAUGGCAAAGAACUGUAAAACCUGCCAAAGCUUCUCUGAGGUUCCUGCACAACCCCCAGAAAAGCUGACCACUAUGACAUCCCCGUGGCCUUUCGCUCAAUGGGGAAUCAACUUGAUUGGUCCGUUGCCUAAAGGCCGAGGAGCGGCGACACAUGCAAUUGUGGUAAUAGACUACUUCACCAAGUGGGUAGAAGUGGGAGUCCUCAGCCAAAUCACGGAGAGGAAGACAACAGAUUUUAUUUGGAGGAAUAUCAUCUGCAGAUACGGGAUCUCCUAUGCUAUCAUUACAGACAAUGGGAGACAAUUUGACAACAGCAACUUCAGGAAAUUUUGCCGAAAUUUGGGGGUGGACCUGAAGUUCUGCACCCCCGCACACCCCCAGGCAAACGGACAAGUGGAAGCAGCCAACAAAGUAAUAAAGAAGCUCUUGAAAACUAGAUUGGGAGAGAAGAAGGGAGCCUGGGUUGACGAACUACCAGGAGUAUUAUGGGCUUACCGGACAACUCACAAAACCGCCACAGGGGAAACCCCGUUCGCUUUAGCUUUUGGUCAUGAGGCGGUAGUCCCAGCAGAAAUCGGAGUGGGGACACAUCGAACGAAAUAUUUCGCUGAGGAGCAAAACGACGAGCAGAUCUGCUUAAGCCUGGACCUGCUUGAGGAGAAAAGGGAAGGGGCCUCGCAGAAAGUGGCCCAGUGUCAGCAACGGGUCAUGCGCUAUUACAACAAGAACGUACGCAUGAGGCAGUUCCGAGCAGGAGAUUGGGCACUUAGGAAGGUGGACCAAAACACCAGGGAUCCUAACCAUGGCGCUCUUGGCCCAAAAUGGGAAGGCCUGUACAGAGUGAUACGAGCCACUGGACCAGGAGCUUAUAAGUUAGCGUACCAAGAUGGACGAGACGUGAAGAGGUCAUGGAACGCCGAGCACUUGAAGAAGUAUUUCCAGUAAGCAAAGUGCUCUCCUAAAUCCUCAUUUUGACAAAUUGUUUGUGUUAACUGCAUGAUGACUUGAUGCAUAUGUAUGUAUUCAGUAUUUUUGUAAUACAUUCAAGUUUCAAAUAAAGAUGAAUUCAGCAUGAAAUCCCCCUGCUAGCAAGCCAAAUAAAAAUUUUACUAAGGCAAAUAAGUGCCUAUUUCUGCUCGGUCAACGAAAGAUCAGCAGCUAAUUUUACGAGAAUUUUUACUAAGGCAAGCAAGUGCAUGUUUCUGCUCGGUCAACGAAAGAUCAGCAGCUAAUUCUACAAAAAUUCUACUAAGGCAAGCAAGUGCCUGUUUCUGCUCGGUCAACGAAAGACCAGCAGCUAAUUCUACAAAAAUUCUACUAAGGCAAAUAAGUGCCUGUUUAUGCUCGGUCAGCGAAAGAUCAGCAGCUAAUUUUACGAGAAUUUUUACUAAGGCAAGCAAGUGCCUGUUUCUGCUCGGUCAACGAAAGACCAGCAACUAAUUCUACAAAAAUUCUACUAAGGCAAAUAAGUGCCUGCUUCUGUUCGGUCAGCGAAAGAUCAGCAGCUAAUUUUACGGAAUUUUUACUAAGGCAAGCAAGUGCCUGUUUCUGCUCAGUCAGCGAAAGAUCAGCAGUUAAUUUUACAAGAAUUUUAACUAAGGCAAGCAAGUGCCUGUUUCUGCUCGGUCAAAGAAAGACCAGCAACUAAUUCCACAAAAUUCUACUAAGGCAAAUAAGUGCCUAUUUCUACUCGGUCAACGAAAGACCAGCAGCUAUUUUAACGAAAGUUUUACUAAGGCAAGUAAAUGCCUAUUCCUGCUCGGUCCACUAAAGAACCAACAGGAAAAAUCAAAUAAAUUAUCAAAUUAGUUUGCAGAAACAAUCCAGAAGCAAAAAUGAGAAAAGAAGGCCAGUAAAGAACAUCCAAAAAUUUAUAAACAUUUAAAUGUUUACAAAACUAAUGAAAAUCUAAAGUCUAUACAAAAAUAGACCUAAGGAUUAGGAGGGUCAACGGCUUCAGCCGGUGAAGGAUCAGCUAUCUCUAGAGGUGGAAGAUCAGCAAUACCGGGAGGAGGCGGCAUGGACCCUUGUCCCACUUCCAAGGCACGUCCCCCAGCUUCCCCCUCCUACACCCCAUCUAAAGGAGCCUCCACCUAAUCCUGCUCACCCUGCUCCUUAUCUGCUUGGCCGAUCUCCGCCAUAUAUCGCUGCACUCCGGCCUCCAGCUUGCUAAUGUCCAGCUCGGGAUAUUCUUCCUUAAGCACAGACAUGAUGCACUUAUAGGAGAAGGCAACCCCAGAAUCAUACUCGGCAUCCAGCCGAUCGUUCACAUCAGCGGAUUUGCCUUUCUCCUCAGCCAGCUGCUCACCCAAGGAUUUGAUUUCCCCCUCAAGGGCGGCCCUCAGAGUAUCCCUUUCACUUUGAGUAGCCUGAAGAUCAGAUCUCAGGUCACCCAACUCACCCUCGAGUUUGGAGGAAGUGGAUUCAGCAACCGCAACUUUCUCCUCUAGCUCCGUAAUCUGCUUGUUCAGCUCAGCCAGCUUCUCCUUGGAGCGAUCAACAGAUUCAGCUUUCUUCUUCAAUUCCUGAUUGUCAGCUUGAAGCUUCCUCUCAUGGCGCGCGGACCCAGUCUUGUAGCACGAAACCAUGGUGGCCAGCCUGAAGGACACUCUCUGAACAUAAGCAGCUAACUCGGAGAGGUUCAUACUCUCGAUGUCCUUCACCAUCUUGGGCCCCACCGAUUUUUUGUAAUCCUUCUGAUACGGGCUCAGGUAGUCACCUUGAUCCCGAGAUGGUAGAGGAGAAGAUCGGUCCCCAGACUGGAAGCUGACCUCAGGACUCUUGUCAGAAGUUUUCUCCCCACCACUCUUACGGGGUGGGGGAGGGGGCAGAGCAGGGACAUGAGCCUUGGAAGGGCCGACGCUGGUUUUCUUUGGAGGAGGAGGAGGGUUGCUGGAGCUGCUUGGAGCCCGACCACGCUUCCUGCUCAUCGCGCUGAGGAUCUUGUUAUCCAUUCCAGCGGCUAUGUCCACUAGGCCCGAACCGACCAGGUUUGUUGGUGACAGGAGGUCUUGGCAGGUAGACGCGUUCACCAGAGUAGUUUCCACCUGAAGCAAAGGUCGAUCUUCAAGCCCCCCGAUCAAACCCCACAACUCUGAAAUAGCAAAAGAGGUUAAAGAACUCGAUAAGUGACAAUUUGACUAAGAACAUAGGCAAAAAUAAACGACAUGGGGUGACAAAAUGUAUGGGAAGAUAAAUGUCCCCACCAAGCGACCGAACUGCUGGACACCAGUUCCCUCCAGCAAAGAAGAAUUUGUUCUUAUAAUUUUUACAUGAAGAGGGAAACCCAGUGAUCGGUUUCCUCUUUGCAAAACUGGACAUAAAGUAGUACCAGCCCGCUUCCCUCGGGCUACUCCGCAGCUGGUACAGAUGUUUCACUUCAACAAGGGAAGGCUCCUCCGACCCGCACCUCUCCCACAACACAAACAUUGCCGAGAGAACCCUCCACCCAUUUGGGUGUAGCUGACCUGGGGCUAGGUGCAUACCGCCCAGUAUCUUGGCAAAAUAACGUUGAAGGGGCAGCCGAGCUCCUAGUCUGAAACUCUCCAAGUGCAUCGUCACAUACCCUUUCGGAGGCCGACUAGGGACAUCAUCUUUUCCAGGAACUACAAGAAGAACCUCGUUGGGGAUAUUGUAGAGGUUCCUAAGCUUAAAUAGAUCAGUGGGGGUGGUGGCGCAAGCUAUGAAAUCAAUAGGGUAGGAAUCAGCCUCCACAGUAUGGCCAAGAUUCCUUUUCUUAGCAGGUCCGCUCGGUCUGGAACUGCUCCCCUCACCAUCACCAACUCCUUCAGGGAUCCCAACCCCACCGAAGCUGUGGUUCUCACCAGAGCCCGACGUAGGUCCACCUCUAUUCCCUACAAGCUCUAGUUCGGGGGAGGGAGAGACAACCAAGGGGCGUGGGUACUCAAGGGUAUCCAUGCCAUGGGAAUGACCUACACUACUGGAGGGACCUAAGAAAUCGGUCGGUAUUGACACGUUGAGGCCUGAAUCCCCUGAUUCUUUAUCACCCUCAUCAACAAUUAACUUUCUUUUCCUAUUUGACAUAUCGGAAUCCCAAAAGAAAACAAAGAAAACUCGAAUAUACGGAUACAAAAGGGGGCAACACGGAACCCAAUCAACAACAACCAGAGAAGAGAUUAAAAGUAGUACCUGAAAUGAACUGGCCCUGAUAGCGCUGCCGUGACAGAGAAAAAACCAGCAAGUAGAAACUCUGGACGCAGGAAGUGUGAGUAAAGUUCAGAAAGGGGGUAGGUUAACGACGGAGAGACGAGUAACAAAACGAUGACGAUGUAAAUCUAGGUAUUUGAAACGAAAAGGGGGAAAUGAAAGCAUUUAAGUGAUGGAGAUGCCAGCUCACUCAUCGUACAUCGAGGACAGAUAGCCCGUCGUUUCAAAUUUCAAAUACGAAGAGUCUGGAGAUGUCACGUCACUAACCGCUACAAGGGGCCAGGCUAGAUGUGAGCCCAAAUACGCAAUGGACAUGCUCAGGUCAAAAUCUCCCCUGAAGAAAAAUGAUACCUCAGGUCCGUCCCGGUAGACAGAAGACCAGAGGAGAAGCCCCCGGAUUGGUAAGAUUUGACUAUCAGUUUCUACUCUUGACUCAUUUCACUCACAAGACCAGAAACUGGGGGACUGGUGUUAAGCAAAUAAAAGCACCAGGUCGGCCAUGCUACUAUUUCCACCCCGGCACGAAUCACCUCAGCCAAAUGGUACGAGCAGAACAGGGGGCAACAUGAGCUGAUCAGAGACGAAUACUGACCAGAGGUAUAUACCGAGCCGAUACCCGUCCCCCAAAAAGCGGAAACACGAUCUCACAGAAUCACGAUAGUUGCGCUUUCCCCAGAACCGUUGCGGGAGACGCGAGAUCCCACGUUUGCCCAUAAUGCAGCAGUUAGAGUCCUAUGAGGGGCUGCCACUACCCGAAAAAGGUGGGAUGAAGGGCAAACGGGAACGUGGGGACAACGGCUAUAAAAGAAGAAGAAAUCGAUGAAGAAAGGGAUAGAAAAAUUGAGAGAAGGGAAAACUCUGCCAAAUUGCAACCAGGCCAUUUUCUUACAGAUUUCGAACAAACCUCUUGAAUCCAAAUUGUAUUGUUUUCCCGUAAACACCUUGUAAUAACUUAGGCAUCGGAGGGUUUACGCCGGCAAAACCACCGGCGUCUAUGAUCCGUUUUUGGUGAACGCAGGUCUAGUAAGAGAAUGGAGGGUGAUUCCAACCUUAGUGGUUCGAGCAACAGUCGAUAACAUAAACGUUGGUGAAAGGAUUUGGUCAGUCAAAAGGGCGAGCAGAUUUCGGCAUCAACAGACUUCUUUGCAAUUUUAGAUCUGGCCUUCAAUGAUUUAUGGAUUUUAUUUUCAGAUGAUUUUGCUUCGGUUGAGGCUUCCCCAGCAUUCCCAUCUUCCUUCUUCUCUUCAUUUUCUUGUGCCAUAGUCUACCCAAAUAACCAGGCUCCCAACAGACCAUAAUUUAGGGAUUAUUCUGUUGUUCACUAUUUAAAAUAUGAAAUACAAAACUCAAAAGCCCGGCAAAGGAAUGAAAGAAGCUGAAGAAGUGAAAAUGCAUCAAAAUUUGCAAGAAAAUAAUAAAUAUACAAUGCCUUCAUAAUGCAUAUAGCAGAUGGUGGCUAAUUGCCAAUUACUUGACAAUGAUAGGCAAAUUCUUCUGUCAGAAAGCGGGGUGAAAAAGGUCAGAAUCUUGAGACCUGCUCAAUCACAAGAUUGCAACAAAAAGGAGUCUGAUAAUAUACAAUGGGCAAUAAGAGAGAUUGGGUGUAUUGAAAUUAUGGUAGUGAGCUAAAAUAUUAUAAUAUUUGUAAUUCGCAUAUCACUAGAAAAAUAUUUUUCUUAUGUUUUCGCCCAUGAAUCUAGAUUAAAAGUUGAACCACCUAAAUUUUGAUGUCCCUAUGUGAUUUUGUUGUCUCAUGAUUUUUUAAUUUCACUUUAAUUGCAUAUCUGCUUCACCAAUCAAUAUGCAUUGAAGAAUGCUUACAUUAGUUUGUGUUUGGCUCAUCAUCACAACCAUUUCAUUCAAGAAAUCUCCUAUUCCCUCAAAACAAAACUAAAAAGUCUCAUGUAAUAAAAUCCUCCCCCGUUCCCCCCUCCCCUCUUCUUGUGGGAGUUAAUUUUGCUGUAUCUUCAAAGCAACAAAAGCGCAUUAAAAAGUUAAAGAUGAAAUGAAAUCAAUAUAUAUAUAUAUAUAGAGGGAGAGAGAGAGAGACACACACACACACACAAAAUUGGAGCUCAUAUUAUUUUAUUCAUCAUCACUAUCAUGGACUCCUACAUAGUACAAGAACCUCUUGUUGGCAACAAAUAGAACUUGAAGAGAGAAGAAGGAAAACAACAUCUCGUGAAUCCGAUAAUUAUCCGUCAUUAUAAAAAGGAUUACAAUUUUAUUUCUUAUUGUAUACUACAAAUUACAUGCAUAAUAAAUAAAUAAAUAAGAAUUAAAAAUUUUGGAAUUUAGUAAGGUUAACAGCAGAAUAGGCAUGUUGAAUGGCGUAAAAUCUCUUCGUGGCUUCUUUCACAAAAUUUGAAUCUCUUGAAGUUGAACAACGGCUUGGAUAUAUAGAGCCACAAUCACCUUGUAAAAAAAAAUUCAUACAGAUGUUGCAUGAGAAGAUUGGUUGUAUAAAACUAUUAUAGACCCACAUAAUUUACAAAAAUAAUAGUUAUCGCUUUUUAACUAAUGUCUUUAUGCCACAUUAGUUUGUUUACACAAGUUCAUAUAAAAAUGUUUGUGGUUACAUCAUUAUUGAUUUUGAAAAUAAUAUUUUAAUAUUUUUAUCUCAAAUGAUAGGAUAUUUUUUGACACAUUGGAUGCUUUUGGAUUUAAUGAUACCUUUGUAUAUUUUAUUUAUUAUUUCAUCUAACAUUGUUUGAUGAGUGAUGAUAGAGUUAAAAGCUCUUGUAUAAACUUAUUUUAUAUAUAUUGAUGAAAUUUAAAUUUAUUGGUUGAAUAAAAUUACCAAAUAAUAAAAAUAAAUAAUAUGAGCCAAGAGUUAGGGUUAGCCAAACUCAAUCCAACCCGAUGAACACAAUCCAACUCAAUCUAAUCUAAUCAAAUUUUGAUGGGUUGAGUGAAUUAUUAUAAGGUUAAUUAGGUAAAUUUUUUCGAAUCCAAUUAAUAAUUGAGUUGAGUUAGGUUUGGUUAAUUAUGAUGAACCUGUCUUACCCAACCCCAUCCAUGUAAAUAAUAGUAAUAGUAAUAAUAGUUAGGCAUCCAGUACUGCUUACCAAAUAGAAGCUAAUUCCUGCAAUUUACAUGAAAAUUGCACGAAAUAUCACUAUCCUUAUUUUCUUGAUUUCACCUUCAUUGUGUAUUUUUCUCCAGAAAUUCCAAACUUACGAAGAGGAUUCGGGCCACGUUCUAUGCAUCAUAUGGAAUGCGGCCAUUUUUCUGUGUAAUUUGUGAGGCGUUAUAUUACAUGGAGCUUGACUUCUUUCUUUCUAUGAAUGGUCAGAUGGCAUUGGUGAGAGGUUCUUCUGCUUCUUUGUUGAUUGUUCUGCUUUUGGCUUUUUUAUUAAAGUUAUUUUGAAUCCGCUUUCAGAUUGUGUGUUUAAUGAUUUGAUUAAAUUUGUGUUUAGUUAAAUGUAUUUGGAUUUCUGGAGUAUUUCAGCAGUUAAUGAUGAAAUUCAGCAUUAAAUUAACUUAUAAUCAUUCUAAUUAUCGAUUUUUUUUGUCAUGAAACAUCAUUAAGCACCUGCCAAAGACUGAAAGACACCAGUUUAAGGGUGCAUUUGUGAUUGAAGUUGGGCAGCUAUAGUUUAAAAGUUACAGCACUAAAGUGUUUGAUAAACACUAACUGAUGUAGCUUUGAAGAUAUGUUGAUAUGAUUUUUCACUUAUAUAAUAAAAAAUAUAUUAUAUCUUUAAUAAUUUUAUCAAAAUUAUUAUUUAAAAUUUAUAUUUAUUAUAUAUUACUAACUUUUAUUUCAUAAUUAUAAUUUUUUUUCACAGCAGCUGUAGCCCAGUCCCAAACGCACUCUAAUUUUUAUCUCUCAACACUCUGUUUUGCACCAAGGUAUCCAAUAUAUACUAGUUUAUUAAAUAAUUUUGAUUAGUGCUGAUUGCUAGUGUAUCAGUCUCCUAAUUAAUUAAAUGUGAAAACAUUCUAUUAUAUACUAGUCGAUUGAUUUUUCUUUUAAUCUUCCUGUUAUAUUCCACGACAGAGCUGAUUUAAAGACUUGGCCCAACUCUUCCCUCUAUGUUCAUUAAAUGUUAAUAUUUUUCUGCACCAAGGUUGACUUGAUGGUGCGUUAUUUUCAAUUUUUUUCAUUGACUUGUAUUUUUGUUUAAAUAUUGACAAAAAAUUAAGAAAGCAAUCAGCUCUUGUAACGUGCUCUGUUCUGUUUUCCACCAAAAAUAUAAUCAUUUAUUACCUCUAUCUUAUCAAAUAAUCAUGAUUAAUGCUGCUGGGAAAGUUCUAUUAGUCUUUCUUUUGAUAUAUCUUUACCAAUCUCAUCAGCUUUUGCCUCUUUUAUGAUGUGUUUUUUUAUUUUUUAACUCUUCUCAACCUUGGACGUGAGCCUGAUUCAAGCAGUAUUAUCACUCGUGUAAUUUAUUAAUGAGCUCUUUUCCCGUCAUAUAAUGCCGAUGCUUAUAUAUUCUACUCUUACCAUUCGAUUUUUGUACGCCUAGUACUUGUAGAUCAUUUUAAUUAUAUAUAUACUUCAUACUUGAUGGAGUGAAUAUAAUGCAUAAGAUAUUCAUUCAGUUAUAUGUAGAUAUAUUAAACUUUAGUUUAUGUACUAGACUAACUAAUGGACUUCUAACCUAAAUCAUCGAUAGAUUCUUAAGAUAAUUAGGCUUAAAUACGCAAUCGUCACUAAUUAUUAAUAAUUCAUGAAACCUCUAUUGCAACAGUGAUGAGAAUUGAAGUAUUAGUUGCUCUGGUUAUUCACAUCAUGACAAAUAAAUAGAGAGAUUUUGGCGGUUUCCUCCAUAAAUUUAUCACCUCAUCAUCCUCAAUUAUAUCCGAAACUCUUUACAAUCCCUAAUAUAUUUUAAAAGGUUUACUUUUGACAUUUUAAUAACUUCAAUUAGAUUCUCAAAAAAAAAAUUAAUAAUAAUAACUUCAAUUAGACCAAGCAUAUUUAGUUUCUUGAAGAUUUAUUCCUGAAAAAUCCAACCUGAUUUUUUUUAACUUUUUUUUUUAUAUUUUAUUAACAACUACUUUCUAAUAUUUGUUUAUUAAUCAAGAUAGAAUUGGAGUUUAAUGAUAAAAUGAUCACGAUUUUAAUUUAAAGAUUUGAGCCCAAAAUCACUUGGCUAUCAUAUAUACUCAAUAAUCACUUGAUUAUCAUACUCAUAUAUUACUCAAUAAUCAAAGCUAAUUAUUACUGAAUAAUCACUUGAUUAUUUGAAAAAUGCUGGCAGCACUUGCAACUCCCUGGAACCCUCGUGUAAGUGUAGAUUCCGAGUACAUCAACUGUUCGAAAAAAUGCCCAUUUGAAGAAGUUGAGGACCCGGGGACCCGCCACUGGUACUAUAAGUCUCAUCUUUUGUCUUUUUAUUUGUAUAUCUAUUUUUUUUAUUAAAAAAAAUUGAUAAUAAAGUCCGCAAAAAGUUUGUAGGAGGGUAAUUAGAAAAGCACAUGGGUCACUUCACUUUGGGUCUCUUGGCCUUCAUCAGUUCAUUGUAAUUAUCAACAGUAAAAGACAAUACAACUGUGAUGCAUUUUCACAAAAAGUUUGCAAAGUCUUCAUUUUCACAAAAAGUUUGCUAAUAGAAAAUUUUUAAGUAAUAUUGUUGUUAUUGAAUGUAACUGCCAUGUAAUCAUUCUAAGUAAUAUUGUUAUUUAUGUAGAAGGUUUUUCCCGUAACGUUCUUGACAAAGCGCUUGUGUUUGUUGGUUAAUCGGAUUAGCAUUUUGAUUGUUCGUAAAGCACUGGAAAACUCGCCCUGAAUCAAAAAUCAUUCUCAAUCUAUUUAAUUCCCUCUGGUAUUAUUGCUUAUGAACUGUACCUUUUAAAUUACAGUAGUUAAAUAUUUAAUAAACACUUAAAAUUAAUAAAAGUUACCAUAAAAAUUACUUGAGAAGCCUUACAACUACAAGUUGAAAAAUAUCGGCAACACAGCAGUAACUGGUAACAAGAAAAUUCAAUGAGACGCCAAAAUGCCACCUAGCGCUAUCCAAUUAACCUGUGGGUGAGGGUAUUUCCACCCUACUAUUUGUGUAAAUCCACCCCACUUCUAAAAAUAUUUAUAAUAAAUACACUUUUUUUUAAUAAAUACAAAUCAACAGAAAAAAUUAUAUAAUUAAUCAAUUAAAUCAUUCUUAUAUUUUUUUUUCUUAAGUUAUUUACUUGCGCUGUAAGAAUCGGAAUUGGAAUGAACAACAUUCUCAUUGAUGUGUUUACUUUAUUUUAUAAUUGGAAUAACUAUUUCAAGUUAUUAAAAUGCCCUAAUAUUAUUUGUAUAUAUUAUAACUAAAACAACAAUAAUAAUAAAACUAAAAAUAAUACUUCUGACAAUAAUGUUAAUUAAAACAAAAAAUUAAUAAAAUUUAACAAUAAUAAUAAUAACAAAAACAAAAAAAUUAACUGAAAUAAUAAUAUUAAUAAUGAUAAUAAUUAAAAUAAUAAAAAUCAUUAAUAGUUUUAAUACUAUUAUUAAUAAAAAUAAUAACAACAAUAACUAAUAAUAAUUAAAAUAACAAAGUUAAUAUAAUAAUAACAUUAAUUUUAAUCAUAACAAGAUAAAUAUUAAUAAUAAUGAAUUAAUUACGGUAUAAUAACAAUUAAAAUAAUAAAAGUAAUAAAUUUUAAUAAUAAUAAUGACAAUAAUAAUCAUAAAUAAUAAUAAUAAUUAAAAUAAAUAAAAAUAAUAAAAUUUAAUAGAAAUAAUCUUAUAUAAUAAUAAUAAUGAUAAUAAUAAUAAAAAUAAAUUAAAAUUAUUUUCAAAUGUCAUUUUAUCAUAAAAAUGGACUUAUAUGUAAAAAUUUGUAACAUUUAGUGUCUAUUGAAUUUUACAAAAAAUAUAAGGUGGUGUGGUGUAAUCAACUACAAAAGAAUAAAAGUUGUUGUAUAUUACAACUGUUGCAACAUAGGCGGACCCUAUAUAUAUGUAUUUUAAAAAAUAAUGAAACCGUAAUAACCCUUAUAACUAUGUAUCUCAAUCAUUGAGAAUCUAGUUGACUUGGAAGCACGAGUCUUCACCUCAUAUGAAUUUAGUUCGACAUUUUUGCAUUAUUUGGAUUACCCAUUGAGUCUUGAGAUCAAACUUGUGCCCCUGCAUUUUCUUUUAGUCUAAUCGCUUAGCAUACCUUAUUAUUCGUGUAUUAUCGUUUUUUUUUAUGUUUAUUAACAUCUAAUCACUAAUCUUUGUUUGCUUCGGUGAAAACUUUGAUCAAGAUAGAGUUGUAGUUUACUGAUAAAAUGAUCACGAUUUUUAAUUUAAAGAUUUGAUUCCAAGAUCCUAACAUUCACAUUUUUAAUUAUAUUUGUUGAUAAACAAGAAAAAAAUUGAUUAGAAGAAUACGACAAUAAGAAGAUAAAAAUACUUGCUCAAAUACUCUGCCGUGUGCUUACAUACAAAUCCACUCUCUUAGCUUUUUAAUCACAUAUAUAAAUCAUCAUCAUCACUAGAUGAUCAUAUAUUUACUCAAUAAUCAAAGCUAGUUAGUGAAAGCUUUGAAUGGUCUUCCAAGAUUGAAGAUGAGGGCAGCACUAGGAACUUCCAGGAACCUUCUCGUAAAUUUAGAUAGAUGCCGAGUGUAUGGACUGUUCGAUGAAAUGCCUCUAUGAAGUUGAGGAAUGGAGAGAUUGCAUAACGACCACAUGUUUGGAACUUGAAUUCAGACUGUUAUUAUUAGAAGCACAUGUCAUGGGGUCUCUUCACUUUAACCUUUGGUCCCAUCCUCUGGCCUUCUGCCACCUGGAUCUUCGCAGCAACUUUGCUGAGUAAGAUUGACGAUUGCAGUGCUACGCUAUUUGUCACUUUAGUCUAGAUAUAAAGCUUAAAAUCUUAUCACAGGGUAAUAAUAUCAGUAAACAUUUGACAAAUCACUGAUCAAUUGAUCUUUUCAAGUCACUUGUAUCGUUUCCAUCGGAUUUGACGCCAUCAAACUACAAAAAUUUAUGUAAAAUUUUUGAAGUAACAAAAUUGUCUUACCCAUUAUACACGAUAGAAUCUCGGAUCAUGAAUGAAGUGAUGUCAAUUUCAAUUAAAAAGAUUUCAGUCUCAAGACCCUAACCCGUUUAGGUUAUUGAGCGAACGACUUAUCAAAAUGAGAAAGCUACAAAAUAUGUGACAAUACGAGGACAGCAAAGAAAUUAAGCCAUCAGCUCUUGGAGUGUAUUCUGUUUUGCACAAAAAAUAUAAAUCAGUGAUCACCUCUAGUUUAUCAAAGUAAUCAUGAUUAAUGCUGUAAGGAAAGCUUUAGUAGUCUUUCUUUAUGAAUCUCGCCCGCUUUUGCUUUUCUUUUAGCAUAGUCUUUCUUUGUAUCCCCAGUCAACCCAAAGCCUUUAACUAUGAUCUUCUCUUGAAUAGAUCUUGUCUAAUAAAAAAUUGAGAUCCUCUCUUGAAUAGAGUUUACCCUUGAAAAAUAAGUAUACAUUAUCAUUCAUGUACUGUCAAAAUUUGAGCUUAAGUUCCAACUAUUUAAAAAUUAUUGUUUAUUUUUGUUGGUGAAAGCAAAUCGAUUAGAAGAAUGUGGUACUGGUAAUAAGAAGAUAAAAAUGCUUGCUCAAUACUUUGCCGUGUGUGCUUUCUUACAAAUCCACUAGCUUAGCUUUUAAUCACAUAGAUAAGUCGUCAUAUUCACAUAUAUAAGUCGUCAUAUUAUCAUAUAUUACACAAUAAUCAAAGCUAAUUAUUGAAACCUUUCGAGUUUGAAAAUGCCGGCAGCACUUGCAACUUCCAGGAACCUUCGUGGAAGUGCAGAUGCUGAGUGCAUCCAUCUGUUCGAUUAAAUGCCGAAAUGAUUUCGAGGACCCACACGACCACGCAACAUUUUUUUUUUGUUCAUUUUAUUUGUAUAUCUAUUUGUGGGAAAAAAAAAAGAAUCAUAAGGUCCGCAAACUUUGGCUUUAUAGCAGAGUAAUUAAUUUUUUAUUUAUUACUCAUCAACUUAGAUUUUUAAAUUACAACAGUAAUAAAAUAUUUAAUAAACAAUUACAAAUAAUUAAAGCUGCCAUUAAAAAUGUUUGAAAAGUCUUACGAUUACAUGCUGAAAAAUGUCCGCAUCGGCAUCAUAGCACUUACUAGUAACAAGAAAAUUCAAUGAAAUGCCAAAAUGAUACCUUGCGCUGUCCAAUUAACCUAUAACUUUAACACUAUUUACAUGCAAUUAUAACCAUCUAUCUCAGUUAUUAAGAAUCUAUAGUUGACUUGGAAGCACGAGUCUUCUCCUUGUAUGAAUUUAGUUUGGCAUUUUCCUAAUCAUCCCUCUUCUCUAAUCUCUAGAGUUCUCUGAAAUCUCUUCUUCAUUUUCUGUCUCCCUUUUCUUAAUAAUCCUUGUCCUCGAUCCUAUACAUUCUUUAAAAACCUUCCAUUGCACUCGCUUUUCAAUUUGUCUUGGCAGAAAAAGGAUCCCCCUUUGUUUCAUCUCUAGAUCCGUCACUCUUUUUCUCUCCUCCUCCCUUAAAUCUAUUCAACCUCUUAUUUUAGCAAUUUAUCCAAACUUCUUAUUUCCCUUUCCCAGCUGAUUGAUUAGUUCUGCUUAGUUUGAUUAGUUUUGCUUUCCCCUGUUUUCUGAAAGCGAAAAAUAAAAAAGAAAGGGAUAAUGGAAAUUGUUAUCUCCGUUGCUGCAAAAGUUGCAGAGUACUUGGUUGCUCCCAUUGUUCAUCCAUUUACUUACUGCUGCAGCUACAACACCAACUUGGAGAAGCUGAAGAAUGAAUUUGAGAAGCUAAAGAUUGCUAGAGCCAGUCUGCAGUACAAGGUUGAAGAUUCCAGAAAUAAAGGGAACGGAAUUCAGCAGCACGUUGAGGAGUGGCUGAUUAGUGCGGACAAGGUGAUCAAUGAAGUCGAAACACUUAUUGAAGACAAAGAGAAUUCAAACAACCGGUGUUUGAAGGGGUUGUGUCCUAAUUUGAGGACUCGGUACCAGCUUAGCAAGAAAGCAGAAAGAGAGGCGAAUGCUAUUAUUGGACUCCAUGAAAAAGGGGGAUUCGACAGUGUUUCUUUCCGUAUCAUUCCAGAGGAGCCAUGGCUUAACUCUACCCAGGGUUUCAUGCACUUUGAAUCGAGAAAGUUCACUUUGAAUGAGAUACUAGACGCACUGAGCAACCGUAACUUCAACAUGAUCGGGGUGUACGGGAUGGGCGGCAUUGGAAAGACCACUCUGGUGAAAGAAGUUGGCAGGCAGGUCAAGGAAAAUAAUCUCUGCGAGAAGGUCAUUUCUGCACAUGUAUCCCGAACACCGCAAAUAAAAGAAAUACAAAGAGAAAUUGCAGAGAAGCUGGGCCUGAAAAUAGAUGAAGAGAGUGAAACUGCAAGAGCAGGGAGGCUGCUUGAAAGAUUGAAGAAAGAGAAGAAGAUCCUCAUAAUCUUGGAUGAUAUUUGGGGGAGUCUUGAUUUGGAGGCGAUUGGAAUUCCAUUGGCGGAUGAUAACAGCGGACGUAAAGUUCUGCUGACAUCAAGAAGUGUAGAUGUGUUGUCUUGUAAGAUGGAUUGUCAACAGAAUUUUCGUGUUGAUGUUUUGAAUGGAGGAGAAGCUUGGAGUCUUUUUACGAAGACGACAGGUGAUUGCAUAGAAAAUGAUGAAUUGAGAUCGGUAGCAAAAGAUAUAGUCAAGGAAUGUGCUGGUUUGCCCAUUGCCAUUGUACCCGUAGCAAGGGCAUUGAGAAACAAGAGAUUGUGUGAAUGGAAGGAUGCUUUGCUAGAAUUAAGAAGGCCCUCCUUGAGGAACUUCAGUGGAACACUGGAGGUGGCAUAUAAAAGUAUAGAGCUAAGUUACAGUCAUUUAAACGAGGAGCUCAAGAGUACAUUUUUGCUAAUAAGUUGCGCGUUCAUCUCUUGCGUUGAAGACGUGCGCUUUUAUGGAAUGGGUUUGGGUCUGUUUCAAAACAUCAACACGUUGGAAGAGGCGCGGGAUAGAGCACAUACAUUGGUUGACAAACUCAAAAAAUCUUGUUUGUUGCUUGAUGGCAAUACAAGUGAACGAUUCUAUGCACGAUGUUGUUCGUGAUGUAGCCAUAUCAAUUGCAUCUAGAGACCAACAUGUGUUUGCGGUGGAAAAUGAGGUUAUUCCGCUGACCAGCUGGCCACAUAAGGAGAGACUGAAGGUUUGCAGGGGGAGGUGCGCAGGUUGGCGCAGGUGAUAGAGGAGAUACAGGGCAAGAGAAAGCCCCCGAGCUGGAGGAUAAUGUUAGAUGAAGAAUCUCCGUUAUCAAUCGAGAUCAUGGGUACCAUAAUCCCAAGAGAUUUCCGCUUCCCCGACCUCAAAUACUCCGGGCGAAGUGACCCACUGGUGCACAUUGAGCGUUUCAACGAUAUGACGGGUGUGCAGGGGCUGACAUCAGCUCAGAGGUGCAGGGCGUUCCUGUUGACACUAGAGGGACGAGCUCGAGAAUGGUACCGCAAGCUGCCCCGAGGAAGUAUAAAAGGGUAUGAGCAGAUGUGCCAGGAGUUGGCCGAGCAGUUCCGAGGGGUAGUAGCCCCAGAGGACGACAUGAUGGAACUGAUGGGGAUGAAACAGGAGGAGCACGAGUCCCUACGGGAUUUUGUAAAGCGAUACCACCGAGCCGUACUUGAUUUGGGAGCUUUCAAUCACCCGCAGGCGUUGAGGGGUUUAAAGGAGGGUGUGAGGAUAGGCCGGCUAUGGUAUAACCUGAGAAGCCCCCUAGUGCAGAAUUAUUCAGCAGGAUAUGAGCAGGCAAAGAGAGAUAUCGAAAUCGAAGAAGAAAAAUCGGCAAAGAUAAAGAGUGAACAGCUGGAAGAGCUGAGACGAAAGGAAAGGAGAACUCCAAAUGGGAGCGGGUCGGGAAAGCGAGCUGGGGAACCCUCAGUAAGGGGCGGAACAUCAGCUCGAUCCCGCCCUUACCCCAUAGCUCCGAGAUCACAACAGUUCCAGCACAACCGGGCUCAACCUCCACGUCCCCCAUUCCCGGAUCGGCAGCGAGAAUUCCGGCAGAUGGCUGCCGACCCCUAUCAUAACACUCCCAGAGCAUUACAUGCAACCAAUUCCAGGGCUAGACGACCAGAUCAGUCAGCGACUAUGCCAGCCCGAGGUGACGUUCAUGAUAGCCGAGCAGUUCAGCUGGUAGACCAGAGCUUGGCAUAUAGACAAUACACUCCACUAAAGAUCUCCAUGGAGGAAUUGUAUGAGAGGAUCGAGGGACGAGGCCUGCUGUACCCUCCAGCCCCAAUAACAAAACCGACUCACCGACGGGAUAAGAGCCGAUUCUGCAAGUUCCACAACACUCACGGUCACACUAUCAGCCAAUGUCGUGACCUGAAGAUUCAGGUGGAGGAUUUAGUGAGGAACCGAUACUUGGACGAGUAUGUAGAUGGAAUAUCCCCUGUCAUGGAAUCAUAGUACACACGGGAUGAAGGAGUUGAGAGGGAUUUGGAACGUGAACAGCCGACCAUCCGUGUGAUAGCAGGAGGGCCAACAUUGGCCGGAGAUUCGAACAGGGCACGGAAGAACUAUGGGAGAUACGCCCUGACUAGCAAAGAAGUGCUUUUCAAUUUGCCAGCAACCAAGAAGGCAAAAGUGCGACAAGUUCCCAUUAUGUGGACAGAUGAGGAUGAAGAGGGUAUUUUAUAUCCUCACGAGGAUGCACUAGUGUUUAAAGCAUCGGUGGCUAGCACAGAAUUGCGGCGAAUACUGGUGGACACGGGCAGUUCAGUUGACAUUCUAUUUAAGUCAGCCCUAGAUGAUAUGGGGAUUUCAGAUUUAAAGCUGGAGCGGACAAAUACUUCCUUAAAAGGAUUUGGAGGGGGACGGUUAACUCCCUUGGGGAUCAUUGAACUCCCGAUUACUGUGGGGACAAAGCCGUUUGAACGAACGAUGAUGCUGGACUUCGUCGUGGUAGAGGAAAGAAGCCCUUACCAGAUGAUACUGGGGAGACCAUUCAUGAAGAUAAGUCAAUGCGUUGUAUCCACGCAUUACUUGGCGCUGAAAUACAGAAUAAAUGGGGUGGUUGGCGUAGUAAAAGGCGACCAGAGGAUGGCAAGGAGUUGUUAUGCUACGGCGGCCAAGGAGACACUACAGGUUACUUCUCUAGAUAAUCGAGGAGAGUCUAAAAAGGGCCGCCAAGAGCAUGUUGAGAAACUGGAGGAAGUUGCAGUAAGCAAAAGCAACCCGAGCAGAGUAAUGAAGAUCGGGUCAGGAUUGAUUGGGGCAGUAAAAGGCGAGCUGGUAAAUUGCCUACAGUCUCAUGCGGAUAUAUUCGCCUGGUCUCAUGAAGAUAUGCCCGGAAUUGAUCGCGGGGUAGCUUACCACAAGUUGGCAAUCAAGAAGGGGGCAAGGCCGGUGAGACAGAAGAGGAGAUGCUGCAACCAGGAAAGGUACGAGGCCAUAAACGCCGAGGUGGAGAAGUUGUUGAAAGCAGGAUUUAUAAGGGAAGCCAAGUACCCAGAAUGGAUUUCAAAUGUAGUCCUGGUAAAAAAGGCCAACGGGAAGUGGAGAAUGUGUGUGGACUUCACGGACCUCAAUAAGGCAUGCCCAAAGGACAAUUUUCCCCUACCCAAAAUAGAUCAGCUGGUGGACUCAACAGCAGGUCACAGUCUGCUCAGUUUCAUGGAUGCCUUUUCUGGAUACAACCAGAUACCCAUGGACGAGCAGGAUGAGGAAAGCACUGCCUUUAGAACUAACAUGGGUUUGUUUUGUUACAGGGUAAUGCCUUUCGGCCUAAAAAAUGCAGGAGCCACCUAUCAAAGGUUGGUAAACAAGAUCUUCAAACCGUUGAUUGGAUACACUAUGGAGGUAUAUGUGGAUGAUAUGAUUACAAAGUCCAAAGAGCCGACGGAUCAUGUGAAGCAUCUAGAAGAGACCUUUGAAUUACUGAGGAAGUAUGAGAUGAAACUAAACCCGGAGAAAUGUGCAUUUGGGGUCAGCUCGGACAAAUUUUUAGGAUUCCUGGUAAGCCACCGAGGGAUCGAGGCCAACCCGGAGAAAAUACGGGCGGUGACUGAAAUGAGGUCACCACGAACAGUUAAGGAGGUGCAAAGCCUUACAGGGAAGUUGGCAGCAUUAAACCGAUUCAUCUCGCGGGCCACAGAUAAAUGCCACCCUUUCUUCCAAACCAUAAAGAAAGGGAAAAAGAUGGAGUGGACAUCGGAAUGUGAGGAAGCAUUUGGGCAGCUGAAGGAAUACCUAACCCGGGUCCCAUUGUUAUUGACUCCGAGAGAGGGUGACCAGCUGUUGCUGUACUUAGCAAUCUCUAAAUGGGCUACCAGCUCGGUAUUGGUCAGGGAAGAGGAAGGAAAGCAACACCCGGUAUACUACACAAGCAAGGCCUUGGUAGAGGCGGAAACCAGAUACCCAUUGAUGGAGAAGUGGGCGCUAGCUCUAAUAACAGCAGCACGAAAACUCCGACCAUAUUUUCAGGCCCAUCAGGUUAUAGUUAUGACCGACCAGCCCCUUCGGCAAACACUUCAAAAACCAGAUGCAUCGGGUCGACUAGUAAAAUGGUCCGUAGAGCUAAGUGAAUUCGACCUCUCUUACAGGCCCCGAGGAGCAAUCAAGGCCCAAGCUCUGGCUGAAUUUAUGGUUGACCGAGCCGAUACAGGGAAAGAAAUUCGGGAGGAGCAAGUAGCAGAGCAGGAGAAACCAGAAGGGUUGUGGUUGGUAAUGGUUGACGGAUCAUGUAGUGAGCAAGGAUCCAGAGCAGGAGUUGUAAUACAGAGCCCAGAAGGAACCGAAAUAACGUAUGCAGUGAAGUUUGACUUUCAGCUCACAAACAACCAAGCUGAAUAUGAGGCCUUUAUCACCGGGCUCGGACUUACACACGCUCUAAGAGCAGAGAGGGUAGAAAUUCGAGCAGAUUCCCAACUGGUGUGUAAUCAGCUCAAUGAUCAGUUCCAAGCAAGGGGAGAGAAGAUGGGUCUUUAUUUAAAGAAGGCAAAGCAGAUGGUUGGGCUUUUCCAAGCAGUGGAGGUAAAGCAGAUAUCCCGGAAUGAGAAUUUCCGAGCAGAUAUGCUGGCUAGGAUGACAGCCAUUGCAGAUCCGAAAUUACCGAAGUCAGUUCCACUAGAGGUAAGGACCUCACCGAGUAUUGAGGAAGAAGCAGAGGUGAUGAGAGUAAGUAUUGGAGAAUCCUGGAUGGACCUGAUUCGCGCAUAUGUCCGCGAUGGAGUUUUACCAGAAGACAAAAGGCAAGUAAGAAAAUUAAAAUGCCGAGCAGCAAGGUAUACGCUACUGGAUGGAGUGCUGUACCGUCGAGGGUUCACCUUGUCCCUUUUGAGAUGUUUGGAUGAUGAGGAGGCGGAUUAUGUGCUGAGAGAGAUUCAUGAGGGAAUAUGCAGCAAUCACUCGGGAGCAAGAACUUUAGCCUUCAAGGCACUCCGGCAAGGAUACUUCUGGCCAACCAUGCACCAGGAUGCCAAAAGGAUGGCAAAGAAUUGUAAAACAUGCCAAAGCUUCUCCGAGGUUCCUGCACAACCCCCGGAAAAGCUGACGGCUAUGACAUCCCCAUGGCCUUUCGCUCAAUGGGGAGUCGACUUGAUUGGUCCAUUGCCUAAGGGACGAGGAGCGGCGACACAUGCAAUUGUGGCAAUAGACUACUUUACCAAGUGGGUGGAAGUAGGAGUCCUCAGCCAGAUUACGGAGAGGAAGACAACAGAUUUUAUUUGGAAGAAUAUCAUCUGCAGAUAUGGGAUCCCCUACGCCAUCAUCACAGACAAUGGGAGGCAAUUUGACAACGGCAACUUCAGGGAAUUUUGCCGAAACCUGGGGGUGGACCUGAAGUUCUGCACCCCCGCACACCCCCAGGCAAACGGACAAGUGGAAGCAUCCAACAAGGUGAUAAAGAAGCUCCUAAAGACUAGAUUGGGAGAGAAGAAGGGAGCUUGGGUUGACGAGCUACCAGGAGUACUGUGGGCCUACAGGACAACUCACAAAACCGCCACAGGGGAAACACCGUUCGCUUUAGCCUUUGGUCAUGAGGCAGUAAUCCCAGCAGAGGUUGGAGUGGGAACACAUCGGACGGAAUAUUUCACUGAGGAGCAAAAUGACGAGCAGAUUUGCUUAAGUCUGGACCUGCUGGAGGAGAAAAGAGAAGGGGCAGUGCAGAAAGUGGCCCAGUGCCAACAAAGGGUCAUGCGUUAUUACAACAAGAACGUACGCGUGAGGCAGUUCCGAGCAGGAGAUUGGGUACUUAGGAAGGUGAACCAGAACACCAGGGAUCCUAACCAUGGCGCUCUUGGCCCAAAGUGGGAAGGCCCGUACCGGGUGAUACGAGCCACUGGACCAGGAGCCUAUAAAUUAGCGCACCAAGAUGGACGAGAAGUGAAGAGGUCAUGGAACGCCGAACACCUGAAGAAGUAUUUCCAGUAAGCAAAGUGCUCUACUAAAUCCCCAUUUUGACAAGAUAUCUAUGUUAACUGCAUCAUGGCUUUGCUGCACAUAUAUGUAUCCAGUAUUCUUGUAAUGCUUUCAAAUUUCAAAUAAAGAUGAGUUCAGCAUGAAAUCCCCCUGCUAGUCUAAUCAAUAAAAGUUUCUACUAAGGCAAGUAAGUGCCUACUUCUGCUCGGUCAACAAAAGACCAGCAGCUAAAUUUACGAAGUUUCUACUAAGGCAAGUAAGUGCAUACUUCUGCUCGGUCAACGAAAGACCAGCAGCUAAAUUUACGAAGUCUCUACUAAGGCAAGUAAGUGCCUACUUCUGCUCGGUCAACGAAAGACCAGCAGCUAAAUUUACGAAGUUUUUACUAAGGCAAGUAAGUGCCUACUUCUGCUCGGUCAACGAAAGACCAGCAGCUAAAUCUACGAAGAUUCUACUAAGGCAAGUAAGUGCCUACUUUUGCUCGGUCCACGAAAGACCAGCAGCUAAUUCUGCAAAAAAUCCUACUAAGGCAAUAAAGUGCCUGUUUCUGCUCGGUCAACGAAAGACCAACAGCUAAAGCUUCGACAAUUCUACUAAGGCAACAAAGUGCCUGUUUCUGCUCGGUCAACGAAAGACCAGCAGCUAAAGCUUCGAAAAUUUUACUAAGGCAAACGGAUGCCUAUUCCUGUUCGAUGCACCAAAGAACCAACAGGCAAAACCAGACAAGAAAGCCAAUAGAGAGCAUUCAAGAAUUUUUAUAAACGUUCAAAUGUUUACAAAGCAAAUGAAAAUCUAGAGUCUUUUACAAAAAUAGACCUAAGGAUUAGGAAGGUCAACGGCCUCAGCAGGAGAAGGGUCGGCUGUCUUGGGAGGUGGAAGAUCAGCAAUAACGGGAGGAGGAGGCGCGGACCCUUGUCCCACUUCAAAAACACACUGACCAGCACCUCCCUCCCGCACCUCAUCAAAAGGAACCUCCACCUGCUCCUUAUCUCCCUGGCCGGCCCCAGCCAUAUACCUCUCCACCCCAGAUUCCAGCUUGCUCAUGUCGAGCUCAUGGUAUUCUUCCUUAAGCACAGACAUGAUGCACUUAUAGCUGAAAGCAACCCCGGAGUCAUACUCGGCAUCCAGCCGAUCAUCCACGUCAGCGGAUUUGCUUUUCUCCUCAGCCAGCUGGUCCUUCAGGGAUUUGAUCUCUCCUUCAAGGGCGACCCUCAGAGUAUCCCUUUCACUUUGGGUAGCCUGAAGAUCGGACUUCAGAUCACCCAACUCAUCCUCAAGCUUGGAGGAAGUGGACUCAGCAACAGCAACUUUCUCCUAAAGCUCCGUAAGCUGCUUGUUCAGCUCGGCCAGUUUCUCCUUGGAACGGUCAGCAGAUUCGACUUUCUUUUUCAACUCCUGGUUAUCAGCUUGGAGCUUCCUCUCAUGACGCACGGACCCGGUCUUGUAGCACGAGACCAUUGUGGCCAGCCUGAAGGAAACUCUUUGAACAGAAGCAGCUAACUCGGAGAGGCUCAUGCUCUCGAUGUCCUUCACCAUCUUGGGCCCAACCGAUUUUCUGUAAUCCUUCUGAUAUGGGCUCAGGUAGUCACCUUGAUCCCGAGAUGGAAGAGGAGAAGAGCGGUCCCCAGACUGCAAGCUGACCUCAGGACUUUUGUCGGAGGUUUUAUCCCCACCACUCUUACGAGGUGGAGGAGGGGGCAGAGCAGGAACUGGCGCCUUGGAAGGACCGACGCUGGGUUUCUUUGGAGGAGGAGGAGGGUUGUUGGAGCUACUCGGAGCCCGACCACGCUUUCUGCUCAACGCGCUGAGGAUCUUGUUAUCCAUUCCAGUGGCAAUAUCUACUAAGCGGGAACCGACCAAGUUUGUUGGCGACAGGAGGUCUUGGCAAGUAGACGCGUUCAACAGAGCAGUUUCCACCUGAAGCAAAGGUCGGUCUUCAAGAUCCUUCACCAAACCCCACGAUUCUGAAAAAAUAAACAAGGUUAAAGAACCCAAUGAGUGGCAAUUUAAGAAAGAAUAUAGGCAAAAAAUGAACGACCUGGGGUGACAAAAUGGGUGGGAAGAUAAAUGUCCCCACCAAGCGACUGAACCGCUGGACACCAGUUCCCUCCAGCAAAGAAGAAUUUGUUCUUCCAAUUUUUACAUGAAGAUGGAAACCCAGUGAUCGGUUUCCUCUUUGCGGAACUGGACAUGAAAUAGUACCAGCCUGCCUCCUUCGGGCUACUCCGCAGCUGGUACAGAUGUUUCACUUCAACAAGAGAAGGCUCCUCCGACCCGCACCUCUCCCACAACAUAAACAUUGCCGAGAGAACCCUCCACCCAUUUGGGUGUAGCUGACCUGGGGCCAGGUGCAUACCGCCCAGUAUCUUGGCAAAGUAAGGUUGAAGGGGCAGCCGAGCUCCUAGUCUGAAACUCUCCAAGUGCAUCAUCACAUACCCUUUCGGAGGCCGACUAGGGACAUCACCUUUUCCAGGAACUACAAGAAGAACCUCGUUGGGGAUGUUGUAGAGAUUCCUAAGUUUAAAUAGAUCGGUGGGGGUGGUGGCACAAGCCAUGAAAUCAAUAGGGUAGGAAUCAGCCUCCACCCUAUGGCCUAGGUUCCUUUUCUGAGCAGGUCUGCUCGGUCCGGAACUGCUCCCCUCACCAUCACCAACUCCUUCAGGGAUCCCAACCCCACCAAAGCUGUGGUUCUCGCCAGAGCCCGACGCAGGUCCACCCCUAUUUCCUACAAGCUCUAAUUCGGGAGAGGGAGAGACAACCAGGGGGCGUGGGUACUCAAGGGUACCCCUACCAUGAGGAGGACCUACACUACUGGAGGGACCUAAAAAAUCGGUGGGUAUUGGCACGUUGAGGCCUGAAUCCCCUGAUUCGUCAUCACCCUCAUCAACAAUUAACUUCCUCUUCCGAUUUGACAUACCGGAAUCCCAAAAGAAGACAGAGAAAACUCGAGUAUAUGGACACAAAGGGGCAACACAGAACCCAAUCAACAACAACCGAAGAAAAGGUUAAAGGCUAUACCUGGAAUAGACUGACACUGAUAGCGCCGCCAUGACAGAGAAAACACCCAGCAAAUGGAUACUCCGGACGCUGGAAGUGUGAGCAAAGUGCAGAGAAAAUUUGGUUAACGGCGGAGAAACGAGUAACAAGAUGGUGAAGACUCCAGUCUAGGGAUUUAAAACGAAAAGGGGGAAAUGGAAGCAUUUAAGUGAUGGGGACGCCAGCUCACUCACCGUACAUCGAGGACAGAUAGCCCGUCGUUUCAAAUUUCAAAUACGAAGAAUCGGGAGAUGCCACGUCACCAACCGUUACAAGAGGCCGGGCUAGAUGCAAGCCCAGGUGCGCAGUGGACAUGCUCAUUUAGGCCCACGCCCAGAUCAAAAUCUCACCUGAAGAAAAAUGAAUUGCUCAGGUCCGUCCCGGUAGACAGAAGACCAGAGGAGAAACCCCGGAUUGGUAAGAGUCGACUAUCAGUUUCUACUCUUGACUCAUUUCACUCACAAGACCAGAAACUGGGGGACUGGUGUUAAGCAAAUAAAAGCACCAGGUCGUCCAGGAUACUACUUCCACCCCGGCAUGAAUCACCUCAGCCAAAUGGUACGAGCAGAACAGGGGUAACAUGAGUCGAUCAGAGACGAAUACUGACCAGAGCCACAUACCGAGCCGGUACUCGUCCCCCGAAAAGCGGAAACACGAUCUCACAGAAUCACGGUAGUUGUGCUUUCCCAGAACCGUUGCGGGAGACGCGAGAUCCCACGUUUGCCCAUAAUGCAGCAGUUAGAGCCCCAUGAGAGGCUACCACUACCCGAAAAAGGUGGGAUGAAGGGCAAGCGGGAACGUGGGGACAGCGGCUAUAAAAGAAGGAGAAAUCGAUGAAGAAGGAGAUAGAAAAAAUUGAGAGAGGGAAAACGCUGCCAAAUUGAAACCAGGCUAUUUUCUUAUAAAACUCCGAAUAAUUUAGAAACCAUUUUGAGAUCUAAAUUGCACUGUUUUCCCGUAAACACCUUGAGCUAACUUAGGCAUCGGAGGGUUUACGCCGGCAAAACCACCGGCGUCUCUGAUCCGUUUUUGGUGAGCGCAGGUCUAUUGUGAGAAAGGAGGACGAUUCCAAUCCCAGUGAACGAGCAACAGUAGAUAACACAAACGUUGGUGAAAGAAUCUGGUCGGUCCAAAGGUGAGCAGAUUUAAGCAUCAACAAUAAUGAUUUGAAGCAAGUCAGCUAAGGCCAAGUGUUUUUAUUAUUUAGGCAAUUAGAUCAUGAAUGGUAAUCUUUCAUUUGAUCAAUUACCUCAAAAUACUCUCAUUUUACGAAGAACGUCAAAUAAUCAAAACUAAUCGUCAUUAAUUAAAAGCUACUGUAGAAAGCCAGAACGGUCUUCCAAAUUGCAAGUUGGAAGAUGUGGGCGGCAUUAGCAACUGUCAGGAAUCUUCAUCCAAGUUGCGAGCCACCCGACCCGAGUCUCAUCAUUUACUUUUGUUUACUUUUAUUUCAUUUUCGUUUACUUUUGAGAAAAGGAAAAUGUAAAGAUUGAAUAAGAAUCACUUGUUUGAAAAUUGAAAAAUGAUCGGAGGACUAAAAUAAGACACAAAAUUGAUUUUUUUUUUAAAUAUAUAUAUUCAAAAUGAUAUCGUUCUUGUUUUAUUUAAAGAAAAAAAUUCGCCUAAAAUGACAUUAUUUUAAAUAUAUUUUUUUGGCAAUUUUUAAUCAAAUUUUAUUUCAAAUAUCAAUCUUGAAAAUUAGUUUAAGAUUUUAUAAUUAGAAGCACACGGGGAUGGGGAUCUCUUCGUUUUAACUUUUGGCCUUAAUCAGUUUUCUGUGAUAUUUUGUUGACUGAAACGCCAAAGAGUUUCGGAGUGGACCAACUAUUCAAAUGUGAGAGAAACUUGCGUGGGAGCUGAGGUGGUGGCUGGUGGGAUAAUCUAUUGGUGCUCGGCUCCGUGAUGGAAUAAACGAAUCCCAUCAUGAAAUCUAUGGCUGGUGGGAUAAUCUAUUGGUCUACUUAUGAUCCGAUUUUGGGAGAAUCUCACUCUUAUCAUCACCUCACAUUUCGCACAAUUUUUUUCAAUUCUUCGUCCACUCUUCGUUCAUUUCAAUGAAAAAGAAAAAGAAAUUAAUAUAAUCGAAUACACUACCUCAGUUAAUUUAGUUCUGCUGACUUAAUUUUUUUAAAAUAUAAAGUCAGUGAAUGCCGCUGUAAAAAUCAAAUAAUUGGUUACCAUUGGGCCGACGCACAUCUCCCAACUCUGCAAGUCUUUCUCCUUCUCAAUCAACAUACUCAAUCGUCUUUGUUUGGGUGAUUAUACUACCAGCCACACAUGCUUUCAUCUGGUCGAGUUAAGAAUCUCCUCAGGUCGGUGUAUUAUGAGCAGACACAAUAGUACCAGGGUCCUAUUCGGCGUAUGGCUAAAAGUCGACAAGAGAACUGUUCCUUAAAGAUCAGACACGACACCACAUCUAGGCGAUGGUUUCGCCAUUUCCCAACCGUACGGGGAAAGGUACAAUAACUUAUGCACGAUUUUUACAAAUCCUCAAAACCCACGAAGGCCCGAAUAUGUAGGACCUGGGGAUGUUCUAGAUACAUGGGGAGGCUGCCUAUAAAAACCCCGAAAAAAACAACAAAAGGAAAAAAAGAAAAAAGAGGACGUAGGGAUGUUAUGAUGGAAUGUAUCUCCUCACCCACUAUGCAGCUCUUGUGGAAUGGGGAACUUACGGAAUCGUUCAUCCCUUCGAGAGGAAUUCGGCAAGGCGACCCAAUUUCACCCUAGAUAUUUGUGAUUUGCAUUGGGAGGCUGAGCCAUGGUAUUAAUCAAGUUGUUCGGGAAGGUAGAUGGAAACCAAUUAAGCUUGCUUGUCAAGGUAUCCCUAUCACUCAUGUUUUCUUUGCUGAUGACCUUCUGUUGUUGACAAAAGCCUCUGUUUCUCAGGCGCAUGUAAUCAAGGAUGUUCUCAACGUUUUUUGCACGAGUUCUAGGGAAAAAGUUAGCAAUGGCAAAACGUGGACUUUUUUCUCCCAUAAUGUGAAGGCUUCUGAUGCUAAAAAUAUUGGAGAAAAGCUCAGUUUCACCACAACAAAGGACCUUGGUAAUUACCUAGGUAUGCCUUUGUUGCACAAGAGGAUUAGAAAGCAAACUUAUCAAAGCCUGAUUGACCGAGUUCAACAAAGACUCUCGGGUUGGACGGCCAAGCAUCUUUCUCUUUCCGGUCGGAUAACUUUAACACAAUUGGUCAUUCAAGCCCUACCCAUCUAUUCCAUGUAGACUGUCAUGCUACCUGCAAGUAUUCGAAAUAAAAUCGAUCAGAUUUGCACACUUUUUAUCUGGAGCGGGAUUGAAGAGGCCAAGCGCAUGCAUCUUAUUAAGUGGGAUAAGGUACAGCUUCCUAAAUGUUGUGGGGGUCUUGGAAUUAAAAAUCUUAAUCUCAUGAAUAAGGCUUUGCUGAUGAAAAUUGGUUGGAAUCUAUUUGGCUCUCCUCACAGUUUUCUGGAUCCAGGUGUUAAGUAAUAAAAAGUACUAGCUCGGCCAUGCCCUCAUCUCUUACCCUGAGGCGAAUCUCCUCAGUUGAAAGACACGAGAAGAGUUCGGGUAAAACAUCUUAUACGGGUAUGUGCCAACUAGAGACGAGCACCAACUAGAGAAAUAUACUGACCAGAGAGGAGCACUGACCAGAUGCUCGUCACCCAAAGAAAGGGCAUACGAUCUCACGAAAUCGCGACAGUUUCGCUAUGCCCCGAACCGUUGGGAAAGACGUGGCAUCCUACGUUUACCCACAAUCUAGUGGUUGGAGACCCAUGAGGGUUUGCCAUCACCCGAAAAAGGGGGACAUGAAGAGUAUGCAGAAACGUGGGACAACGACUAUAAGAAUCCAGGAAACCGAUGAAAAAAGGGGGAGAAAAAUCGAGAAAAAAAGGAAAACUCUGCCAAAUUAAAACCCGAUGGUAUUCCAUACAAGUUUUUGAGAGCAUUACAAGAAAUCACACAAUCUAAUUUACAUAGUUUUCUUGUAAACACCUUGUGCUAACUUAAGCAUCAGAGAGUUUAUGCCGGUAAAACUACUGGUGACUCUUAUCCAUUUUUGUGAACGCCGGCUUAGGAAGAGGAAAAAUGGUGAUUCCAACCCCAGGGACUCAAGCAAUCGUUGAAACAGAAAGAAGGUGACAUCUUCUCUAUCGACCAUAUAAACGUUGGUGAAAAGAUCUGGUCGGGCAAAGGGCGAGCAAAUUUCAACAUCAACAUUUUGGCGCCGUCUGUGGGGAGCUGGAUAAAAAUCUACCACCAAGUUAGUAGUCAUUAAAGGAGCAGCGAACGAUCGGUUAUGGAUGUGUCAAGGAAGGAUGCCCUAGGGGGCGACAAUGAAACUGGUGAAACAAUCACUCUCCGAGAGAUCGCAAAUGAAGCUAGAGAGAGGGUGAUGCAAGACCGAAUGGAACAGAUGGAGAAGCAAAUGGAGACUCUCACGGCUAUAUUACAUGAGCUGAGGGAUGAGCAGAGAAGGGAUUGUGAAACCACCGUGGCGAGGGAUGAAGCCGUGGCAAAACCCAGCCUGCGAAGGCAUAGAAUUGAGGAGAUCCCUCCGCUGGUACACCAACCCUAUGGGGUGCAUUCCCAUAGAAGUGCAAGUCGGAUCCCAAGAGAGCGCGUAGGUGAAGGGAGAGACCAAUCUCGCUUCGGACGAGUUCUGGAAAUUGAUGGCUGAGGAGCGAAUAUUGAUGAAGGAGAGCUCAGACAGUGGCUGCAUAAUGCCGAGCAGGAGCGAGAUCAAAUAGCUGCGCGCGAUCCUAACUGCGCUUUAGAAUUGGAGGGUGAGGUACGCAGGUUGGCUCAGGUGAUGGAUGAGAUUUAAAGCAAGAGAAAGCCCCCGAGCUGGAGGAUAAUGUUGGAUGAAGAAUCUCCGCUAUCAGCCGAGAUCAUGGGUACUGUAAUCCCAAGAGAUUUCCGCUUUCCCGACCUCAAAUACUCCGAGAGAAGUGACCCGCUGGUGCAUAUUGAGCAUUUCAACGACAUGACGAGUGUACAGGGGCUGACACUAGCUCAAAAGUGCAGGGUGUUUCCAUUGACACUAGAGGGGCGAGCCCGAGAAUGGUACCGUAAGCUGCCACGAGGAAGUAUAGGGGGAUAUGAGCAGAUAUGCCAAGAGUUGGCCGAGCAGUUCCGAGGAACGGUAGCUCCAGAGGACGAUAUGAUGGAAUUGAUGGGGAUGAAGCAGGAGGAACACGAAUCCCUUCGGGAUUUUGUGAAAAGAUAUCAUUGGGUCGUGCUUGAUCUGGGAGCUUUCAAUCACCCGCAGGCAUUGAGGGGAUUAAAAGAGGGAGUGAGGAUAGGCUGAUUGUGGUACAACUUGAGAAGUCCCAUCGUUCAGAACUAUUCGACGGGGUAUGAGCAGGCGAAGAGAGACAUAAAAAUUGAAGAAGAAAAAACGGCAAGGAUAAAGAGUGAGCAGCUAGAGGAGCUGAGGCGAAAGGAAAAGAGAACCCUGAGUGGGAGCGGGUCGGGAAAGCGAGCUGGGGAAUCAUCAGUGAUGGGUGGAAUAUCAGCUCGGUCUCGCCCUUAUCCCAUGACUCAGAGACCGCAACAAUUUCAACACAGCCGAGCUCAGCCUCAACGCCCCUCAUUCGCAGAGCGGCAACAAGAAUUCCGGCAGGUGGCUGCCCAUCCUUAUCAUAAUGCUCCCAGGGCAUUACAUGCAGUUAAUUCCAGGAUUGGUCGACCAAACCAGCUACCUACAGUGCCAGCCCGGGAUGAUAUCUACGAUAGCCGAGCGGUCCAACUGAUUGAUCAGAGCUCAGCGUAUAAACAGUACACCCCAUUGAAAGUCUCUAUGUAGGAGUUGUAUGAGAGGAUCGAGGGACGAGGCCUGCUAUACCCUCCUGCCCCUAUAACCAAACCCGCUCACAAAUGGGAUAAAAGCAGAUUCUGUAAAUUCUACGAUACUCAUGGCCACACUAUCAGCCAGUGUCGUGACCUGAAGACUCAGGUGGAGGAUUUGGUGAGAAACCGAUACUUGGAUGAGUAUGUAGAUGGGGCAUUCUCUAUCCUUGAGUCACAAUAUACUCAGAGGGAUGGAGACGAGAGGAGUCUGGAGCAUGAGCAGCCAACCAUUCGGGUGAUCGCAGGAGGGCCAACAUUGGCUGGGGAUUCAAACAUGGCACGGAAGAAUUACGGGAGAUAUGCCAUGACCAGCAAAGAGGUGCUUUUCAAAUUGCCAACAGCCAAGAGGGCGAAAGUGAGGCAAGUUCUCAUUAUGUAGACAGAUGAUGACAAAGAGGGUGUUUUAUAUCCUCAUGAGGAUGCACUGGUGAUUAAGGCAAUGAUGGCUGGUAAAGAAUUACGGCGAAUAAUGGUGGACACAGGCAGCUCGGUUGAUAUACUGUUUAAGUUGGCCUUAGAUGAUAUGAGAAUUGCGGACUUAAAAUUGGAGCGGACGAAUACAUCCUUGAAGGGAUUUGAAGGAGGACAGUUAAACCCCAUGGGGAUCAUCGAGCUCCCGAUUACUGUAGGGUCGAAGCCGUUUGAAAGAACAAUGAUGUUGGACUUUGUCGUGGUAGAAGAGAAAAGCUCUUACCAGAUGAUACUAGGACGACCUUUCAUGAGGGUAAGCCAAUGUGUCAUAUCCACGCAUUAUCUGGCAUUGAAAUACAGAGUGAAUGGAGUCGUGGGCGUAGUAAAAGGUGAUCAGAGAAUGACGAUGAGUUGUUACGCUACAACGGCCAAGGAAACACUACAAGUUACCACUCUGGAUAACCGAGGAGAUUCUAAAAAGGGUCGCCAGGAACUAGCUGAGAAAUUGGAAGAGGUUUUGGUGAGCAAGAGUAACUCGAGCAGAGUGGUAAGGAUCGGGUCAGGAUUGGGCGAGGCAAUAAAAGGCGAGCUGGUAAAGUGCCUACAGUCCCACGCAGAUAUAUUUGUCUGGUCGCAUGAAGACAUGCCAGGAAUUGAUCCCGGGGUAGCUUGCCACAAGUUGGCAAUUAGGAAAGGGGCAAGACCGGUGAGGCAGAAAAGGAGGUUUUUUAACCAGGAAAGGUACGAGGCCAUGCUGAGGUGGAGAAGUUGUUGAGAGCAGGAUUUAUAAAGGAGGCUAAAUACCCAUAGUGGAUUUCCAAUGUAGUGUUGGUAAAGAAGGCCAACAGGAAAUGAAGAAUGUGUAUGGAUUUCACGGACCUGAACAAGGCAUGCCCAAAGGAUAGUUUUUCCCUACCUAAAAUAGAUCAAUUGGUUGACUCAACAGCGGGUCACAGUCUGCUUAGCUUCAUGGAUGCCUUCUCGGGAUACAACCAGAUACCCAUGGACAAGCAGGAUGAGGAGUGUACCACCUUUAUAACUAACAUGGGUUUGUUUUGCUACAGGGUGAUGCCCUUUGGCCUAAAAAAUGCAGGGGCUACCUAUCAAAGGUUGGUGAAUAAGAUUUUCAAACCAUUGAUCGGUCACACUAUAGAGGUAUACGUGGACGAUAUGAUCAUGAAGUCUAAAAGACCAAUGGAUUAUGUGAAGCACUUGGAAGAGACCUUUGAACUACUGAGGAAAUACCAAAUGAAGUUGAAUCCGGAGAAAUGUGCGUUUGGAGUUAGCUCGGGCAAGUUUUUGGGAUUCCUGGUGAGCCACCGAGGGAUCGAGGCCAACCCGGAAAAAAUACGAGCAGUAAUAGAAAUGAAGUCCCUCCAAACAGUUAAGAAGGUGCAAAGUCUUACGGGGAAAUUGGCAGCAUUGAACCGGUUCAUCUCGCGGGCCACGAAUAAAUGUCACCCUUUCUUCCAAACCAUAAAGAAAGGGAGGAAAAUUGAGUGGACAUCAGAAUGUGAGGAGGCAUUCGGGCAGUUGAAGGAAUAUCUUGCCCGUGCCCCGUUACUAUCGACUCCGAGAGAAGGUGACAAGCUGUAUUUGUACUUGGUUGUCUCUAAAUGGGCUACCAGCUCGGUAUUAGUUAGAGAAGAAGAAGGAAAGCAACACCCCAUGUAAUACAAUAGCAAGGCCCUUGUGGACGCAGAAACUAGAUAUCCACUGAUGGAGAAAUGGGUGUUAGCUUUAAUAACGGUAGCGUACAAGCUCAGACCGUACAUUCAGGCCCACUCGAUAGUAGUGAUGACUGACCAACCUCUUUGGCAAAUGCUCCAAAAACCAGAUGCUUUUGGUCGGCUAGUAAAAUGGUCUGUAGAGCUGAGCGAAUUUGAUCUAUCUUAUAAACCACGAGGAGCAAUCAAAGCCCAAGCCCUGGCCGAUUUUAUGGUUGAUCAUGUUGAACCAGGGGAAGAAGUUCAGGAGGAGCAACCAGCUGAACAGGAGAAACCAAAGAGGGUGUGGCUGGUAAUAGUUGAUGGGUUGCGUAGUGAACAGAGAUCCGAAGCAGGAGUGGUAAUACGAAGCCUAGAAGGGGCCGAGGUAUCCUAUGCAGUAAAAUUUGAAUUCCAGCUCACGAAUAACUAAGCCGAAUAUAAAGCCUUCAUCACUGGGCUCGGGCUUGCACACACAUUACGAGCAGAGAGGGUAGAAAUCCGAGCAGACUCCCAAUUAGUCUGUAAUCAGCUCAGUGACUAAUUCCAAGCGAGGGAAGAGAAGAUGGGACUUUAUUUGAAGAAGGCAAAGCAGAUGGUUGGGCUUUUCCAAAAAGUAGAAAUAAAGCAGAUAUCCCGAAAUGAAAAUUACCGAGCAGAUAUAUUGGCCAAAAUGGCCAUAAUUACGGAUCCAAAGUUACCCAAGUCAGUUCCAUUGGAAGUGAGGACCUCGCCAAGUAUAGGGGAGGAGGUAGAAGUAAUGCGGGUGAACACUAAAAAAUCCUGGAUGGACCCGAUUCUCUCAUACAUCCGCGAUGACAUUUUACCAUAAGACAGGAAGCAAGUAAGAAAGUUAAAAUGUCGGGCAGCAAGGUAUAUGCUACUCGAUGGGGUACUCUACCGUCGAGAAUUCACUUUGCCCCUUUUGAGAUGUUUGGAUGACGAGGAAGAAAAUUAUGUGCUGAGGGAGGUUCAUGAAGGAAUAUGCGGCAACCACUCGGGGGUAUGGACUUUGGUCUUCAAGGCACUCCGGUAAGGGUACUUCUGGCCGACUAUGCACCAGGAUGCGAAGGGGAUGGCAAAAAACUAUAAAGUCUGCCAAAGCUUCUCGGAGGUUCCUACUCAACCCCUAGAAAAGCUAACCGCUAUGUCAUCCCCAUGGCCUUUUGCCCAGUGGGGAAUUGACCUGAUUGGCCCAUUACCCAAAGGCCGAUGAGGCGCAACACAUGCAAUUGUGGCUAUAGAUUACUUUACUAAAUGGGUAGAAGUGGGAGUCCUCAAUCAAAUUACGGAGAGAAAGACAACAGAUUUUAUCUGGAAGAAUAUCAUCUGCAGAUACGGAAUCCCUAUGCAAUCAUAACAGACAAUGAGAGGCAGUUUGACAACCACAACUUUUGAGAAUUUUGCCAAAACUUGGGUGUCGAUCUGAAGUUUUGUACCCCGGCACACCCCUAGGCAAACGGGCAAGUAGAAGCAGCCAACAAAGUAAUAAAGAAACUUCUGAAAACCAAGCUAGGAGAGAAGAAGGGAGCUUAGUUCGACGAGCUACCAAGAGUGUUAUGGGCCUACCGAACAACCCAUAAAACUGCCACAGGAGAAACCCCGUUUGCCUUAGCUUUCGGUCAUGAGGCAGUAAUCCCAGUAGAAAUGGGGGUGGGAACACAUCGGACAGAGUAUUUCAACGAGGAACAAAAUGACAAGCAGAUUUGCAUGAGCCUGGACCUGCUGGAAGAAAAAAGAGAAGGGGCAUCGCAGAGAGUGGCCAAAUGCCAGCAAAGAAUCAUGCGCUAUUACAACAAGAAUGUACGCAUGAGACAAUUUCGAGCAGGAGAUUGGGUACUUAGAAAAGUGAACCAAAACACAAGAGAUUCUAAUCAUGGCGUUCUUGGCCCGAAAUGGGAGGGCCUGUACAGAGUAGUACAAACAACUAGCCCAGGAGCUUACAAGCUGACUUACCCAGAUGGACGAGAUGUGAAGAGGUCGUGGAACGCCGAGCACUUGAAGAAAUACUUCCAGUAAGCAAAGUGCUUUACCAAGUUUUUAUUUUGAUAAGCUAUUUCUGUUAAAUGCAUGAUGAUGAAUUGUGACACAUGCAUGUAUUUCGCCUUUUGUAAUCUAUGCAAAGUUCAAUAAAGAUGAAUUCAGCAUAAAGUUCCCUUGCUAGACAAAUUUUACUAAGACAAGCAAGUGCCUAUUCCUGCUCGGUCGCCUAAAGGGCCAGCAGGCAAAAUCCAUUAAAUUUACUAAGGCAAGCAAGUGUCUAUUCCUGCUCGGUCGCCUAAAGGGCCAGCAGGCAAAAUCCAUUAAAUUUACUAAGGCAAGUAAGUGCCUAUUCCUGUUCGGUCGCCUAAAGGACCAGCGAGCAAAAUCCAUUAAAUUUACUAAGGCAAGCAAGUGCCUAUUCUUGCUCGGUCGCCUAAAGGGCCAGCAGGCAAAAUCCAUUAAAUUUACUAAGGCAAGCAAGUGCCUAUUCCUACUCGGUCGCCUAUAGGACCAGCAGGCAAAAUUCAUUAAAUUUACUAAGGCAAGCAAGUGUCUAUUACUGCUCGAUCGCCUAAAGGACCAGCAGGCAAAAUCCAUUAAAUUUAUUAAGGCAAGCAAGUGCCUAUUCCUGCUCAGUCGCCUAAAGGACCAGCAGGCAAAAUCCAUCAAAUUUACUAAGGCAAGCAAGUGUCUAUUCCUGCUCGGUCACCUAAAGGACCAGCAGGCAAAAUCCAUUAAAUUUACUAAGGUAAGCAAGUGCCUAUUCCUUCUCGGUCAUUGAAGGACCAGUAUGCAAAAUUCUACGAAACCGUUAAAGCAAGGAAUCGUCUAUUUUUCCUCAGUCACCCAGAGACAAGCAAACAUAUUUUUUAAAGUAAUUUGCAAAAACAACUCGUAAGCAAAAUCAUGGCAAGAAAGCAACCAAAAAGUGUCAAACAUUUAUAAACAUCCAAGCGUUUGUAAACAAAUGAAAAUUCAGAAUUUACAUAAAAAGCAAGCCUAAGGAUUAUGAGGUUCAGCGGCCUCAGUAGGAGAAGGAUCAGUAGUCUCGAAAAGAGGAGGACUAGCGACUUCUGGAGGAGCAGACGUUGACCCAUGGCCUACUUCCAGGGCGUGAUCCCCUGCUUCCUCCUCCUGCACCCCACCUGGAGGUGCCUCAACCUGAUCCUGGUCCCCUUGGUCCUUAUUUUCCUGAUCUAACUCGGCCAUAUACUUCUGCACUCCUGCCUCCAGCUUGCUCAUGUUAAGUUCUAGAUAUUCCUUCUUAAGCACAAACAUGAUGCACUUGUAGCUAAAGGCGAGCCCAAAGUUAUACUCUGCAUCCAGCCAAUCGUCCACCUCAGCAGAUUUACCUUUCAGUUCGGCUACCUGCUCAUUCAAGGACUUGAUUUGCUCCUCGAGGGUCGUCCUCAAGGUAUCUCGUUCACUUUGAGUAGCCUGGAGAUUAGACUUCAGGUCACCUAACUUGCUCUUAAGCUUGGAGGAGUUGGACUCAACAAUGGCCACUUUCUCCUCCAGGUCCAUGAGCUGCUUGUGCAAAUCAACCAGCUUCUCCUUCGAGCGAUCAGCAAAAUCAGCCUUUUUCUUCAAGUCCUGGUUGUCAGCUUGAAGCCUCCUCUCAUGGCGUGUGGAUUUGUUCUUGUAGCAAGAAACCAAAGUAGCCAACUUAAAGGAGACCCUCUGAACGGAUCCAGCUAACUCGCUAAGGUUCAUGCUCUCAAUAUCUUUGACCAUUUUGGGUCCCACCGACUUGCCAUAGUCCCUCUGGUAUGGGGUCAGAUAGUCACUCUGGUCCCGAGGCGGAAGAGGAGAUGAUCGGUCUCCAGAUUGAAUAUUGACCUCAGGACUCUUGUCGCUAACCUUCUCCCCCCCUCCCCCCCCAUUGUUUCGAGGUGGAGGAGGAGGCAGAGCAGGAGCAGAAGCCUUGGAAGAACCAAUAUUGGUUUUCUUCAGGGGAGGGGGAGUUACUGGAGCCACCUGAACCCCGAGCACGUUUCCUUGACAUAGCGCUAAGGAUCUUAUUAUCCAUCCCGACAGCUACGUCCACUAAGCGUGACCCAACGAGAUUUAUUGACGACAGGAGAUCUUGAUAGGUAGACAUAUUCACCAGAGCAGUUUCCACCUUGAGCAAUGGUUUGUCGUCAAGUUUCUUGAUCAGGCCCCACGACUCUGAAAGAAUAAACAAGGUUAAGGAACCCAAUAAGUAACGAUCAGAGAAGUGAAAUAUGCAGAAAAAAUAAACGACCUGGGGUGACAAAAUACGUUGGAAGGUGAAUAUCACCACCAAGCGAAUGGAUUGCUGGACACCAAUUUCCCCCAGCAAAGAAGAAUUUAUUUUUCCAAUUUUUACAUGAGGAAGGAAAGCCGAUGAUAGGCUUCUUUUUUACAGAGCUUGACAUGAAGUAGUACCAGCCUGCUUCCUUUGGGCUGCUCCUCAGCUGAUACAAAUGCUUUACUUCCACAAGGGAAGGCUCUCCGAGCCCACACCUUUCCCAUAGCACAUACAAGGCUGAAAGAACCCCCUAUCUGUUCGGGUGAAGCUGACUUGGAGCCAGGUGCAUACCACCCAAUAUCCUGGCAAAGUAAGGUUGAAGGGGCAACCAAGCUCCUAACUUGAAACUCUCCAGAUGCAUCGUUACAUACCCCCUUGGAGGCCGACUGAGGACGUCACUUUUCUCAGGGAUUACAAGGAGAACCUCUUCAAGGAUAUUGUAAAGAUUUCUAAGCUUGAAUAGGUCAGUGUGGGUAGUAGCACAGGUAAUAUAGUCAAUGGGGUAAGCUUCUGCCUCCAUCCUAUGACCAAGGUUUCUCUUCUUAGAGGGUCUGCUCGGCUCGAAACUGUUAUCCUCACCGUCACCCACUUCCUCAGAGACCCCAGCCCCCCCAGAACUGUGAUUUUCACCAGAGCCCAAAGCUGGUCCACCGCGGUUUCCCACGGGUUCUAAAUCAAGGGAAGGCAAAGUGGUCAUGGGGCGAGGGUAUUCAAGGGUAUCCCUAUGAUAGGAGGGACCUACACAACAAGAAGAGCAUAGGGGAUCAUUGGGUCCAAAUAGGUUGGGGUAUGAAUCCUCUACCUCUUCGUCACUCUCAUCUACAAUUAUUUUUCCCUUUCGGUUUGACAUAUCGAAAUCUUAAAAGGGAAAACACAGCAAAUCCAAGUAUAUGGGUACAAAAAAAGGACAAUACAGAACCCAAGCAACAACAACCUGAGAAGAAGUUAAAUGCGAUACCUGGAAUAGAUUGGCACUGGUAGCGUUGCCGUGACGGAGAAAGGGCCCAGCAAACAGAGGUUUCUAACGCGGAAAGUGCGAUUAAAGUCCAAAGAGGGAGUUGGCUUACGGUAGAAUGGCAGAUAGCGAAACGCGAUGGUAGUUUCAAUUUAGGGAUUUGAAAUGAAAAUGGGGAAUGAAGGCGUUUAAGUUACGCGGAGGCCAGUUCAAUUGCCGUAUAUCGAAGACAGAUAAGCCAUCAUUUCAAAUUUCAAAUGCAAAAGGACAAGAAGCGACACGUCACUGGCCGUUAGAAAAGGCCUGAUGAGAUGUUAGCCCAGUUAUAUAUUGGACACGCUCACGAAGGUCCAUACUCAGGCCGAAGUCUCCUUAAACAAAAGAAGGAACCUCAGAUCCAUCACAAUAACACGAAGACCAUAGAGAUAUUUCCCGAGGUCGGUAAGAUAUAAUUCUCAGUUUCUAAUCUCAACUCAUUUCACUCGCAAGACUAGAAACUGGGGGACUGGUGUUAAGUAAUAAAAAGUACCAGCUCGGCCAUGCCCUCAUUUUUUACCUCGAGGCAAAUCUCCUCAGCUGAAUGACACGAGAAGAGUUUGGGUAAAACAUCUUAUACGAGUAUGUGCCAACUAGAGACGAGCAUCAACUAGAGAAAUAUACCAACCAGAGAGGAACACCGACCAUAUGCUCGUCACCCAAAGAAAAUGCACACAAUCUCACGAAAUCGCGACAGUUUCGGUAUGCCCCGAACCGUUGGGAAGGACGUGGCAUCCCACGUUUACCCACAAUCCAGUGGUUGGAGACCCAUGAGGGUCUGCCAUCACCCGAAAAAGAGGGACAUAAAGAGUACGCAGAAACGUAAGACAACAGCUAUAAAAAGCCAGGAAACCGAUGAAAAAAUGGGGAGAAAAAUAAAAAAAAAAAAAGAAAAACUCUGCUAAAUUAAAACCCGAUGGUAUUCCAUACAAGUUUUUGAGAGCAUUACAAGAAAUCACACAAUCUAAAUUAUAUAGUUUUUCCGUAAAUACCUUGUGCUAACUUAAGCAUCGGAGGGUUUACGCCAGUAAAACUACCGGCGUCUCUGAUCCAUUUUUGUGAACGCAGGCUUAGGAAGAGGAAAAAGGGUGAUUCAAACCCCAGGGACUCAAGCAAUCGUUGAAACAGAAAGAAGGUGACAUCUUCUCUAUCGACCAUAUAAACGUUGGUGAAAAGAUCUGGUCGGGCAAAGGGCGAGCAGAUUUCAGCAUCAACACCAGGUAUUGAUGUCUAAAUAUAUGGUUGAUAAGGACAAUCUCCCUCUUGCACUUCCACCCCGAUAUGGAUCUCCAUUAUGGAAGGCUGUGGGAAAUGUCUUGAAUGAGGUUGUCCAAGGGACUCGUUGGGUUAUUGCGAAUCGGAGGCUAGCUAAAUUUUGGAAGGAAUCUUGGCUGGAGGUCAGAAUUUGUUUGCAAUAUUACGCUCUCGGAUCGAUCCAUGGGAACAUCCUAAAUGAGUGUAUGGCUAAUUUCGUUGAUGUUAUUGGUACUUGGAAAUGGGACCAUUUUUCUUCUUUGUUGCCACACUAUAUUCUCCUCAAAAUAGCUGGCACUAUGCCCCCUUCUACCAAUGGGGAAGAUGAUUGCCGUUAUUGGGGACCAGCGAGGUCGGGUUCGUUUAGUGUGAAAUCUACUUACUUAUCCCUCCUCAAGCCAUUGCCAAGUACGAAUAACUCCUUUUGGAGUUUGAUAUGGAAAUGGCAAGGCCCCCAAAGUAUCCAUUGUUUUCUGUGGCUACUGAUGCAUAAUCGUUUGAAAACCAAUGAGGAAUUAUCACGAAGACAUAUGCUUAAUAAUAGUAUUUGUAUGCGGUGUGGGCAUAUCAGGGAGGAUGCCCUUCAUACAGUCAGGGAUUGUGUGGACUCCAAAUGUAUUUAGUUAGCACUUCUUCCAGAACACACAAGGCAUACCUUUUUUGUGUUGGAUCUACGUGCAUGGAUUGUUUGUAAUCUGAAAAACCUAUUGAAGAUCACUAAGGAGACGGAUUGGCCAGUGUUGUUUGGUGUCACUGUGUGCAGAAUGUGAUAUUGGCAUAAUCAAUUUGUUCAUGCACAUAGGACGAGCAGCCUUUUCAACGUAAUCAUGGACCUGAAGAAUCGUUCGGAAGAGUCAUUGUUGUUUCUAAGUCUUUAUGUAAUCAAAGAAGGCCAAAAACCGUGCAUUGGAUCUCAUGGCAGCCCCCAACAUGGCCAUUUCUAAAACUCAAUAUGGAUGGAGCUUUGAAGAGAUCGGGUUUGGCAAGUGAUGGUGGCUUGGUAAGGAAUUAUUGUGGGGAAUGGAUUUGUGGUUUCAACAUGAAUUUGGGUAGUUGUUCCAUUAUGGAAGCUGAGUUGUGGAGGUUGUACCAAGGCUUAAAAAUUGCUUGGGACUAUGGUUUUCACUUACUGCAGGUUGAGGUGGAUAAUUUGGGAAUCACGCAACUCCUGACUACCUCUAGUGGUAACCAUAAUAGCAUAUCCUCGUUGUUAUAGGGCACCAAGAUUUACUUAACAGAGAUUGGCAUGUAUCAGUGAAGCAUGUGUAUAGAGAGGCGAAUUUUGCUGCCGAUUUCCUUGCAGGGAUGGCUCUCACCCUCCCCUUGGGUGCCAUACUCUUCAUUCACCUCCUAUAGGCGUGCAUUAUUGUUUGUUCAAUGAUGGACUAGGGACUGCUUUUUCUCGUUUUGUUUAGCGUAGCGGCAAUCUAGGCUCCUCUUGUACCCAAAAAAAAAAAAGGGGAAAACUCUGCCAUUUUGGAUCUAGAACUUAUUUCCAAAAAGCUUUCUAAAAAACUUCCUUCAUUUAAGAAUUGUUGGUUUUGAUAAUUCAAUGUUUUUUUCAAAAACCCUGCAUACUGACUUAAGUAUCGGAGGGUUCUCGUAGGAGAAACCACUGGCAUCCCUGAUCCAUUUGUGUGAGUGCAGGUCAGAAGAGAAGGAGCAAGGUUAGUUGAGGUCAUUAAACCUAGGGAUGGGCAAAAUACCCGAUCCGACCCGAUCCGAAAAUUUUCGGGUUCGGAUCGGGUUGUGAAUAAAACUCGAUCGGGUGCAAUUGUGUCAACCCGAUCGGGUCGUGUUUGGAUCGGUUAAAACCCGAUCCAAUCCGAAAACCCGAUCAAGUUGACAUAAAAUCAAAAAUCAUAACCCAAAGGCCCAAACCUUAUCCUAAUUCCUAAACACUCACUAUCACACACACCACUCAACACACGACACACACAACCCUUACAAACAAAAGCCUAACCACUGUAUAUGGCACAACUGCACAAGCACUAAGCAGCAGUGAGCAACCCACUGCCAACUAGUGCGUCAUCCACCCACAGGCGACGGCCUCCCUCGCUUGCAACUUGGAACCCACCACCGACAGCCACAUAGCCCGUCGCCUACAACAUCCUCCCUCAAACAAACAAAACACACACAUACACCCCCACACACGCACACACACAAAGUUAAUGCCUUAACAGAGCAAGCUGUAGCAGACCACCAUGCAGCAACCACCGAGCCUCCACGAGGAUCGUGAUCUGAUUCCGAUCGACCGAUCUACUGCUACAAAGUAUCGGAUCUACUGUGCCACCUCAAAGCCUCCAUUCCUCCACCAUCACCCGAUCCGAUUCAAGCUCCAUUAACCCAGCAAGCAGCAACCCGAAUUUUGGUUGUUGAGUCGAGUUUUGGAAGCUUUGAGUUUGAGCUUUGAAACUUGAUGGUGAUGAUAUUUGUGAAAGUAAAGUGUUAAAUGUUAAUAAGCAUUUUCCUAAUCCGACCUGUCUCGAACCAGAAUCCGAACCGAUCCAAACUCAACCCGAACUUAUAACCCGAUCUAAUCCGAUCCAAAGUUACUUUGGAUCGGAUCGGAUCGGGUUAUAAAUUCGGGUUGAAUUCGGAUGAAUUUUUAUUCAAUCCGACCAACCCGAAAUCCGAUUGGAUUGAUACGAACCCGACCCUAACCUGAUUUUGCCCAGCCUUAGUUAAACCAACUUGAUUAGAGAGAGAACGAGCAGCUUUGCGCCUCACCCAGAGAAAACUUAAGCGUUGACGAGAAAACCUUGUCGGUCCUCCACGUACGACCAUAUUUAUGCAUCAAUAUUUUGGCGCCGUCUGUGGGGAGCUGAACAAAAAGCUACCACUAGCAAAGCAACUCAUAGGGAGAAUUAGGCAUGUGGACAUGAAUAUGGGAAAGAGUGAUGCAUGAGCAAAUGAAGCUGAUGGAAAAGUAGAUGGAGACCCUCACCGCCAUCUUACAUGAGCUGAAGAACAAGCAAAGAAAGGCUUAUGAUGCAAAUGCAACAAGGGAUGAUGUUGCCAUAGAGCCCAGUCACCGAAGGAAUAGAAAUAAAGAGAUCCCUUCAAUAGGGGGAUAACUCAACGGGGUGCCUAACAAUGGAGUAGGAACUCAGACUUUGAGAGAAUGUGAGCACGAAGGGAGAGAUCAAUUCCACAAAUGGACAAAUCUUGAGAAGUUGUAGUAGAGGAGCGAAUGCCGAAGAAAGCAAGCUAAGGCAGCACCUACACAACAUCGAACAAGAAUGUGACUAGGUUGCAACACGUGAUCCUGGUUAAGCCUUGGAACUGGAGGGAGAAGUACGACGAUUGACACAAAUAAUAGACGAAAUGCAGGGCAGGAGAAAGCCCUUCAGUUGGAGAAUAAUGUUGGAUGACGAAUCUUGGCUUUCAGUUGAGAUUAUGGGCACUAUGAUAUUAAGAGAUUUUCGUUUUCCCAACCUCAAAUACUAAGGAAAAGUGACCCGCUGGUGCACGUCGAGCACUUCAAUGACAUGAUUGGAGUGCAGGGGCUAACACCAGCGCAGAGCUGCAGAGUAUUCUCUUUGACAUUGGAAGGACGAGCACGAGAUUGGUACCUUCCCUUUGACACCGGUAGGGACUUGCAACUUCCAAAAACCUUUGAUUAACCCAAAAAAAAAAAAAAUACAUAUAGUUUGAAAUUAUAUGAUGAUCGAUAGGUAUGUAAUUUUGUAGUAAUAUUUUAUUUGAUCAUUUAUUUUUUGGUAUUCCGUGAAAGGUGUGCAAAAUUAGAUAAUAUUUCUCUGAAACUUGUAUUCCUUCUGCGAAACAUCACAUGCUGAGAGCUUCGACUAAACUAGUUUCAAUUGUACGUCGACUAAACUAUCUGCUUAUUCUACGAUUAAUGCCAACUUUGAUGAUAUCAAGGCAGAAACAGAGAAGUGAAAGAGUGAAAGUACAGCCAUUCAGCGCAGAGUUUCUGAGACGAAAGCAAAGUGUAAGAGAUUGAAGAGAAGGCUGAGACCAGUGCGAAACUAGAUCAUUACUCAAGUCUCAUCACUAACCUCUUAGAUGUUUUGUUUCUGUAGGCUACACUGGUUGGUUCUAAUCACAAAACUUAGGAUUCUACUGGAAACAUGUUGUUCAAAAAAUUGCACAAUUCAAUCUUUAUUGUGGCUACCCAGACCGAAAUAAAUGCUCUAUUUGGUUUCACUUUGAAUUCUGCAAAUUUGUGAACAACAAUUUCCAGCAAGAUCCUCAAUUUGUGAUUAUAACUGAUGACGGUAAUCUAUAGAAGGAGAAAUCAUUUAGGACAUCAGUGAAAGAUUUGAGUAAUGAUUAUUCUUACCAACAAAUUCAUCAAUUUGUCAUGCAGACAGUAGACUCAAUUUACAAAAUUAUUUGUGGAUUGCUACAUCAAUUAUGUUGACAGAAAAGUUGAAGUUUGUUGGAAAACAAAGAGCAUUGUUAUUUGAACAGCUGCAAGAUAUUCGGAAGACAUGCAGAAAUAUGGGUAUUGCUUAUGCUAUAGUGCCAUUGCAGCAUAAAAUUGACAGCAAUGUUUAUGCAACAGUACUGUCUUUUUUUGUCUUCUUAGUGUUUUGCUGAUACACAAAUAUCAUUUUCCACAAACAAAACAUGUAAUAGCAUGCUCCAGGAGCAGUUUCUUACACUCUUGAAGUAGCCUACAAUAAGAUCAAAUCGAACAUUCUCCCUCAAUUUAGUGUUCUAAAACUGAUUUAUAUCUUAACAUAGAAAUGCAAUCUAAAAGCACUAUUAACGAAAGCUCUUCUUGUUUGCAUUAAAAACCAAGAAGAGCUUAUUGUGGUGGGGGGUGGGGGGGUGUGGGGGGGAAAGAGAACCUCAGUCAAAUAAGAUAAAAUUACUUUGGAUGGGUUAUUUACUGUCUAAAAAAAAUUCUAAACACUAUUAUAUUUUAUUGGCUCAUCUAGUAAAUUUAAAAUUUUUAUUUUGCAUACUCUAUUAAAUGUAAAAAACAAAUAUCAUCACACAAAACGACAUGAAACCAUCUAUGUAGCAUCUGAAAUGAGGCCAUUUUUCUGUAUAAUUUUUGAGGCAUUGUAUUAUAUGGAGCUUGAUUUCUUUCUCUUUAUCAAGGGUAAGAUGGCGUUGGCGAUCAAUAGGGUCCCCCUGUUUCUUUGUUUUCAUUAAUAUUACUUCGAAUCCGCUUUCAGGUUGAGUGUCUAAAGAUUUUAUUAAACUUGUGUUUAGUUAAAUGUAUUGAAUUUCUGGAGUAUUUGGUAGUUAAUGAUGAAACUCGGCAUUAGAUGAACUUACAAUCAUUCUAAUGAUAAAUGUUUUUGUCAUCGAAAGUCAUUGAGUAUUAUUGCGGCAGUAAGCUACGUUGAACUAGCAUUCAAGAUAUAACUAUCAAAACAUGUACGUGAUUGCCACUGGUAUUAAAAUCAAAACAUUCAUGCAAUGAUUAAUGAUCUUAAAUUUAAGGUUAAAAAUGACCUAAUCAAUUUCAGCAACUACAUCCAAAUGAUUUUGGUUUUGAUGUUUACAAAUACAUGUAACAUAUAUGUAUUUCUUUUAAAAAUUAUCAUAUGAUUAAUACUUAUAUUUAAUUCACACACACAUCAUUCAGCUUUUGGAAUUCGUCAUUUGGGUCCUCACGUGUAAGCAUCACGUGCACCACUCAUUCUGAGUUUCUAACCAAGUCAAAGUUCAGUUAAAAUUCUUUGCAGCAGGAAGGUGGUGUGGUUUGGUGACUGGUGAAUAGCUCACUCAACUUGUGAACCGUGAUUAGUCAAAUAAUCAAGUACACGUUUCGAAGAAUAACCUCGGAAGGUCUGUCCAGUGUCCACUGUCCAGUAUGAUGACAUGUCAGCAACGUUUUACAACAGGAUCAAGAAGCAGCUAUGGUGUAAGCAUGGUAGUGACAGCGUAGAAGCUGUGUAUGCAUAUCACCCGUCUGUUGAAAUGCUCGCAGUAAUCAAACCUCUUAUAACACUGCUUCAUCUGUCAAGUCAAAUUUUCCUCGGAGUCAAGAAAUGGAGAACUAACAGGUAUGCAUUUCUUAAACCAUUAUUAUAUUCAAACACAAGGAUUCGUAUAAAAGCAUAUCGUUAUUAUAUUCAAACACAGGGAUUCGUGUAAAAGCAUAUUAAUGAAUAUGAAUCUGAUCGCUUUAAACUUUAAUUAACAUGAAACUAAGCAUGACGGAAUCAGCAUUUCUUGAUUUUCUUCAAUUAGCAGAUGCGUGAAUAUGCUCGUGUUUGUGCCUUGUAUUCAUAUAAACGAAAACCUGGUCUAUAAUUCAAUAGUUUAUUAUAUUAUUGGAAUUAAAUAAGUAUAAAAGUGUCCCGGAUGCAUGAUCAGUGAUCACAUCACAAGCCUUGUUGUGCUUCAUCUCACGACGGCUGCUUUAUGUUUGCUUGAGUUGCUUCAUAUAUAGCAGUUAGCAGAUGGCCAAAGUUGGCAAUGGCAUGUGGCAAGCUUAGCAAUUAUAUUAAGCACCUGCCAAGGACACCAGGUUAAUUUUUAUCUCUCAACACUCUGUUUUGCACCGAGAUAUCCAAUAUAUACUGGUUUAUCAAAUAAUUGAUUAAUGCUGAUUGUAUCAGUCUCCUAAUUAGUUAAAUGUUGUUGAAGAUAUAGUUGCUGCUGAGCUGGACAGAGCUGCUGAGCUGGACAAGAUUGAAUGUAACUGAAUGACAUGUUUCAAGAGCUCAAUGGCUAAACUAAAUCUGAAGUUGUUAUUAGUUGUUUUGCAGUUGUUUAAUUAGUUAGAAUAAUUGUAUAUAAGCUUAGCUAAGUAAGCUUAAUAAGCAUUGAAUAUUCUGGUUAAUAAAAUCGUGAAGUUUCCUUUUUCAUUUUCUCUGUUUUUCUUUGUUUCCAAACAUCUUAUUAUGAAUUCUAAUAUGGUAUCAGAGCCACGAAACAUGACGAAUCAAAGCAAUUCAGGAUCGUCUUCACUUUCUUUUUCUUUUAUUCAACCAACAAAACUUGAUCGAACAAAUUAUCUGGUGUGGAGAGCUCAAAUUCAAGCUUCGAUUAUUGCCAAUGGACUUGAAGGUUUUAUCAAUGGAGAAUCUCCUUGUCCAGAUCGUUUUCUUUCCUCAUAUGAGAAUGCUGCCAGUAGAUCAGAAGCUCCUAGCUCAAGCAGACGUGAGAAUUCUGACUAUAUUGACUGGAAGAAAGCUGACAAGCUUCUACAGAGCUGGAUGCUGUCAUCUAUGGUAGACAAUGUACUUAUCAUGGUUGUGGAUUGUGAUACUUCACUUGAGAUCUGGGAGAAACUUGCCGAGAUGUUCAUGUCACAGUCAAAGGCUAGAUACAUGCCUCUGAAAAUACAGAUUCAAACCACAAAGAAAGGAGCUAUGUUAGUAAGUGAUUACUUCAAUAAGAUGAAAAAAAAAUUGCAGACAGCUUAGCUAUUGGUGGUAAUCCUCUUGCUUCAACAGAUUUUAUAAUGCAUUUGCUCACUGGUUUAGAUGACAACUAUGAGUCAUUAGUGACAACUAUACUUGCUAGGCUGGAAAAAGAUAAUCUCACUAUUGAAGAAGUGUAUUCCUUAAUGCUUAGUCAUGAAACUAGGGUUGAGAUGAGUAAGGGAAAGGUGCAAAAUGAAUUGUUGCAUGAUAUGUCAGCUAAUUUUGCUCAGAAAGGACAGAAUUACAAUAAGUUCAAUAAUGCUAAUCAGAGAGGUUUUAAUGGUGGAAAUUUUGAUAAUGGCAAAGGAGGAUAUAAUGUUGAUAAGGAAGUAAUUUGUCAAAUAUGCUUCAUACCUGGUCAUGGAGCAUACAAAUGCAGGAACAGAUUUAAUCAGAACUUUAUUCCUAGACAAGGAAGAGGUGGCUUUAGGCCUAGAGGUGGAUUCAAUUUUAGAGGCUUUCCUGGUCAGCCUCAGAACAUGUUUGGAAGAGGUUAUGGAAAUUUUUAUGGAACUGCAACUGGUGCUCCUAGAUAUAAUGCACCCAUGUUUCAAGGGAAUGUUGCAUAUCAGAAUGCAAAUGUUAUGUAUCCUCAAGGGUUUCCUGUGUUUCAAGGAUUACAAGGUCAAUACAAUGGUGCAAUUGCUACUCCAUUUGCUAACUAUGGAGUUGCUCCUUCUGCUAUUCCCACUGCACAAUUUGCUCCCACUGGUCCAGUUGCUGAUUAUGGAGUUGUAGCUGAUCCUGCUUGGUAUAUUGACUCCGGGGCAACCAAUCAUGUGACUAAGGAAGCAGGUAUCUUUUCUUCUUACUCAGUUUAUCAUGGUUUUGAUAAGCUACAUGUACGAAAUGGCAUGGGAUUACAUAUUAAACAUGUUGGGUGCACACGAUUGAAUACACUUGCUGCAACAUCUAUCUAUCUUAAUAAUAUUUUGCAUGUCCCAACUAUAACCAAAAACCUUUUAAGUGUAUCUAAAUUACUUGCUGACAAUGAUGUUGUUGUUGAAUUCCAUAAAACCUCAUGUUUUGUCAAGGACAAGAAAUCAGGGAUCAUCUUGCUCAAGGGGAUUGCUAGAGGAGGAUUAUAUCAAGUUGAAGGUCCUGUUGUAGUGUCUCAUGCUGCAGUUUCAAAUAGAGUUCCGUCUAAUGUUUUCUGUGUCAUCUCAAAUUCCAGUUCUGUGUCAAAUGUCUGUUCCUCUCCAGUGUCAAUGAUUAGUCAUUCCAAUGUUUCAAACUCUGUACAUUCUGGAGAAAUUUUGACAGAUGUAAAUAUUUCUCAAUUCAAUAAUGAUGCCUCAAUGGCCUUGUCUGUUACUCAUUCAAAAUCAGUUGAUUACAAUGUUUUACAUAAAAGAAUGGGUCAUCCAACUGUGCAUGCUCUUAAACAAAUUGUGAAGCAUUUGCAUCCUUCUCUCGAUAUCAAUAGAGCCCUGAAACCAAUUUUUUGUAAUGCUUGCCAAUUUGGAAAGUGUCACAUGCAGCAUUUUCCUUCUAUAGACACCACUACCAUUCAACCACUGGAGCUGUUGCAUGCUGAUCUAUGGGGUCCAGCUCCUUUGCUGUCCUCUCAAGGCUAUCACUACUAUCUUUCUAUCUUAGAUGAUUUCACUAGGUUCACCUGGAUAUUCCCUCUUGUUACCAAAUCUCAAGCCUUACAAACCUUUAUUGAAUUCCAGCAUAUGAUAGAAAAAUGCCUAAAUAGGAAAAUCAAGUGUCUUCAAACAGAUUGGGGAGGUGAAUUUAGGCCAUUUCUUCCUUAUCUUGCUGAGCAGGGAAUCCAAUUUAGACAUCCUUGUCCUUAUAUUCACCAUCAAAAUGGAAAGAUUGAACGCAAACAUAGACAUAUAGUGGAAACAGGCCUUACCCUUCUUGCUCAAGCACAUUUACCACUGAAAUUUUGGUGGAAUGCUUUCCAUACUGCCACAUUUCUCAUAAAUAGGCUCCCUACACCCAUUCUAGAUAACAAAUCACCUUUUGAAAAAUUAUUCAACAAAAGACCAGAUUAUUCUGUUAUGAGCGUUUUUGGAUGUGCUUGUUUCCCAUAUCUGAGGCCUUAUAAUCAUCAUAAGUUAGAGUUUCGAACUGCUAGAUGUAUUUUUCUUGGUUACAGCUCCCUUCACAAAGGCUACUUGUGUCUUCAUUCCUCUGGUAGAAUCUAUGUCAGUAACCAUGUUACAUUUGAUGAGUCAUGUUUUCCUUUUCAGUCAGGAGUUGAUUUUUCCUCUGUCAGUCACUCUUGCUCUUCUUCAGAUCAUUCAUCUCAGUCUUCUUCACAUUGUUCAUCUUCUGUUUGUCCUUUGAUUCAACUUGAUAUAACCAAGUCUUCAUCCUCUACAGCAGCUGAUCUCAGGUUCUCUCAAUCCUCUCCAGACUCUCCUUCUCAAUCUUCUAUACAAUCACACUCAGAACCAUCUACCUCACCUGUUCAUCAUUUAACUCCACCAUUGCAGUCAUCUACUGGUCAUCCAAUGCUCACUCGAUCAAAGGCUGGUAUCUUCAAACCUAAAGCCUAUAUUACAGCCAAUCCUACCAAACCUACAGAACCUGCUACUACCUCAAAAGCCCUUCAAGAUUCAGCUUGGCAUAAAGCAAUGACAGAUGAAUAUCAAGCCUUAGUCAAUAAUCAUACCUGGACUCUUGUCAAACCUACACAUCCCAUUAAAGUAAUUGGGAAUAAGUGGGUAUUUCGGAUUAAAUAUAAUCCUGAUGGCAGUGUCUCUAGAUACAAAGCUAGACUUGUUGCUAAGGGAUUUCACCAAACUCAAGGGCUGGAUUUUCAUGAAACAUUCAGUCCUGUCAUUAAGUCUUCAACCAUCAGAAUUAUCUUGAGUAUGGCUGUCAUGAAUCAUUGGGUACUGAGGCAAAUAGACAUUAAUAAUGCCUUCCUUAAUGGCUACCUCACUGAAGAAGUUUAUAUGCAACAGCCUGAGGGGUUUAUAGAUAGUUCCAGGCCUGAUUAUGUCUGUAAGCUGCACAAAGCCCUUUAUGGCCUUAAACAGGCUCCAAGGGCAUGGUUUGACAGACUCAAACUAGUUCUUACAACUCAGUGGGGCUUUACAAAUUCUAUUUCAGACACUUCACUCUUCUUUAAGAGCACACAAGGUCAUCUGCUACUUGUCUUGGUGUAUGUAGAUGAUAUUAUUAUUACAGGCUCCAAUCCUCAGCUUGUUCAGCAGACCAUCACCAACUUCCAGUCUGUUUUUGCACUUAAAGAUCUUGGUGCAUUGAAUUAUUUUCUGGGAGUUCAGGUCAUUUACAAUAAAUCUGGUAUUCAUCUUUCUCAAUCCAAGUAUAUCACUGAUUUGCUUGCCAAGGUGCACAUGCAGGAUAGUACUCCUUGUUCUACUCCUAUGCUUUCUGGAGUGGCUUUUACUAAAGCUGAUAGUGAACCCUUUUCUGAUGUUACUCUAUACAGAAGCACCAUAGGUGCUCUUCAGUAUGCAACAUUGACCAGACCAGAGAUUGCUUUCUCUGUCAACAAGCUCAGUCAGUUUCUAUCUUCUCCAACUGUCAAUCAUUGGCAGGCUUGUAAAAGGGUUUUACGUUAUCUGAAGGGUACUGUUAAUCUUGGUUUACAGUUCUACAAUCAUGGCAGCAUACAGAUUGAUUGUUUCAGUGAUGCUGAUUGGGCUGGAGACAGAGAUGAUAGGAGGUCAGUGGCUGGUUAUUGUGUCUAUAUGGGUCCAAAUCUAGUGUCUUGGUGCUCUAAGAAACAGGCAGUGGUCUCUCGAUCUAGUGCUGAGUCUGAAUAUCGAGCACUAGCAAUGGCAGCAGCUGAAGUCUUGUGGAUUCGUUCUCUUCUUGCUGAGAUUGGUCUUACUCUUCCCUCCAUUCCAAUCAUAUGGUGUGAUAAUCAAAGUGCAGCUGCUUUAGCCUCUAAUCCUAAGUUUCAUUCCAGAACAAAACACAUUGAAUUAGAUGUUCAUUUUGUUCGAGAGAAAGUUGCUGCUCAAUGUCUUAAGGUUCAAUAUAUUUCUAGCUCAGAACAAACUGCUGAUAUUCUCACCAAAGCUCUUUCUUAUCACCCUUUUCUCUACUUACGUGACAAGCUCAACCUUACUUCCUCGGUUGAGCUUGAGGGGGGAUGUUGAAGAUAUAGUUGCUGCUGAGCUGGACAGAGCUGCUGAGCUGGACAAGAUUGAAUGUAACUGAAUGACAUGUGGCAAGAGCUCAAUGGCUAAACUAAAUCUGAAGUUGUUAUUAGUUGUUUUGCAGUUGUUUAAUUAGUUAGAAUAAUUGUAUAUAAGCUUAGCUAAGUAAGCUUAAUAAGCAUUGAAUAUUCUGGUUAAUAAAAUCGUGAAGUUUCCUUUUUCAUUUUCUCUGUUUUUCUUUGUUUCCAAACAUCUUAUUACGAAUUCUAAUAAAUGUGAAAACAUUAUAUUAUAUACUAGUUGUAGUUGGUUGAUUUUUCUUUUAAUCUUCAUGUGAUACCAGAAUUAUACCAGUAGUCCGCAAGCUCGGGUUUCCAGCCGAUAUACCUCUGUAAUCAAAAACCUUUAAAACAUUUUUCUCAGGUUAUACAACCCAAAACAGACUUUCCUUUAGUCUAAAACAGGGUACCAAACCAGAUAAGAAAUGGUCAAAAGUUUUCUGAUGCACAGGAUCCUUACUAGAAGGCAAGUGCAGAGCAUACUUCCUUAGGUUUUCAAAAUGAACAAAUUUAAUCCUUUAUUCUUUUUCUUUCUUAGAACUUCAUUUGCAGAGAGAGAGAGGAGAGUUUAGAAAUUCAUGGAAGAAAGCACACGAGUUGUUAUUUCUGGAAAACUUCUAUAUUUUUCUAUCUCUUACAAGCAAGGGGAGAAUCCUUUAUAUAGAGGAGGAUUCUUGAGAAGAUAGGACAUGACCCCUAUCUUUUACAAAAGUAAAAGCAAAAGAUAAGAUAAGAUAGGAUAGGACCCCUAUCUUUUACAUAAUGGCACAACUUUAAUUAUUACAAAAGACAAAAGUGCUUUAAUAAUUAAAGCAUGACUUUGACAAAAGCAAAAGCAAAAGCUUAAAGUAAAAGCAAACUUUAAUAAUUAUGCAAGCAUAAAGCGAAACAUCAUUAUGACAAUAAGACAAACUACUUUAUGGAAAGCAAUAAGACAAACAACUUUAUGGAGAGCGGAGGUUCAUGUACUCGUCUUCGGAUGAGCUUUCGGUCUCAUCUGGGUUGUCAGGGUUGCCUUUUGGGAAAAAGAUCUUGGAGAGCUUUGGAUGCUUGCAGGAGGGACCACGGCAUGGUGGAUAAGGGCAAUUAUAGUCUCUGGGAGUACACUUUGGAGUAUACUUAGGGGAAGUUUGGGUGGCUUUGUCAACUUUGGAUGGUUGAGCGGGUCGUUUGGAGGAUUGAGUUGAGGGUCCUGGUUCAGAGGGGCCAGGUUCAUCCAUUGUCGGUUGGGGAAACUGGUGAAGGUGUUGGCUCAGAGGGAGAAAUGCAUCCCAUGGGUCUUGGGAAUCCUGGAACAGGAAAUCAGUGUAGUCUGGUUUUUCUUCUUUGAUGAUGAUACCUGUGGACUUUGGUUUGGAUAUGGCAGAUGGAGUGGGGAUCAUGAGGAGGUCAUGCUGUGGACCUAAGGAGGUGUGGGAGAUAUCUUUAAGUGGCGGAGGUUGGUGGUUCAAUUGGCAAAGGUAGUUGUGCAGGACAUCUUGUAUGUCAUUUUCAAUUACAGCUAUAUGUGGUGCAGUGAACCAUUCAUAUACCUGGUCUUGAGUCCAAAAGAGUUUGGUGUCUGGAUGUUGAAAGUAUGGCCUGUGAAUAAUAAAGACUGAUGUGAACAGUGGUGCUUCAAGGGCAGGCAUACGAUCAAGGUUGUAAAUUUCUGACAGUUGUUGGAGCUUCCUUCUCCACCAUGGUAUGGGGGAGAACCAUUCAAGUAAUGUCCAGGUAAGAGAGGUGGCUUUGUCUGGGUCAAGGAGAUGCUCCAAAGUGGGAGUAAUUGGUAGGACUAACUUAGUGGCAUAAAGGACUGUUAGGCACCAGAUGUACCAUAACACAUCUUCAGUGGUUUCUCUGGUUGGAUCAAGGGUUAAACCUGUAAGGAACAGAUUUUCUGGGUGGAAAGUGGAAAAAGGAAAAGGGUCUGUGACAAGGUAGGCUUUCAUGAAGAAGCGAAAAAGAGCUUUUCUUGCAAACUCUUGGAUGGCGAAGACAGAAGAAAAGGUUUUAUUAAAGGGAAAAGUUUUCUUGGUGAGAGCUUGUGGGGGUAGUGAAGUAGCCAUGGAGAUAAUUGGAAAAUGGUAGGUGGUGGAAAACAGGAUGAGAGGGUUUUCUGGUUUGGAGAGUCUGGAGAGCAUAUCAGGGAUGAGGUUCUGGGAUCCCUUUAUAUGCUUGACUGAAAAGUCAUAUUUAGAAAACCAAUCUUUUAAUCUGAGUAACAUUUUUUCGGGAACAGUUUUACCUUUGAAAUGAAAGAUAUUGGGGAAGGCUGAGCUGUCCAUUCGGAUGAGAAAAUGGUGUCCAAUCAAAUGAUACUCAAACUUUUUGAUGCCAUUCUUGACCGCUAAGAUUUCUUUGAACACGCUAUGGUAGUGCUUCUGUGUAUCAGAAAAAUGUCCACUAGCGUAAGCGAUAAAGUGUUCUUUUCCGUUGAUUUCUUCAAGGAGUAUGGCACCCCAUGAUUCAUCACUUGCGUCUGUUUGUAAGAUGCGCUUGCCAUCUGUAAUCAACUUUAAAGGAGGCGGAUUUUGCGCAAUCUGCUUUAGGGUAGUGACAGCAAAUGUGUGGUCAGCAUUCCAUUCUGGGGGCUUCUUUUUCAAUAAAGCCGAGAGAUGGUGAGUGUAAUGAUCCACGUGGGGGAUGAAAUCACGGAUGUAGUUGAUGAUGCCGAGAAACUGUUGAAUUUGCCUUUUGGAAAGUUGCUGAUCUGGAAAGUGAAGCAAUUCUUGGGCAAUGUGCUUUCCUGGCUGGUAGUGUCCAUCUUUUAUGAUCAUACCAAGGAAUUCAACAUUAUCUGUAGCAAUGAUGCUUUUCUUGGCCGAUAACAUGAUUCCAUGACUUUGGAGAAUAUCAUAGAAUUGAGUUAACAGCUGGCGAUGUUCAUCAUGUGAGCCUGAAAAAAGCAAGAUAUCAUCAAUAUAAAUCAAUGCAUGAUGCAAAAUGGGUUGGAAGAUUUGGACCAUGGAUUUUUGGAAAAUGGAUGGGGCAGUUUUGAGACCAAAGGGUAAGACGGUCCAUUGAAAGUGGGCAUUGGGAAUACAAAAAGCGGUUUUGUAGCGUUCGGAGGGUUCAAUGCCUAGUUGCCAAAAACCUGAUUUUAAAUCAAAUUUUGAAAAGAUCUGGGCAUUUUUGAGAAAAGUGAACAUGCUUUGUCGGCGAGGUAAAGGGAAUUUGUCAUCUUGUAAAAACAUGUUUAAUGGCUGGUAGUCAAUGACUAGGCGUUUCUUUCCUCGGACAAUUUCAGAAUGCUUUUCAACAUAAAAGGCUUGGCAAGCCCAUUGAGAACUUGUGGGCUCAAUUAAACCUUGGGCUAACAAUUGUGAACAUUCUUGUUGGGCUAGGAGUAAGUCAGAAGGACUCAUUCCUGGAUGGGUAGCUUUAGUUGGGUUAAUGUCUUCAUUGAGUUUGAAGGGUAACUUAAUGAAGAAAGACUUAUUUUUCCACAAAGGAUUUGGAUGGGUGAACUCGGAAUGGGACUCUGGACAGAAACUCAAAAGUUUGGUUGAGAUAUCCUGGUAAGACUGGGGAGUUUCAGACAAAUUGUAGAGUUUCAGAAUGUCUGUGAAUGGUUUGAACAUGGACUUGACACGGAUUCCAGUGGGAAUGAUUUGGAGGUGUUUGAUUUGGUGAAGGACUUCAAAUCCUAACAAGAUAUCCUUAUUAGGAAGAGUUGAACCAAUAACCUUGGUCCAAAUGACACAAUUGGGGAAGAUUUGAAUACCAACGGGUUUCUUGGUAAUCAAAGAGGUGGUAAAGAGUUUGCCAUUGAUAGCUUUGAAAUGUUCUUCAGAUUGGGUCCAAUAUUCGGAUGGAAGAAUAUGGGGGUUUAACAUGCUGCGUUGGGCGCCAGUAUCUAUAAGACCAAUUGCUGGAAUGGGCCUUUGGAAUUUUGAGGGUAAGAUCUGGAGUUUGAUGGAUGGGAUAGGAACUGUAGUAUCAAGGGAGAGUGACUGUUGAUGGAAAAUCACUUGAGACUGGUCACUGUCUGAAUCAGAGGAAUUCUGUAGUGCGAACACUGUUUCAUCAUUGGGUUCAUCUUGUUCAGAGAAAUAGAAUUCCAGCUCAUCUUUGGCAGGAGAGUAGUCGGUAGUUGCUUGAAGAUGCUCAACUAACCGGAUGGAUUUUUCUCUGUUGUUGGGGCAAUCUUUGGCAUAGUGGCCUUUUCUCUUGCAGAUGAAACAUCUGCUUGAUUGCUUUCGUUUGAAUUCUCUAGAGGAGGAAGAUUUCUUUCUGAAGAACCGGUAGGGCUUUCGGGAUCUGCGAGGCUUGGAGGAAAAUUCUGGAGGUUUGAAUUUCCGAAAAUGCCGUUUUUUCUUUGAACUGCAAUCGCAAUCUUUUUUCUUGUGGCAUUUGAUCUGCAAAUAAGGCUUUUUGCAAGCACUUCGGAAAGGUUCUUUGUCUUUCAACAGUUCUUUGAAAAACUGUUUUUGCUCGCAAAGUUUGUCAAGACAAGUUUUGGCAAGCUGAAAGAUUUUGCCAAGAGAGAUGUUGUCUAGGGAAAGAUUGGAUGCUGUGAGUUGUCUCUGGAUGUUGGGUUGGAGUUCUUCGGGGAGGGAAGCCAGAAAGACAUGCUUUAAUGUCGGCUCGUUGAAUCCAUUAAGCUUAUAGAACAGCAGGGACAUCCGCUUAUAAUGGAAGUCAAGAUCCUUAGCAUUGAGGGAGCAGCAUUUCAUGUUGAGAUAAUCUCGUCUGGCAGCUUCAAAGACUGCAGAAGGGUCUCCAAGGAAUUGAUCAUGAAGUACAGCAAGAGCACUUGAGACUUCUGGGAGAUCAACAAACUGUAGUUGGCGGUAUUGUCCUAACGAAUCAAACCAAUCUCUUAGAGCACCCGUGAAACGAGUAGCAAAUUCUCUAAGGACUGAUUGAGUUGUUGCUCCUGGUCUUAGCAUCUGGAGGUCAAUCCAGGCAGACAUUUCAUUGAGUCGGUCACGCCAUUUAUGAGAUGGAAGAUCAUCAAAUGUGAACCAUGGACCAUUUGACGAUUUGUGGCUCGAUGGAUUGGUCUGGGUUGGAGGAGGUUGGUUUGUGGCAGAAGAUUCAGGCAUUUCUUCUUCAAGUUCGGAGGGAAUAUCAACAUAUGGUUCUGUAUGAGAGGUUUGGCCUUGGGUAGGUUGAUCAGGUUGAGCCAUCAGGAUUUUGGUGAUAUCAGCAUAGGACUUUUCAGAGUCACUGGUGGAUACUGAAGAUUCUGUAUCAGUUUCGGUAGGGCUAUCUGAAACAGCUGGAUUUGAAUCAGAAGUGUGAUCGACUGUAGUAGAUGAAUGGGUGACUGUGUGAGCAGUAAACUGGUGCAUGGGUUCUUUAUCUUUUGAUUGGGUAGGGACGAAUAAAGGAGCUGGUGGUAAUGUUGGUGCAGAAGUAGGAGAUGGUUGGCCAGGGAUGGUCAGUGAGGAGGGAUGAAGAGGUGCAGGGCGAGGCUGCGGUCUAGGUUUGGGUUUAGGUUUAGGUGGUGGCGGCAAAGGAUUGUCUCUGAAAAGAGUAUGAGUCAUACCAAAUAACUUGGAAGGGUCAUACUGUUUAAUAGGAGAAAGCAUAGAGGCAAAAGGAUGAUAAGUUGGACCGAUGAAAGGGAUAGGAGGUGAAGUGGUGAAAAGGGUAGGUCUCUGUUUUUCAGAUUCAAUCUGAGCAAGUUCAGCUUUUAAGCGUCUGAUUUCCCUUUCUUUUUGGUCAAAUUCGGGGCCUGAGUAACGAUGGGCAAGCAUGGCUUGUAACUCAGAGUCAAGUUGAGAAAUUCUGGACUGGAGGUUUUGGUAUAUCUGCUGCAUCUGUGCAGUGAUGGAGUCAACUUUUGUCUCAAUCUCCACGACAGAGCUGAUUUAAAGACUUGGCCCAACUCAUCCCUCUAUGUUCAUUAAAUGUUAAUAUUUUUCUGCACCAAGGUUGACUUGAUGGUGCUUUAUUUUCAAUUUUUUCAUUGAAUUGUAUUUUUGGUUAAAUAUUGACAAAAAAAAUUAAGAAAGCAAUCAGCUCUUGUAACGUACUCUGUUCUGUCUUCCACCAAAAAUAUAAUCAUUUAUUACCUCUAUUUUAUCAAAUAAUCAUGAUUAAUGCUGCUGGGAAAGCUCUAUUAGUCUUUCUUUUGAUAUAUCUUUACCAAUCUCGUCAGCUGUUGCUUUUCUUUUAACGUGGUGGUUGUUUGUAUUUGAUGAUCCCAAAAUAUACGCAACGCAAUAUAGCAAUUGCCGCUUUCCAUGAUUUGUCUUUUUGGUUGACUUUAACAUGAUUUAGAAUUGUCGAUUCCGCAUUAAUGCGUAUAAAUUAUUAAGUAGGUUAUGUGAUCUUUCAUUAUCAUCGCCUAGUCUCCAAUUGUGUGCGUUAUUUUCUUUUUGAAAAUGAUUCACGAAAUCAAAUUACUGAUAGAGGUCAUGAAUGUCCUGCUCCUGCAUUUUCUUAAUCAUCCCACUUCUCUCAAAUUCUCCGAAAUCCCUUAUACGUCUUCUGGUCCCGUUUUCAUAAUAAUCGUUGUCCUAAACCUUCUUUGCAGAUCUUUCACUGUGCUCCCUUUUUCUUAUUUCUAGCUUUUUGCUUUUCUUUUUCACAUGGUCUUUGUUUAUAUUUGAUGUCCCAAAUAUACACGUUAACGCAACCAUUUGUGACAGCGAAUAUUUUUACCUAGUUGUUGGAUUGUGGCUUUCUAUGUUUUGUCUUUUUGGUCGACUUUAACAUGAUUUAGAGCUUUUGAACGCGUCUUCCAAGUGCACAUGCCGAGUAUAUCCACUGUUCGAUGAAAUGCCCAUUUGAAUAAUUUGAGGACCCACGAGGCCACGCCACUGGUAUUAGACUAAUUGGAAAAGAAAAAAAGAAAAAAGAUAAUAAGUACAACUGUGAUGCAUUUUCACAUUAACUUUACAAAGUCUGGUUAUAAAUUUAUAAUUUUACGCACAUGAAAUCACCAAAGUAUUAUUUAAUUUAACUCUUCUCAACUGGGGACGUGAGUUUGAUUCAAGUAGUAUUAUCACUCAUAUAAUUUAUUAAUGAGCUCUUUUCCUGUCAUCUAAUGCUGAUGCUUGUAUAUUCUAUUCUACCAUUCGAUUUUUUUAUGUCUAGUGCUUGUAGAUCAAUUGAUUAUAUGCUUCAUACUUGAUGGAGUGAAUAUAAUACAUAAGAUUUUCAUUCAGUUAUAUGCAGAUAUGUUAAACUUUGGUUUAUAGGCUAGAUCGUCACUAAUUAUUCAUAGUACGUGAAGCCUCUAAUACAACAGUGAUAAGAUUUGAAGUAUUAGUUGCUCUGCUUAAUCAAAUCAUGACAAAUAAAUACGGUUGCAGGGCUGGGUACUUGUUGGUUGUUCCGUUGAGUCAACACAAAACAAAAAAAAAAAAAUCAUAAAAAUGAAUGGCAAGAAUAGGAAUGAAAUCAUCCACAGAAAUAAACACAAAUGUAAUCAAAUCAUUGAACACUCUUGCUCUAAGUUUUCUUCUUUACUGAUUCUUUGUUUUGUUCAUUGUUUGAUCAUUGAUUCUUGUUAAGCUUUCUGUCACUUCUUGUUUGGGAUCUGCUCUUGGGUCCUUCAAGAUUGUGUUCUUGGUUCAAUUGAGCUUUGGGAAUAGCCAUUACAUCCACGACAUGGAAGUAAUAGUAAAUAUAUAACAUCAUUUUUAUCUUCCAAUCACAAGUUACAAGAUAUAAAAUUCCCAAGGAAAAUUAAAAAGGUAAAAUUAUCUUACAUCACCUGUUGAAAAAUGAAAUAUUUUAUCCAUGUACGUAAGCGAAAUUUUGAAGGAAAACGAGAAAGAAGAAAUGGUCAAUUUCGCAGAACAACAGAGAGAUUUUGGUAGUUUCCUCCAUAAAUUUAUCACCCCAUUAUCCUCAAUUGAUAUCAGUAACACUCAAAUCUAUCCGAAAUUCUUUACAAUCCCUAAUAUAUUUAAAAGGGUUUAAUUUUGACUUUUUAAUAACUUCCAUUAGGCCAAGCAUAUUUAGUUUCUUGAAGAUUUAUUCCUGAAAAAUCCUCAAUUGUUUAUUAAUCAAGAUAGAGUUCGAGUUUAAUGAUAAAAUGAUCAUGAUUUUAAUUUAAAGAUAUGAGCCCAAAAUCCUACCGUUUACAUAUUAAAAUCACUUGAUUAUCAUAUAUUACUCAAUAAUCAAAGUUAUUUAUUACACAUCAAAGUUAAUCACUUGAUUACUUGAAAAAUGCCGGCGGCACUUGCAACUCCCUGGAACCUUCGUGUAAGUUUUCGAGUUCAUCAACUGUUGGAUAAAAUGCCCAUUUGAAGAAACUAAUAGAAAAUUGAGAUCCUCUCUUGAAUAGAGUUUACCCUUGAAAAAUAAGUAUACAUUAUCAUUCAUGUAUUGUCAAAAUUUGAGCUUAAGAUCCAACUAUUUACAAAUUAUUAAUUAUUUUUGUUGGUGAAAGCAAAUUGAUUAGAAGAAUGUGGCAAUAAGAAGAUAAAAAUGCUUGCUCAAAUACUUUGCCGUGUGUUCUUACUUACAAAUCCACCAGCUUAGCUUUUAAUCACAUAAAUAAGUCAUCAUCAUCACUAGAUUAUCGUAUAUUACACAAUUAUCAAAGCUAAUUAUUGAAACCUUUCUUUCAAAGAAAAAGAAUUAUUGAAACCUUCCGAGUUUGAAAAUGCCGGCAGCACUCGCAACUUCCAGGAACCUUCGUGCAAGUGUAGAUGCUGAGUACAUCCAACCGUUCGAUUAAAUGCCGAAGUGAUUUCGAGGAACCCACACGACCACACAACAGGUUUUUUUUUUUUUUUUUUUUUCAUUUUAUUUGUACAUCUAUUUCUUGAAAAAAUAAAAAAUCAUAAAGUUCAGAUUACCCUUGAGACUUGAGAUGACAACUGUCUGCCUCUGCAUUUUCCUAAUCAUCCCUCUUCUCUAAUCUCUAGAGUCCUCUGAAAUCUCUUCUUCAUUUUCUGUCUCCCUUUUUUGAAUCGUUCUUGUCCUCGAUCCUACACCUUCUUUGCAAAUCUUUCAUUUAUUGUACUCGCUUUUCAAUUUGUCUUAGCAGAAAAAGGAUUCCCCUUUGUUUCAUCUCUAGAUUUUUCACUCUUUUCCUCUCCUCCUCCCUUAAAUCUAUUCAACCUCUUAUUUUAGCAAUUUAUCCAAACUUCUUUUUUCCCUCUUCCCAGCUGAUUGAUUAGUUCUGCUUAGUUUGAUUAGUUUUGCUUUCCCCUGUAUUCUGAAAGCGAAAAAUAAAAAAAAGAAAGGGAUAAUGGAUAUUGCUACCUCCGCAGUUGCGAAAGUUGCAGAGUACUUGGUUGAUCCCAUAAUUCAUCCAUUUACUUACUGCUGCACUUACAAGACCAACUUCGAGAAGCUGAAUAAUGAAGUCGAUAAGCUAAAGAAUUCUAGAGACAGUAUGCAGCAUAAGGUUGAUGAUUCCAGAAUUAAAGGGGACGGAAUUCAACAGCACGUUGAGGAGUGGCUGAUUGCUGCGAACAAGGAGAUCAAUGAAGUCGAAACACUUAUUGAAGACAAAGAGAAUUCAAACAACCGGUGUUUGAAGGGGUUAUGUCCUAAUUUGAGGACUCGGUACCAGCUUAGCAAGAAAGCAGAAAGAGAGACGAAUGCUAUUGUUGGACUCCAUGAAAAAGGGAGAUUCGACAGUGUUUCUUUCCGUACCAUUCCAGAGGAGACAUGGCUUAAGUUUACCCAGGAUUUCAUGCACUUUGAAUCGAGAAAGUCCACUUUUAAGGAGAUACUAGACGCACUCAGCAACCGUGACUUCAACAUGAUUGGGGUGUACGGGAUGGGCGGCAUUGGAAAGACAACGCUGGUGAAAGAAGUUGGCAGACAGGCAAAGGAAAAUAAUCUCUUUGAGAAGGUUAUUUCUUCACGUGUUUCGCCAACACCGCAAAUAAAAAAUAUACAAGGAGAAAUCUCAGAGAAGAUAGGCUUAGAAUUGGCUGAACAGAGUCAUGAAACUGUAAGAGCAGAGAGGCUGCUUGAAAGAUUGAAGAAAGAGAAAAAGAUCCUUAUAAUCUUGGAUGAUAUUUGGGGGGUCUUGAUUUGGAGGCGAUUGGAAUUCCAUUGGCAGAUGAUAAUAGCGGAUGCAAAGUUCUUCUGACAGCAAGAAGUCAAGAUGUGUUGUCCUGUAAGAUGGAUUGUCAACAAAAUUUUUUUGUUGAUGUUCUGAAUGAAAAAGAAGCUUGGAGUCUUUUCCGGAAGAUGACAGGUGAUUGUAUAGAAAAUGGUGAACUGAAAUCUGUAGCAACAGAGAUAGUCAAGGAAUGUGCUGGUUUGCCCAUUGCCAUUGUACCCGUAGCCAGGGCACUAAGAAAUAAGAGAUUGUUUGAAUGGAAGGAUUCCUUGCUGGAAUUAAGAAGGCCUUCCUUCAGAAACAUCAGUGGAACACUGGAGGUGGCAUAUAAAAGUAUAGAGCUGAGUUACAAUCAUUUAAACAGGGAGGAGCUCAAGAGAACGUUGUUGCUUAUAGGGUACGCGUUCAUCUCUUGCGUUAAAGACGUGCUUUAUCAUGGCAUGGGUUUGGGUCUGUUUCAAAACAUCAACACGUCGGAAGAGGCGUGGGAUAGAGCACAUACAUUGGUUGAUAAACUCAAAAAAUCUUGUUUGUUGCUUGACGGUAAUACAAGUGAACGGUUUUCUAUGCAUGAUGUUGUUCGUGAUGCAGCCAUAUCAAUUGCAUCUGGAGACCAACAAGUGUUUGUGGUGGAAAGUGAGGUUGCUCCGCAGAUCAGCUGGCCAGAUAAGGAAAAACUAAAGGUUUGCAUCGCAAUCUCCUUAAUUUAUAGUAAUAUUAGUGAGCUUCCUCAAGGUUUCGAAUGCCCGCAACUUAAAUAUUUUCGUAUUGGCAAUGAUCCAUCUUUGAGAAUCCCAGAUAAUUUUUUUACUGGGAUGACUGGGCUUAAAGUUUUAGAUUUCACUGAGAUGCAUUUAUUGCCAUUGCCUUCAUCGCUUGGUCUCUUACAAAACCUUCAAACACUGUGUCUGGAUUACUGCAACCUAGGAGACAUCGCUAUUAUCGGAGACCUAAAGAAAUUAGAAAUCCUUUCACUUCGAGGUUCUGAUGUAGAGAAACUGGUUGGAGAAAUGGGCCAGCUGACUCAAUUGAGGUUGUUGGAUAUGAGCAAGUGUUUCGAACUAAAAGUUAUUCCACCAAAUGUUAUAUCAAGCUUAUCUCGAUUAGAAGAACUGUAUAUUGGUGAGAGUCCCAUUCAGUGGGGGAAGGUUGAAGGGCUCGACAGUGAAAGAAGAAAUGCUAGCCUUCAUGAGUUGAAUCAUUUAUCUAAAUUGACCUCUUUAGAAAUACUCAUCCAAGAUGAAAAGACUCUACCAAGCGACUUGUUGUUCUUCAAAAUCCUGAAAAGGUACAGGAUAUUCAUAGGAUAUCUGUGGUCGGAUGACCCAAUAUUGGAUGGGUUUUCUAGAAAAUUCAAACUGAAAAUCACCAAUGGUGCCAACAUUUGCCUGAACGAGGGGCAUAUCAUGCAAUUGAAGGGUAUUGAACACCUAUCUUUACAUGGAUUGCUGGACAUGAAGAAUGUUCUUUGUGAACCUGGCAGAGAAGGUUUUCCACAGCUGAAGCAUCUCGAAGUCCGAGAUAAUCGCAGCCUUUUUUGUGUUGUUGACAGAGUGGAUUGUGCAACAGCGCUGACAGCGUUCCCCCUCUUGGAGUCAUUAUUUCUGGAAGAUUUGGGUAACCUAGAGAAAAUAUGUCGUGGUUCACUCACAGCAGAGUCCUUUUGCAAAUUAAAGAACAUAAGGGUGCAAAGGUGUGAUAAAUUGAAAAAUGUGUUUCCAUUGCCCAUUGGCAGAGGCCUUCAACAACUUCAGUCCAUUGAAGUGACAAAAUGCCAGAAUAUGGAAGUGAUUUUUGCUGCCGAUAGAGGAGAUGAAUCCAGCAAUAAUAACACUCAAGUGAUUGAACUCACUCAAUUAAGGACACUUGAACUUGGUUCUCUUCCGCAGCUUACAAGCUUCUGCACAGGAGAUCUGCAUUUUGAAUUUCCAUCCUUGAAACAAUUAACAAUAAGGGGAUGUCCCCAUGUGAAAUUUAAAAGCACUAUUCAUGAGUCCACCAAAAAGGUACGUGCAAGACUGUUGUAAUUAUUGUUCAAUUCUUACGUACUUAAAAGUAUUUCUACUUGAGAGUUUAGAGCUUUAUUGUCGUCAUAUAUUGCCCUCAUCAAUUUGUCUUUUAGUAACAAAAUGUUAGUUCUAUAAAUCAGCUUAUUUAUACUAAUAUAAUAUCCUUAUAAACAUAAUUAUCAAUAUUCGAUAUAAACAUAAUUAUCAUUCUUCAAUAAUUCUUCUCAUUAUCGAAUAUUGAAUCGGCUACAACCAUAGAUGGAUUUGGAUGUCAGUUAGAAAGAAUGAAUACAAAAUUAUUUAGUAUUUUUUUUCCUUCUCGUUCAAUUUUUUUCUCUUAAUUAUCAGAUUUUUUCUUCUUCGUCUACUUUUUAGUUUAUGUCUAUAUGUUUAGUUAAAUACACGAAAGAGACUCUGCAUUUGAUUAGCCAAACGAAGAAAAUACUCAAAAUAUCUACGGUUUUUCAAGCCACAGUUAAUUCCCUGAUAAUCUUUUAAGAGCUAUUUAAAAUUAGUAGUCCUUACUACAGUAUUGUUACAUACAAAAUGAUUGUCAAUUUUGAUGUUGAAGAAGAAAUUGGUCAUUUUGUGUUAACAAAAAUUAUAUUUUUAAAAAUAUAAAGAGAGAGAUGGACAAAACUCAAAUGAAGAAACCUUAUCUUAUUAAACUUUAUGUACAAGAAAAUCCAUUCUUGUACAAUAGUAAAUAUAUCCAAUUCCAUUGAGUUGGAUGAAUAUUAAUGAAAUACCAGCUUCUUACUAUAUUAUUAAACUUUUUAAAAUCAAGUUAUUUAUUCAUUUUUGCUCUUGAAAAGAAAAAAGUUAAAAAAACCAAUUAAAAAAAAAAAAGAAAUUUGUAAGAUUUUCAACUAAAACCAAAUAAGCGGAUCGAUUAAAAGAAUCUAGAAGUUCAAAUGCAAUUUGAGAAUAAUUGAAGUCUUUUUUGUAGACAUUAUGCACAAAUCUAAUAAAUUUUGAAAGUUAAGAAGAGAGGAUGAAAAAAAAAAAAUACACAUCACUUACUAUAUUUGAAAAAAAAUAAUAAUAAUUACCGCUGAAAAUCAUACUCUCUCUACAUAUCCAUAAAUUUGUCCGGCCAUCAAUAUUCAUCAUUGAAAUGCUUUGUAUUUACUUCAAUUUUUGAAAUCGUUAGAAAGAAGAUUUAACUCCCUCUUGCUUUUUUUUUUUUGUUAUUGUUGAUCACCCAGAUGUUCCCCAAUUUGGAAGAUUUGAGUAUUGAUGAAAAGUACAUAGGUCUAUUUCCAGAAGACUUGCUUUGCAAACUUAAACUUCUUGAUGUCUGGAUUGAUGAGUCAACAGCUAUUUUAUCACUCGACGAUUUCCUCCAGAAAUUUCACACAACCAAAAUUCUCAUUAUAGGAGGAGACGAGUAUAUUUUUAGACUAGUUAGAAAGGUUGAAAACGGGAUGAAGGCAAUGAUAAGAGGAAUAAACCGGCAUCGUGGUCUGAAGCAAAUUUUGAAACAAGAGUCCUCCAAUGCCAACAAUUUGGAAAACCUGGACAUAUGUGACUGUCACAAUUUGAUUAAUCUAGUGCCAUCCUCGACAUCGUUUCAAAAUCUAACUACUUUGAUGGUAUAUAAUUGCAUAGGAUUGAUAAAUGCACUAACAUCCUCAAUUGCAAAGAGUCUGGUGCGACUGAGGGAAAUGGGCAUAGGUAGAUGCAAGAUGAUAAUAGAAAUAGUGGCAGAUGACGGUGCUGAGGGAGAUAAUUAUGCAGCAAAAAAUGAAAUUGUUUUCAGCGAAUUGAAGGAAUUGCUGCUCUGGAACUUAGAAAGUCUGACAGGAUUCUGCUCUGGCAAUAAUUGCGCCUUCAAAUUCCCAUCUCUGGAAAGAUUAGUGGUGGAUAAUUGCCCCAAUAUGAACAUUUUCUCAGGAGGAGAAUUAAGCACACCCAAGUUACACCAAGUGCAGCUUAAACGGUGGGAUGAUGAAGAAUGUUGGACUUUGGAUCGCGACCUUAAUACAACCAUUCAAUACCUAUAUCUUAAAAAAAAGGUAUGUAUUCAUUCAAUACGAGAUGUUGAUUUUUUGUAAAAGUUUGAUUCAAUAACGGAUAUAUAUAAAAAAGGAAAAAGAAAAAGUACCCAUCAAAUUUUUGACAAAUUCAUUUUAAAUCUGAUUAGGAAGAGAAGGAAAAAAAAGAAUGAGACGUCCAACAAGGCUAAUGAAAAGAAGGAAGAUGCAAAAGACAGUGGCAAGGUAAAAUCCAUACAAAUUGGGAGGUUUUGAUUUUAUUUUUGUGCUAAUUAAAUACGUUUUAUUUAUGUUAAAUCACAUUGGUACAUCUUUUUAAAACAUAACUACUCUGUUGUAUUGUUAUGUUGAAGAUUAGUUGUUAGAUAUGAUAUAGCGAACAAGAAAUUGAAAAAAAAUGAAAGUAAUUGCUUAUAGAGAGAAUUGAAGGAUUUCUGUGUUCUUAAGCAUUAACUGGUUAUGAUGGAGGCUAAUUUGUGCAAUUUAAUUAUGUGAAAACUACACCUUCAAUGUGUUUUUGCUCUUUGUUUAUAGAGAGUCCAAACUUAUGAAGACGAUUCGGGCCAACCUUCUGUGCAGCAUCUAGAAUAAGGCCUCGAGUUCUUUCUAUAUACUAAGAGUCAGAUGGCGUUGGUGAGGGGACCUUUUGUUUCUUUCUUCAUUUCGUUAUUAUGCUUCUUGCUUUGUUUGAGUAAUUAGAAAUCUAAUUUAUUAUGCUUCUAGCUUUGUUUGAGUUCUUCGAAAUCUAAUUUGAAGCUAGUUUUAUUUCUCAUGGAUGGUGUCCAAGAGCUACCAUGUUCAAUUUGGAUUCAACCGAAAGAGUAUUUAAGCCUUGAAUUAAUUAAAGAGAUGAGUGUAUCAUAUUUGUGUUUGUGCACUUGUUAUUGAUGUAUUGAAUAAUGUAGGAAGUUAAUUUACAUUAUUUGAGGUAAUAUAGAAUUUUAGAAUAUUUAUUGUUUUAGGAUUUUCUAUUUUAGUUUGAGUCAAUUUUGGUAUAUAUCUUAGUCUUUUAUUUCUAUUAUAAUUGUGAUUUAGUUUCUUUUUUAGGUUAACUUAGGGAAUUGGGUUUCCUCUAUUAUAAAUAGAGAGAUCUUAUCAUUAUUUUGAGCAUUUCAAAUUCAAUUAUUCAAUAAAACUCACCUUUUAUAAUUCCUUCUGGGAUUAUCUAUCAAAAUCUCUCUUGUAAAGUUAUUUGGAUUAAAAAGUCAUCUAAUCUCGCAUUAUGCGUUAUUAAAAAGCUCAUUGAGUUGUCUGGAUUAGAACGAUAUCUGAUCAUGUUUCAAUUAGAGCAUAACUUAAUCGUGUUGGCUUAGUCCUGUACUAGAAUGAUAUCUAGUAUUUCAUGUCCUAUCAAUUUCCGCUUCCGCUACGCCUCGCUCCAUUAGUUGGUAUUAGAGCAGUUUUGUGUCAAUUGCACAACUUUCCUGACUACCCAUAUCCAUCCACAUCAGAUCCAUCACAAAAAAUAAAUAAAUAAAAUAAAAUAAAUCAAAACUUUACAAAUUUGAAAACCCUAGCCACCACAUCAACUUCCACCACCGAUCAGCCAGCCAACACCACCACAAACCUCGCUAGCCACUGCCGACCAAGUCUCAGCCAUUGCCGCCUCAACCGCUGCCUAAACAGCUGCAAAUCACCAACCCAAACCCGUGGCUCCACCAAGCAAUCCACCACCAUUCAACCACUUUCACAGCCAGCAACCUCUACCAACAAGCUUGCAGGCCUCCACUAACCAAAACACCGACCAACUUCAGCCCAUGAUCGCCGCCCGCAGCAACCACACGAAACGACAACCCAUGAGUGCUUCCCACAUGCGCCGCCACCAAACCACCUCCUUUUUCUGUCAAUUUGCACUACCACCACCCUAAUCCCUAGCAAUCGGCGACCAUAAAUCCAGCCGUCCGCCACCAUAAGGCCGCCAUAAACCAAAAGCCACAUCACUAAAAUCAACCGCCACUUUAAGUCAGAUUUCCGACCAAAACGCAGCGAAUCUGGCCGAUCCACAACCAUCAUCGAGUUCCUUAUCACCAAAUCUCCCAGAUCCGAUACCCUCUGGUCCCAAUCACGGCCACCAGCUGCCAACCAUACCAAACCCGAGAGUUGAGCCUUAAUUACAAUUUUGCCAUUGUGUGGAAACUUAAAUGGCAAGCUACCAUCAUUGCCCUCCUAUUUAUCAUGUGCCGAUAUUAUUUACAAAAUAUACGUCCAAACAAAUUUCUUGAAUAGCUGGACAAGGUUAAGCACUAGUUUCUAUUUUGGCACACUCCUAAAGAAAAGCAAGUCUUGUUUACUGCCAGUAGAUUAAGCAUAAGUGCUUCAGAAUGGCGCGAUGAGUUGCAAAUUUCUCGACUUGACCAAGGCAAAUGCCAAGUUCAAUCAUCGAACCGUAUGAAGCAUAUUUUACGAUAUGAGUUUAUUCCUCUUGAUUAUUGUUUGGUACAGUAAGGUAUGAGAUCUGUUUCUGCUUGUGCUUAUGAGUUUGAACGAUUUUAUGGAUGCCAUUAUUAUUAUGAGCCUGAAGAGAAUACAGUUACAAGAUUUAUUAAAGGGCUUGAUUUGCAUAUUCAAGAAAGGAUGCCUAUAUACACUAUCUACAAUUUACAGCAUGCAAUUCAUUUAGGCAAGAAAAUUGAAUUGCAAAUUAAGUUGUAACGUCAAAGAAACUUUGAUGAUGUGAUUAAAAAACUUGACGAAAUCCAGAAUUUAAGCAAGAAAUGGUGUGUCACCAUGAAAGUGCCCAAAGAUGUACCAAUGAGUUCUCCUAUUGUUAAGGAAGAAGACUCCCAUGAGUUGCUAGAAGAAAAUGUACAAUUUAUUAUUGAUUUAAGGUUUCAAUCUGACAAGUUGUUCGAGAAUGUGAGUGAUGUUUCCUUAGAAGAGAAGAUAAGUGUUGAAGAUGAUGAUAUUAUUGAUCUAUUUGAUAUGUUUAAAGAAGAUAUAUAAUCUGCUCUUAAUUUAAGCAGUGAGCUUAACAAUAUAAUCGAGGUUGUACAACAAAAUCAAGGUGAAGAAGUUGAAAUGAUUGAAAUGGUUCUGCCUAUUCACAUUGAAGAAAAAAAGAUUGUGCUUGAAGAAGAUUUGGUUGAAAAGGUGAAACUUAUUGGCGAGCGCAUUGAGCGACAAUUGGGGAAGUGCAAGAGUUAUUUGAUCAUUGUUCGUUCUUGAAAGUCGUCAUCGACUCGAAGAAUGUACAAGCGAAGGAAGUUGAUGAAGUUAGGAUACUUCAAAGUUUCGAGGAAGAUUGAUGAGCAAGGCUACAGGUUCAAAUUACAAGAUGAUUUGCUCCGACACUAUAAGUUUCCUCCUCCAGACUGUAUUCAAACUCAAGGACGAGUUUCUUUUAAGAGGGAAAGAAUGAUGUAGGAAGUUAAUUUACGUUAUUUUAGGUAAUUUAGGAUUCUAGAAUAUUUAUUGUUUUAGGAUUUCCUAUUUUAGUUUGAGUCAAUUAUGGUAUGUAUCUUAGUCUUUUAUUUCCAUUCCAAUUGUGAUUCAGUUUCCCUUUUAGGUUAAUUUAGGAAAGUGGGUUUCCUCUAUUAUAACUAGAGAGAUCUUGUCAUUGUUUUGAGCACUUCAGAUUCAAUUAUUCAAUAAAACUCCCAUUUUAUAAUUCCCUCUGAGAUUAUCUAUCAAAAUCUCUCUUGUAGAGUCGUUUGGAUUAGAGCGUCAUCUAAUCUCACAUUACAUGUUAUUAAAAAUCUCAUUGAGUCGUUUGGAUUAAAACGAUAUCUAAUCACGAUUCGAUUAGAGUAUAACCUAAUCGCAUUGGCUUAAUUCUGUACUAAAAUGAUAACUAGUGUUUCCUAUCCUAUCAAUUUUCGCUUCCGCUACGCCUCGCUCCGUCAGGAUUUCUGGUGUAUAUUUUUUUAGUGUAUGAUGAAACUAAAACUAUCUCAAUUUCUGCUAUGUUAGUGCCUCCUGAACACAUGUUUGGACCAUCUGAACAUUGAGUGGCUUGAUAUCUCUAACAAUAAUGCUUGUACAACUGAAAUCUACCCACCUUGCUCUAGCACAAUGAAGAGAAAUUGUGUCAUUUCGACAAAAAGGUGUCAUAUGUGCAGUCACUAUGAAUCAUUCGCAUUGGAACAAAUUGUACAAUGUCUCAAGUCGCUACUCAAUCAGUAGAACUCUCUAAUCUACGACUUUUGUCAUUUAUCAGCAUCAAGAAUCUGCCAAUUAAGAUAUGAUCACCUGUAAUUUUAAGUUCUUUCAAUCUCCAAAAACUAGAUGAAAAAAAUGCUCCAAUAAUUAGUAAGUCUUAAUCAAAUUCCAUAUUUUAGGCUUCUAAAUUUAUUAGCAAUUUUACCUAUCAUAACUUGUAUAUGUUAACCGGAUUGCAUAAACACUUGAGAAGCUUCAAGUUCAUGUCCUAAUGUGUUACAAUAUAUAUAUAUAUAUAUAGGCUUCUUUUUUGGGGGGAACUAAAAUAAGUUAGAUCAGUACCGAAGAUCAUAGUUAAAGCUCGCAAUGUUUUAUGGAGACCUUUUUCUUAUGGUAGGAGCUUCAUACUAGGAGAAGUCAUCACUUUUGAGAACAAUAAAUGUAACAACCUAUUUAAAGGGCGGAUCUAAAAAUUUGGCUUAAAAGGGACAACACAAUAAUUAAAAAAAAUUUAAUGAAAUUGAUAGACUUUGUAUUCAUUAGGGGCAAUUAUGCAAGUAUUUAUGUAAUUUCAUGAAAAUAUAAAAAAUAAAUAGAAAAUUAUGGAAAAAAAAUUUACGGGAGUCAAUUAAUUGCCCACUAUAGGCUCCGUGUGGAUCCACCUCCGAACGUAAAUGAAGAUUGAGGAUUCUCUUAAUCCAAAAAUUUUUAAGAAGUGAAAAAUAAAAAAAAUAAAAUUUUUUUUCAUCAACUUUGUAAUUCCUUAAGCGAUUAAAAUAAGAUAUAUUCAAUAAAUAAGUAUAAAUUAUUAUUCGUAUACUGUCAAAUCUUUUUUUGUUUGGGCUCUUUUAUAUUUUGUUAACAAAUAAGCUCUAAUCUAUAUUUGUUGAGUUGAAAAUUUUGAUCAAAAUAGGGUUGUAGUUUACCGAUAUUAAUUUAUAGAUUUGAACCCAAGUUCCUCCAUUUACAUUAUUAAUUAUUUUUGUUGGUCAAAGCUAAUUGAUUAGAAGAAUGCGACAAUAAGAAGACAAAAAUAUUUGCUCAAAUGCUUUGCCGUGUGCUUGCUUACUUACAAAUAUCAACUGUUCGAUGAAAUGCCCGUUUAGCUGUUCCCAACUUGGGGCAUGAGUUUGAUUAAAGUUCUUAUAUCACUGAUAUAAUAUAUUAAUGUAUAAAUGAGCUCUUUUCCUAUCAUCUAGUGCCCAUGGUAAUAUUUCAGUAAUUGAUCAUAAUAUUAUUAAGCUUUAAUUUAUAUCCUACACUCUUUUCCUAUCACCUAGUUUUUCUAAAGCGUGUAAGGUAGAAAUAUUCUCAUGUUCGAAAAAAGGUCAUACAAGCUCUAAGCUUGUACAUAUUUGAAGAACAAUACUAGACUUUUCCUUCAAACUAAUAUCGAAAUAUUUUUAUUCCUAAUGUAGUUAUUCGUCUUUGACAUUCAGCUCAGUAUCCAUUAGCAUUUAGCAAGAACAAACUUAUUUAAUAAUUAAAAGAAUUAUUGAAUGAUUUGGAACAAGUCAGCUGAGGCUAAGUAUUUUUAUUAUAUCGGCAAUUAGAUGAUGAAUGGGAAUUAUUGAACAAUUAUUUUUAUUAUUUAGGCAAUUAAUUAAGGCUACGUAUUUUUAACGUUGUUGCAAGUUGGAAGAUGUCGGCAGCAUUAGCCACUGUCAGCAUUAGCCACCCGAGCCGAGACUCAUUCUCUUUUUCAUUUCAUUUUCGUUUACUUUUGAGAACAGAAAAUGUAAAAUUUGAAUAAGUACCAAAUAACUUUUGAUAUUAAAACUUAAAUAAGCUUAGUUUUUUUCAUUUCGUUUUCGUUCACUUUUGAACAAGACAAUGUUUACUUUUGAUAUGCUUUAUUUAAGAGUCAUAAGUGCUUAUUUAAUCUUAUAAACUCUUAUCAUAAUUUUUGUUGUUGUUUGGUUGUUUUUAUAAUCAAGCUUUUAAAACUUAAAUAAGUUAUUUUAUCUCUAUUAGAAAAAAUUCAAAUUUUAGGUUUUGGGAGUAGAGGUUAAUUUUUUUUAAAUGUUAAAAUAUCUAAAAUAUCAUCUCCUUAUUGACAAUUUUAUUUUAUUCUUUUCAUAACAUAACUUUAAAAAAUUUACCUCUUAAAGUAAUUUUAUAAAUUUUUAAUAAAAACUCUUAUUGACAACCAAAUAACUAAUUUUUUUUUUGUAAAAUCUCUAUUUAUAAAAGCUCUACUUAAAUAAACUCUACUUGAAAAAAUGUACCAAACAGAGCCUAAGAAUCACUUAUUUGAAAGUUAGAAAAUGAUUGGAGACAAAAAAAAAUUGAUAAAGAAAUAUAUUUAAAAUGAUGUGGUUUUGGUUUUAUUUUAAAAAAAUUAACCUAAAUGAUAUAAUUUUAAGUAUAUUAUUUUUCAUUUCCCUAAUAUUCUUCAUAACUGAUCUUUGUACAACUCCGACCAAUUUUCACUGACAUUACAGUGUAGUUGACAUUUUCUUUUCACCGCCUUCAAUGUUUUUCCCAAAACAAUGGAAUAACCCAAACUUGUUUUUUUCCUACCUUCACCAACCUCAUUGACAAAAAUAAAAAAGACUGUCAAUUUCUCCAACCAUGUGACAAUGCCCUCACCACGUGACCUUUUGCUCACAUCCGGUUGCACAUUAACCAUCAAAGCCGGUUUCCCAUGAAUGUCCAUUUUUUUUAACUUCUUUUUCCUACCGUUAAAUUUCUCAUGAAUGUCAGUGAGUGGGAUCCAGCUACGGUACCACCGUGGUACCGUACAACUGAUUUUAUCUUUUGUGUCAGUAGUGUUGUAAAAUUUCAUUGAACCCCUUUCAUUCAUUUUUAUUUAACCUUUACCUCAUAAAUAUUAAAUUAAUUUCUAUUCCAUCCAUAUAACAUUAUAAUAGCACCUUAUACUAUUUGUUAUUUAUACAUUUUUCUUCUAUAUUGCACAUUUAUCACAAUACCCCUCUCUUUACCACAAAUACCGGUGAACCCGACCUGAAUUUCGUUUCUGUUUUCGUCCAUGCCACCGCCCAAGGUUGGUACCGAUCAGAAGAUCGUGUGAUGCCGGUCAUCUCCACGCCAUCCUUGUCGAAAAAAUAACUAGGUCAACCUGACCCGCAAACCCGACCCGGAUUUUGUUUUCGUUUCCAGCUACUCCACCGGCCAAGGUUGGUACCGAUCAGAAGCUCGUGCUACGCCAGUCAUCUCCAUGCCAUCCUUGUCGCCGUAAAGCAUUCGGAAAGCUGCCGAUCGAAGCCGUGAAAGUUACAGAAUCCCUGCUUCAAUUCGCGGCGGUUUCUCCGGUUUCCAGUGACGCCACCACUUGGGGUUUGUUCUCCACAGUUUCCUCUGUCUUUUCUGACCAACCACAGCCACCAGAGGAGCCGAUUUGCCGUUGAUCGGCCAUUGAAGGAUUCACGGGUUUGGGAGAAAUGAACUUAAUAUUUGUGAAGCAAAGUUCAAAUAAGAAUAAGUGAAAGGACUUUAUGAAAUUUUACCAAGAAAAGACAAAAGCGGUGGCAUGGUGCUACUGUUGCACGGUAGGCGAGUCCUUAUUUGUAUAUCUAUUUCUUAAAAAAAUAAAAAAUCAUAAAGUCCGGCAACGGCAGCAUAGCACUUACUGGUAACAGGAGAAUUCAAUGAAAUGCCAAAAUGCCACCUUGCGCUGUCCAAUUAACCAACAACUUUGACAUUAUUUACAUGCAAUUAUAACCAUCUAUCUCAGUUAUUAAGAAUCUAGUUGACUUGGAAGCAUGAGUCUUCUCCAGUAUGAAUUUAGUUUGGCAUUUUUGCAGUAUUCAGAUUACCCUUGAGACUUGAGAUCACAACUGCCUGCCUCUGCAUUUUCCUAAUCAUCCCUCUUGUCUAAUCUCUAGAGUUCUCUGAAAUCUCUUCUUCAUUUUCUGUCUCCCGUUUCUGUAUCGUUCUUGUCCUCGAUCCUACACCUUCUUUGCAAAUCUUUCAUUGCACUCGCUUUUCAAUUUGUCUUAGCAGAAAAUGGACCCCCUUUGUUUCAUCUCCAGAUUUUUCACUCCUUUCCCCUCCUCCUCCCUUAAAUCUAUUCAACCUUUUAUUUUAACAAUUUAUCCAAACUUCUUAUUUCCCUCUUCACAACUGAUUGAUUAGUUCUGCUCAGUUUGAUUAGUUUUGCUUUCCCCUGUUUUCUAAGAGCAAAAAAUAAAAAAGAAAGGGAUAAUGGAUAUUGUUAUUUCCGUUGCUGCAAAAGUUACAGAGUACUUGGUUGCUCCCAUAAUUCAUCCAUUUACUUAUUGCUGCACUUAUAAGACCAACUUCGAGAAGGUGAAUAAUGAAGUCGAUAAGCUCAAGAAUGCUAGAGACAGUGUGCAAUAUAAGGUUGAUGAUUCCAGAAUUAAAGGGGACGGAAUUCAACACCACGUUGAGAAGUGGAUGAUUACUGUGGACAAGGCCAUCAAUGAAGUCGAAACCCUUAUUGAAGACAAAGAGAAGUCAAACAACCGGUGUCUGAAAGGGUUGUGUCCUAAUUUGAAGACUCGGUACCAGCUUAGCAAGAAAGCAGAAAGAGAAGCGAAUGCUAUAGUUGGACUCCAUGAAAGAGGGAGAUUCGACAGUGUUUCCUUCCGUACCAUUCCAGAGGAGACAUGGCUUAAGUCUACCCGGGAUUUCAUGCACUUUGAAUCGAGAAAGUCCACCUUGAAGGAGAUACUAGACGCACUCAGCAACCGUAACUUCAACACGAUUGGAGUGUACGGGAUGGGUGGCAUUGGAAAGACCACGCUGGUGGAAGAAGUUGGCAGACAGGCCAAGGAAAAUAAUCUCUUUGAGAAGUUCAUUUCUUCACGUGUUUCCCAAACACGGCAAAUAAAGAACAUACAAGGAGAAAUCGCUGAGAAGAUAGGCUUAGAAUUGGCUGAACAGAGUCAUGAAACUGUAAGAGCAGGGAGGCUGCUUGAACGAUUGAAGAAAGAGACGAAGAUCCUUAUAAUCUUGGAUGAUAUUUGGGGGAGUCUUGAUUUGGAGGCGAUUGGAAUUCCAUUGGCAGAUGACAACGGCGGAUGUAAAGUUCUGCUGACAGCAAGAAGUCAGGAUGUGUUAUCUUGUAAGAUGGAUUGUCAACAAAAAUUUUUUGUUGAUGUUCUGAACGAAAAAGAAGCUUGGAGUCUUUUCAAAAAGAUGACAGGUGAUUGCAUACAAAAUGGUGAACUGAAAUCUGUAGCAACAGAGAUAGUCAAGGAAUGUGGUGGUUUGCCGAUUGCCAUUGUACCCGUAGCAAGGGCAUUGAGAAAUAAGAGAUUGUCUGAAUGGAAGGAUGCUUUGCUGGAAUUUAGAAGGCCUUCCUUGAGAAACUUCACUGGAACAACGCAGGUGGCGUACAAAAGUAUAGAGCUAAGUUACAAUCAUUUAAACGGAGAGGAACUGAAGAAAACAUUUUUGCUAUUAGGGUACACGUUCUUCUCUUGUGUUGAAGACCUACUCUAUUAUGGCAUGGGUUUGGGUCUGUUUCAAAACAUCAACACGUUGGAAGAGGCACGGGAUAGAGCACAUACAUUGGUUGAUAAACUCAAGAACUCUUGUUUGUUGCUUGAUGGCCGUUCAAGUGAAUGGUUUUCAAUGCAUGAUGUUGUUCGUGAUGUAGCCAGAUCAAUUGCAUCAAGAGACCAACAUGUGUUUGCGGUGGAAAAUGAGGUUGUUCCGCUGACCAGCUGGCCAGAUAAGGAUACACUGAAGGUUUGCACCGCAAUCUCCUUAAAGAAUAGUAAUAUUAGUGAGCCUCCUCAAGGGUUCGAAUGCCCGCAACUUAAAUUCCUUUGUAUUGGCUGUCAUGCUUCUUUGAGGAUCCCAGAUAAAUUUUUUACUGGGAUGACAGAGCUUAGAGUUUUAGAUUUCACUAAGAUGCAUUUGUUGGCAUUGCCUUCAUCGCUUGGUCGCUUGCAAAACCUUCAAACAUUGUCUCUAGAUGAUUGUGAACUAGGAGACAUGGCCAUUAUCGGAGACCUAAAGAAAUUAGUCAUCCUUGCGCUUCGAGGUUCUGAUAUGGAGGAACUGGCUGGAGAGAUAGGCCAGCUGACUCAAUUGAGGUUGUUGAAUUUGCGCCUAUGUUACCGACUGAGAGUUAUUCCCCAAAAUGUGAUAUCAAGCUUAUCACGAUUAGAAGAACUAUAUAUUGGUGAGAGUCCCAUUGAGUGGGGGAAAGUUGAAGGAGUAGACGGUGAAAGAAGAAAUGCCAGCCUUGAUGAGUUGAAUAAUUUAUCUAAAUUGACCUCUUUAGAAAUACUCAUCGGCGAUGAAAAGACUCUAUCAAGAGACUUGUCGUUCUUCAAAAUGCUGCAAAGGUACAGGAUAUCUAUAGGACAGUUGUCGCAGUUUAUUGUGGUUCCCCCAUCGGAUGGGAUUUCUAGAAUAUUCAAACUGGGGCUCACAAAUGGUGCCAACAUUUGCUUGAACGAGGGGCAUAUCAUGCAAUUGAAGGGUAUUGAAGGCCUGUCUCUAGAUGGAUUGAUCGACAUGAAGAAUGUUCUUUUUGGAUCAGACAGAGAAGGCUUUCCAAAACUGAAGGGUCUCCAAAUCGAACAUAAUGGCAACCUUUCUUGUGUUGUUGACACAAUGGAUUGUAUGCCAGCUCGGACGACUGCAUUCCCCCUUUUGGAGUCAUUAUUUCUAAGAGAUUUAAGGAACCUUGAGGAAAUAUGUCGUGGUCCACUCACAGCAGAGUCUUUUUGCAAAUUAAAGACCAUAAGGGUGGAAGGGUGUGAUAAAUUGAAAAAUGUAUUGCCGAUGGUCAUAGGCAGAGGCCUUCAACAACUUCAGUCCAUUAAAGUGAGUAGUUGCCAAAAAAUGGAAGUGAUUUUUGCUGCUGAGAGAGGAGAUGAAUCCAGCAAUAAUAACAGUACUGAAGUGAUUGAACUCACUCAAUUGAGGACACUUGAGCUUCAUUCUCUUCCGCAGCUUACAAGCUUCUGCACAGGUGAUCUGCAUUUUGAAAAGGUACACGUGCAAGAUUUGUUUAAUUAUUUUUCAAUUCUUACGUACUGAAAUGUAUUUCUACUUUGAGAGUUCAGAGUUUUAUUGUCGUCAUCGCCCUCAUCACUUCAUCUUUUAGUAACAAAAUGUUAGUUCUAUAAAUCAGUUUGUUUAAUUAUACUUUAUAAUAUCCUUACAAACAUAAUUAUUUUUUUAUUUUUGGAUGUCAGUUAGACCGAAUGAAAAAAAAAAAAGAUAUAUGGUAAACAAUUAUUUUUUUCCUUCUUGUUCAAUUUUUUUUCUCUUAAUUAUCAGAGUUUUUCUUCUCCCUCUACUUUUUAUUUUAUGUCUACAUGUUUAGUUAAAUACACGGAAAGAGACAGUGCAUUUGAUUAGCCAAACAAAGAAAAUACUCAUAAGAUCUAGAGGCUUUCAAGCCACAGUUAAUUCCCUGAAAAUCUUUCAAGAGCUAUUUCCAAAUUAGUACUCCUUAGUACAGUAUUGUUACAUACAAAAUGAUUAUCAAUUUUGAUGUUGAAGAAGAAAUUGGUCAUCUCGUGUUAACAUAAAUAAUAUUUUUAAAAUAUAUAUAGAGAGAUGGACAAAACUCAAAUUAAGAAAUCUUAUUCUAUUAAACUUUAUGUACAAUAAAAUCCAUUCUUGCACAAUAGUAAAUAUAUCCAAUUCCAUUGAGUUGGAUGAAUAUUAAUGAAAUACCAGCUUCUUACUAUAUUAUUAAACUUUUAAAAUUCAUAUUAUUUAUUCAUUUUUGCUUUAAGAAAAAGUUAAAAACUCCAAUAUUUUUUAAAAAAAGAAAUUUGUAAGAUUUUCAAUUCAAACCAAAUAAAGGGAUCAAUUAAAAGAAUCUCAAAGUUUAAAUGCAAUUUGAGAAUAAUUGAAGUCUUUUUCAUAGAGAUUAUGCACAAAUCUAAUAAAAUUUGAAAAUCUAUCUACUGGACAAGAGUUAAGAAGAGAGAAUGGAAGAAAAUACACAUUACUUAAAUGGAAUGCUUUGUUUUUACUUUGUAUUUACAGCUGAAAAUCAAACUCUCUCCGCAUAUCUAUAAAUUUGUCCGGCCAUCAAUACGCAUCAUUGGAAUGCUUUGUAUUUACUUGAAUUUGUGAAAUCGUUAGAAAGAAGUGCUAACUCCAUCUUGCCACUUUUGCGAUUGAUGAUCACCCAGGUGUUCCCCAAGUUGGAGAAAUUGAGGGUUGAUGAAAAGCACAUAUGCCUAUUUCCAGAAGACUGGCUUUGCAAACUUAAAUGUCUUGAUGUCCGGCUUGAUGAGUCAAGUACAAUUUUAUCACUUGACGAUUUCCUCCAGAGAUUUCACACCAUCAAAAUUCUCUUUAUAGAAGGAGACGAUUUUGUUUGGGGAGAAUCACUUGAAAACCUUGAAAAUGGGUUGAAUGCAAUGAUGAGGGGAAUAAACCAGCGCCGUGAACUGAAGCAGAUUUUCAAACAAGAGUCAACCAAUACCAACAAUUUGGAACAGCUGGAGAUAUUCGAGUGUGACAAUUUGACUAAUCUAGUGCCAUCCUCGACAUCUUUUCAGAACCUAACAACUUUGAAGUUAAGUCUUUGCCAUGGAAUGAUACACCUUCUAACAUCCUCAACCGCAAGGAAUCUGGUGCGACUGAGACAAAUGGAGAUAGGUUGCUGCAAGAUGAUAACAGAAAUAGUGGCAGAUGAGGAUGAUGAGGGAGAUAAUUAUGCAGCACAAUAUGAAAUUGUUUUCAGCGAAUUAAAGGAAUUGCGGCUUUGGGACUUACAAAGUCUGACUAGUUUCAGCUGCUCUGGGAAUAAUUGCGCCUUCAAAUUCCCAUCUCUAGAAAGAUUAGUGGUGGAUCGUUGCCCCAAUAUGAAGAUUUUCUCAGAAGGGGAAUUAAGCACACCCAAGUUACAGAAAGUGCAGCUGAGCUGGCUUGAUAAUAAACUUUGGGCUUGGGAUCGGGA
rnacentral:lncRNA from 1 species